rnacentral:lncRNA from 1 species
UUUUUUUGUUCUAGGUGACAACUUAUUUAAUACUUUGGACACUAUCAUAGUAAUUGGGUUGGGAAUACCCUUAAUCAGGUGCAGCGUCUAGCGACAUUGAUCGAAAGCAAUCCGGCAGCAGGCCAACUGCUUGCAGCCAUCAACUUAUCGUAAUUAUCGCCUGGCCGUUGAUACUUUCCAGUCACUGUAUAUAUAUAUAUAUAUAUAUAUAUAUAUAUAUAUAUAUAUAUAUAUAUAUAUAUAUAUAGGACACUCAUAUGGGGCACCAUGGUGCCCGGGCACCAUGGUAUCUAAUGCACAAAAUCACUCAAAUUUUUCAAAAUUUUCAAAUUGUGAGUAUAUACCUAGUUAUAAUAAUUUGAUUCAUACCUAUACUUAUCAACAAAACAACUCAAAUUUAACUUUAUUUCACAAUCCAUGAUUACAUACCUAACUAAUUAUAUGUAUGGAUGCUAUAUACCUAGAAUCAACAUCUAACAAAAACAAGUUCAAAUUCAGUUCAAACUUGCUUUAAACUUGUUAGUAAAGUAGUUAAUGUUAAUACCUAAGUAAUUGAAAAAGUUUUAAUUGCAUUUGAAUUAGGUAUAUACUCAAUUUCAACAAUGGUGCCCGGGCACCAUGGAGCACCAAACAAAUUUACUAUAUAUAUAUAUAUAAUAGAUUAAGUUACCUUUAAAUUUUCUUCUCUUCACUAUUUCUCUUACUUAUACAUUCAAUGUGUUUAUCUUAAAACACGUAUAGAGUUAACUCUUACUAUACGAGAGCUAACGCAUUUUUUCUCUUUUUUAAGAUAAGUUUAUAGCUGAUUUAUCCUUGUUCUCAUGGGACGCCAUAUGGUUGUCAGACUAUCACACAGUAACCGAUACGAUUAGGCAUCUCCCUUUCACGAGAAAAAGGCAUUCGCCCCUCUAAGAUAGACUGAUAAGUGAUAGUGAGUUCAUCUGUUAAACUUGCUCUGAGAACUUACUUCCUGCGCAAAAAGGAAAAACAAAUAAACUAGAAUUUGUUAUGACACAGUAGAGUACAAUGAAUUUAAAAAAAUAUAUAUUUAGAUUAUUGUAUUAGUUUACAUCGCAUCUAAAUUUAGGUUAACUUUUUCCGACAAAAGGGUACUGUACGUUGCAAGUUGCGAUACGUGACAAGUUAGCCCUCUGUUUUAGUGCAAUUUACUGUGUGCCACAUGCACCUGUGAUUAGCCCACAGCUUCCAAGGGUUCGAUCGGCAAAUCGAGACUGAACCCAAUCCUGUGAUCCUGUCAGCAAUUUUGUCUCAUAUUUUUUGGAGCUUAAUGGUGCGACGUGACUCAUGUCCUCAUGGGUCAAGGAGAAAAUCGUCAGGUUAAACAAAUCGUUUGAUUACGUGUAUUUCUCGAAUGGGCACUUUUGAGUGUUACAUAAUUAAGCUUUUGAUGAGUGAGACAGUGAACCAGUGAUGCUAGUUCUUUCCUGCGGGAGGAAGGGAAGGUAUAUAUCUAUCCAUUCAUAUAGCAUGCGUGGCUACGACAUCAUCCACCGUUCGUUUUGGCAUCGAGAUGUGGCGCAACUUAUAGUAGCUUAUCUCGCAGGAGAAAAGUGAUUGAUUGUGAAUCUGAUCCUUAUCUCUCGCUUGUACUUCGUAGUAGAUAAUUCGGUCAUGUAGCACUAGUGCACUAUGACACUAUCUUAGAGGGGUGUUUUGAUUCAGGGACCAAACUUUAGUCUAUGUCACAUUGAAUGUUUGGACACUAAUUUACAGUAUUAAACAUAAACUACUUACAAAACUAAUUGCAUAAUAAAUAAGAGCUAAUCCACGAGACAAAUGUUUUAAGUCUAAAUAAUCUAUAAUUAGAGAAUGUUUACUGUAGCAUCACAUAGGCUAAUCAUGAAUUAAUUAGGCUCAAUAGAUUUAUUUUGCGAAUUAGUCUAGGGUUAUAAAAUAGAUUUUAUCAUUAGUUUACGUUUAAUACUUAUAAUUAAUAUUAAACAUCCGAUGUGACGGAUUAACCCAUCCAAACUCCCCCUUAGGCGUCAGGCUUUACUCCAUCUGCGAAUUAGUAGCAUUAUUAUUUUCGUUAAGACUCUGCAGUCAGAGCUCUCAUUUCAUGGAGAGCUGACGGGAUCAUAACCUAUUUGGUCGUUCUCAGAGGUAUCUUCAAUUGUUCAUUUGGCCAUUCAUCGGUCCGAUUAUCAAAGAUGCCUCCACGGCUGCACCCAAAUAAAAAUAUCGGCUUUAUUGUUUCCCUUAUAUUUAUGCUUAUAUAAACCACCGUUUAUUAGUAAGUUAAAAUUAAUUUAGUAAAAUUAGUAUAUACAUGUUAUUAGCGAUUAUUGUAAAAUAAACCAUAAUAAAAAUCCACAAAAUCAACUAUAAAAUUAAAAUUUAUAAAAUUUAACAUAUAAGCAUAUAAACGAGCUCUAUUGGAUUACUCGUCAACAAUGUUACAAUCAUGAACAUAUCGAUCGAGAAAUUUAAUUACACAAAACACUACAAAGGGACUCGGUUUGCUUUUUUCCCUCUACCUAAUCCAAAGACCAUCCGUUGCAGCCAUACAAAUCCGGUGUGCUACGUGCGCUCGAAACAGCCUGCAUCCCUGCAUCGCGGGAACCAAAACCGACAGUAACCGCAGGACAUUUCGCCCUAUCCACUCCGAUCCACUGCACCCCGCACCUCAGCGAGGCCACUUGACGAGCAAACAGCCAACAAAGCAGCAGCUGAUUCCGAUCCUUUCGUCCGAGCCGACCACUAGCUACCACUCGAGCUGGCGGCGGUCGCCGUCGCGAAAAGCAGACGUGGAGAGGCUAUCCAGGCUUUUCCCCUUUGAUCCCCUCGCCUUCUCGUCCGCCCGUGCUGCCGCCGCCCGCCGAUAUCUUCGGGCUAGCAUCGGGUUCGCCUCGCGUUCAUAAACGUUUUUCUAAUCUCUUUUUUGCUUGCUUUUUUUUCGCCUUAACGCGGCCCGGGCGGAGGGGGCCGCUUUCGGGGUGUCGCUUAGGACGAGGAUCCUCUGUAAUCGAAGUCACGUGACUUUAUUAUUGAUAUAUAAACCCGAUAAUAUUUAAGUUCAUAUGACAAAGUUACUGUGCAUUUGUUCAUUUGACUGAAGAGAAUCUUAAUCAGUCGGCUAUCGCGUUCUAUGCGUAUCUGUGGGUCUUUGGAGGAGCUGGACGAACGCACGCCAUCGGCCGCCAUGUGAGCUUAUUUUGCUCUUUCGGCUGUGUGGAAUUCUUAUCCGGUUUUGCACGGAGAUAUGGCGAUGAUUAGUUGGGGUAUUAUUAUACUCCUAUUUGGGGAAGGGGUCUUAAUUAAGGUGGUACGGAGUCUAAUACGUUUGACGCGAUUGCGUAGCCCAGGAGGAGACCAAGAUUGCAAACUGGUGUGACUGCCAAUGGAAAAAAUAAGUUUACUUGUUUCGUUCCAAAAAAAAUCAAAAUCAACCUAUAUAAAAAUGUGGCUCAUCUUAGAUUAAUUUCUUUUGAAAUGGAGAGAGUAAUUAAUAGCAGUAGGCCAGUACAAUCUUCUUCACAUCUUAGAAGUAGCCUGAAUUUUCACAAUCAGUUCAUUGUAUUUACAGAUUUGUAGAAUCGCUAAGAGCACCGGCAACAGUAAAAUAAUGUGCUAUCUAUAAAACAUGUAUAUCUCAGCAAUAGACUAGAUUAAUAGUAAACCACUUCAAUGGUAUGUUUACAUGUAUAUCUAUAGCUCUCUAAUCCAUUGCCUCGUUUUUCUCUAUAGACUAUCUAAAGAUUAGUAGAUAGCGUUGCUCUCCCUCUUCAUUUAAUCUUUUCCAAUUAAGAAAAUAUGCUGACAUAGAUAUAUUGUAGAGAGUCUAUAGAUAACAAUUCUGGGUGCCCUAAUAGUUCAUCACAUAUGUGCUCAUGCUAAUCUGCAACAGCAUAAUGAUCGUAUUAGCCCUGACCUGUCAUCCGCGACAGGCUGCCUGCACGACCGACCGUUAUCAUCAAUCAUCAUCGAUCCGUUGCUGGUCCCGCUGAGCCGUGGGCCCCACGUCGUCAUCCGCAACCCGCCUACGCUAAGCAAAAUCCCCAAACGGCCCCCACGUCUAACUGCACGCGUAACGGCGCUUCCCCCACCGCGUACUCCGUACUACCUCCGUCUCAAACCAAGUGUAGCCGUAGAUAUCUGUGUCCAACAUUUGACCAUCCGUCUUAUUUAAAACAUUUAUGAAAAAUUUGAAAAUAUUUAGUCACGUAUAAAGUACUAUUCAUGUUUUAUCAUUUAAUAGCAAUAAAAAUAUUAAUCAUAAAAAAUUUUCAAAUAAGAUGAACGGUCAAAUGUUAAACGUGAAUAGUGUAAAACUGCACUUAUUUUGGGACGGAGACGGAGGGAGUAGUAGCUAGCCGCCGUCACUUCCCAGUUCACGCCGUCAGAGGCCCGUCCCUAUUUAGCCGCACCCUUCGUCUCUCCACCCAAACCAAAACCACCAUCUCAUCAUCGGAAAAUUCAUCUCAAAAAAUCACCAGUGAUCCCAAUCCACUACUACGGCGAGAGCUAGCUCGAUGGAGGCAUCGCCGCCGACGUCGCCGUCGUCGCUAAGGCACAGACUGAGGACGACGGUGUGCUGCUGCUUCGGCUCGCCGGGGGAGCGGCGGAGCGGGGAGAAGCUGAGGUGGAGGCGGCGGGUGGCCGCGGGGGAGUUCGGGUACGACCCGCUCAGCUACGCGCUCAACUUCGACGAUGGCGACGGCGACGACGACGCCGCAGACGACGCCGCCGCGGCCUUCCGGUACAAGAACUUCUCCUCCCGGCUCCCGCCCUCGCCGGUGGCGGCGCCGGCGCGGCGGUCGACGGCCAUCGCCAUCUCAUGAACUGUACCCCACCUGUCUCCUCCUCCACGCCCUAACUCUUCUUCACUAUAGAGAGAUUAAACUGUGUACUCAUGAUUAAACUACAGCAUCAAAAAUUGUGAGAUUAUUACUACACUAUUAGCUUAGAGGAAAUGUUCCCAUGGUUUCGACACAUGGUUUCCUAUGUAAUUCGAUACAUAUCGAGAUGUUUGUGAAAAAUUGGUGAUGUAUCCCAGAAUUGGGGCGAUUUUAGUCUUGAAAAAAAAUCUCUCCCUCCUUUUACCGCGGUAGUUUUGGACUCGUGAAUCGGUGAAUGACAUGUGGGCCCGCGCGUGUGCGAGGCGAGUUUGGUGGCGCAGUAGGAGUGUACUCCCAUUCCCGCGUGCGCAUUGGUCUUUUUCGCCGGGGGAUAUGACGACGAAAUUUGGGGAUUGAGCCGGGGUUUGGAUUUUUCUGCAAAAUUUGGCGCCUUUGGAGAAAGGGGAAAAAUUAAGGGGAUUUAUGAGAAAAAAAGAGAGAAAUGGACGUUGCUGCGUUGCAGGCUGCGCAGCCAGUUGGUUGGACUUGGACCGGAUGCGCGUGCUGGGUCAAACCGAGAAGGAUUUGGUGGAUCCGAUGCGAUGGGGAAGGCGAGGAGGCGAGUUGAGUGGAGGUAGCCGUUUGCCUCGCCGUCUUGCCCGUUGCAGAUGCCAAUAUGCCAUUGCCACCACACGGUCUGGUCCACACUUGCACUGUCCAGUCUACGAGUGCCACCCCUUUUGUAACGUGACUGUUGUGCGUGGAUCAAGCUAGCGGACGCUUUUGGACGGUCAAAUGCGCAGUACUCGCCACUCGAAUUGGCGCGUGCACGUGUGCGCGAGCUGCUGCUGCUACAUUGGACUAAGGUGGUUUUUGAAACUCAUGCAGAUGGAGAUUAAGUAUUUUACAUAAAACGAUAUGCUAUUAACAUAGGGUUAAUUGAGUUUUAUCUAUUACAAACUUAAAACAUAUAUUUAUCUGAUAUUAUAUUUAUCUGAUAUUUUAGAGUAAUUUUUAUAUAGAAAGUUUCACAUGAAACGUGUCACGGAUAUCUAAAUUUUUGUCCAACUUUUAUUGGAGGAAAGAACAAGUCCUAACUAUAGAAGUACCCGAAGUACCCGGUGCGGUCCGUGUGCAAUUUGAUCCCAUCUAACUCGUCACAAGGUGUUUGCUUUGCUUCUUCAGCUCCACCGAUCAAUAAAAGAUUGCAUUCUGCAUUUUGUCACGAGUAUGACCAAUGGAUUUGUGGGUAUGUAGACACUAGUUAUAUUUGAAAAGCUUCUGAUAUACUCCCUUCAUUUCAUAAUGUAAGAUUUUCUAGCAUUGUCCAUAUUCAUAUAGAUAUUAAUGAAUCUAAACACUAUAUAUAUCUAGAUUCAUUAAUAUCUAUAUUAAUAUAAGCAAUGCUUCAAAGUUUUACAUUGUGAAAUGGAGGAAGUAAUAUAUAACUCCAGCUAUCGGAAGCUUUCAAGUGACAAAACAUGAUCUAACUAACAUUGUUCAUGUUCUGGAACAAAACAGGAAAGAAAAAACAGGCCGCCAGGGCAGCCAAAAAUAACUUUUUUUUAGAUAAUAGCCAAAAAUAACUAGCACUACUACUUACAACUACUAGGAGAAAGAGGCAAUAGUGAUAGUUAAUGUAGUAAUGUAGUAGAAAAAUUUUCUUUAAGAAAAUAUAUGUUUCGAAGCAUGAAACAUAUAAUAUAUGUCAAUAAUUCGAUUUUUAAGAUGAAGAAAGAAAGUCCUAAAGCGCAAUGCGUACUGUAACUUUUGAUGUCGUAUAGCCUUACGGGCCUAGCAGCGUCGCAAAGGAAAAAAGUCCAAUUGACUCCCUUAAAUAUCGAGCGAAUCUAAUUUGUACCCUUAACCAGAAAACCAGAUAAGAUGAUUCCUUAAACUAUUAAAACAGGUGUAAUUUAACUUACUGGGUGAUUUUGCAAGCGGUUUUGGCUGACGUGACAGUUACGUGGUGGUGUUGACCCGGUUUUCGUCCCAUGUGUCGUCGACGUGCCGCUUACGUGGAGAGCCCACAAGCACGGGAGAGAGAGAGAGAGGAGGGCUGACCGGCUGACUGGACAUGGGCAGGGUCGGUCAACGCCACGUGGGCAGCCACGGUGGCAAGACGAGAGGAGAGAAGGAGGGGGCGCCGGAUCGGACGGCUCACGGCGGCGAUCCGGGGGAAAGUGCUAGCACUGGAGGGUAGAGGAGAAGAUGGGCAAUCCAUUCACCGGCUUGGAUUGGGGAGAGGAGACACGAUGGCGACCGGCGGCGGCGGCGAAGCUCGCCGGAGUGCCGACAUGGCUGCGCGCAAGGAGCGAUACGCGGCUCGCACGGUUGGUUUGGUCGAGCCACUCCACCACUGCGACGCACACACGACGGCGUGAAGACCGAGAGUCACCGGCGACGGUAGCGCGGCGGAAGAAGCGGUGCGGUGAAAGGGGGGAAGAAGGCACGAGCGGCUAGGGCGGCGACUCGGGGCAGUCGCUAGGGACACGGGAAGGGCGACGGCGACGGGAUUUGAGAGAGAAAGGCCGACGACGGCACACGACUGCGUGCAGCGGCGGCGGAAGGGGCGGCACGACCGAGCGGCGGUGCACGGCGGACGACGCCGAGGCGGCACGGUGUCGAGGCGAGUGCGCCUCUUUCUCCUCCGCCUCCACCCAUGUCAGCUCCAGUGUCGACGCAGGCGUCGAUGUGCUUGGGGGAGAGGCGGGUGCUGGAGCUGAAGCAGAGCGUGUCGCGGAUGGUGAGGAGCGGGAAGAGGACGUCGCGCCGGGUGACGGGGGCGGUGGUUGGCGGUGGUGGCGGGGACGCCGUUGAGGAGGAGCAGGUCGGGAGGCGGGGAGGGGUGGAGGCGGCCGGUGAGGAUCUUGAGAAGGGUGGACUUUGGCGGCGCCGCUGGGGUCGACGAUGGCGAGGAGCUCGCUGGGGCGGGCGCGGCAGGAGACAUUGCGGGUAAUGUGGUGGGUGGUGGUGGGCUGAACCUGCUGCUGCUGCUCAUUCGAAGGGGGAAGAAAAAAGGGGGAGAGAAAAGAGAGAGAAGGGAGGAGGAAGGGAGGAGGAAGAAAGGAAGGAGAAAGGAUUACAUGUGGGCCCCACAUGUUGGUAGGUCCCACAAUAUAUUUUGUGUUUGAAUGACAUAUGGGUCCCACGGAUAUUUUUUAAAUUCUAAUGCCACAUAAGCGCCAUGUGUAAUAAAAAUCGGGUUAGCACCACCACGUCAGUAAAAACCGCCCUCCAAAACCUCUGGAGGAGUGAAAAUACACUCGUUUCUAUAAUUCGGGGAGUCGUUCUACCCGUUUUUUCAGUUAAGGCUCAUGAAUUAGAUUCGGUGAACAAUUAAGGGAGUCUAAGUGGACUUUUUCCCGUCGCAAACCAGCAACAGCUUAAAAGGGCCACAGACACACGGCCUUUGAUGGUGAGGCUCACUUCCAGAAUCUGAUUACCUGCACACGGAGCCCACUGAUUCUCGCCUUCAUGUCAGGAUUGGGCCAUUCAAUGGGCCGAAUUUAUUGGGCCUACCAGCCUCACUACCAGGCUUGUAGACUUAGAACGGCCUAUCGUGAUCCAAGAACAUUCAUGGGCCUCUUUUCUCCCAUAAAAAAACAGAAGACGACCAACUACUAGCCAAGUACGCAAGGCAAGCAAAGAGACAAGAUUGAAGAAAAGGUUGCAGCAAAUGUAGCCCUAGUAACCAAAAGCAAAUUAGGUGCGGAAAUGUCUGGUGUGGCAGGUAUGGGAGGAGUACUGAGCCACUGGUCCAAUUAAAUACAGUCAUGGUUGCAGCUAGAAACAUCCGUAUGUGUCACAGCUGCCUAACCACAUCGGACAUACUUGGUCCUAAAAUAACACCAUUUUUCUUCUCUGAUUUGUUCUAAAGUAAAUUUAUUUUUAAAUAAUUAUUAUAUUGAAGUUUGUGGCAGUAUGAAACAAGUACAUUAAAAGUAGAAAAAAUAAGUAAUAUCUACACUGGAAUUUGAUAAAAAAAGUUAUUUUAGUUAUUUUUUUUAUUGAUACUUGUGCUAUGAUGGAUAAUGAAUUUACUGAAGUUUCGCUCCUGUGCUCGCCAUGUCGACCAAGCGAAAUGUACGAAGACGUUUUCUUUGGGCCUGUUCACUUUGUUGCAAAAAAAAAACCUUACUAAAUUUUGGCAUUACCAAAAUUUUAACAUAGUUUGCCAAAAUUUCUUAUAUAGUUACUAAAAUUUGACAGCAAACUAAAUGUAGUCACUUUUUUUAGCAACUUUCCUAAAAUUUGGUAAGGUUGAAAAUGAAAUCAAAGUGAACAUGCCCAUUCUUUUCUGGCUUGCCACGUGACAUCAAUCUCCCCUCCCAUUGACCUCACGUGCGAUGCAUACAUUGCUGCUUGUUUGAGGCGACAGAUUGAGAGGAGUAUCCAAUCUUCAGCUAAAAAGCCUUUGCCAAAUGUGAUUGCAUCCUGUGUUCUUAAACUGUUGCCUGAUUCCUUCUGCCCAUGCAAAUACUAAUCAAAUGUGCAAUCCAUCCUGAAUAAUACAUACAGUAACAAAGUACUAGUACUGCCACUGGAUGAUCUCCACGAUCUAAGACUAGAUCCAAACAAAACCUGAAUGGACAAGUGACCAAACAAAAUGCACAGCAUCCAUCCAUCACUUUUCCCCGGUCAAAGAUCCAUGUGAGAAGAGCGGAGAAACCCACGGAGAAGAUAACAAAAAAAGAGAGAGGAAAUCGCAGCUGAAAGAACGGAAUGCCGACAUGGGAGCGGUGGAUAGUACAGUGGUACAUAGGUGAGGUGAUUUAGGGGGUGUUUAGAUCAGGUGUAAAAGUUUUAACGUGUCAUAUUAGAUAUUAUAUAGCGUAUCGUAUGGGGUGUUCGGACACUAAUAAAAAAACUAAUUAUAUAUAAUCCGUCAGUAAACCGCGAGACGAAUUUAUUAAGUCUAAUUAAUCUGUCAUUAGCAAAUGUUUACUGUAGCACCAUAUUAUCAAAUGAUGGAGCAAUUAGGUUUAAAAGAUCCGUCUCACAAAUUAGUCGCAAUACGUGCAAUUAUUUUUUAGCCUAUAAUUAAUACUUCAUGCAGGUGUUUAAAUGUUCGAUGUGACAGGGUGAAAAAAUUUAGAGUGGGAUCUAAACAUGGCCUUAGAACGAGUACAAUAACAGACUACAAGUUAGCUAUAAAUACAAGUGAAUGUGAUAAGAGGGCCUUAGAGAAGAGUAAGAGCACCCGCAAUGGUAAAGUAAGUUGCUCUCUAUAAAACAUGUACAUCUCAGCAAUAGACUAGAUUAAUAGUAAAUCACCUCAAUAGUAUGUCUACAUCGGUAUCUAUAGCUCUCUAAUGCAUUGCCUCGUUUUUCUCUAUAGACUAUCUCCAGGUUAGUAGAUAGUUUUGCUCUCUCUCUUCAUUUAAUAUCUUCCAAGUAAGAAAAUAUGUUGACAUGGAUCUCUUGUAGAGAGCCUAUAGAUAACCAUUGCGGGUGCCCUAAGAAGGAAAUUAGGUUACAAAUUUGUAGCUAGCUGCAACACGGAUUUCAAAAUGUUUUAUGUGUAUAAAAAGGUGGGACUAUAUAUUAAUAGUGUAAUAUAUAUUUAUAUGUAACUAUUAUAUAUUAUAUGAAUCAACUAUUAACUUGGCUAUAGAUGAUUUGAAGUUAGAGCAGGUACAAUAGCAGGCUAUAAGCCAACUAUAAACAUAUUUUAAAAAGAUAAAGGAAGAGAGAAGAGCAGCAAGUUACAUAUCUGUAGCCAUCUGUAGCACGGACUGCAAUACGUAAUGUGCGUAUGAUAGGUGGGACUAGAUAUUAAUAGUAUAAUAAGCAAAUAUUGCAUGAAUUGACUAUUAUAUUGUCUAUAAAUGAUUUGGAGUUAGUAGUGGGCUAUACUAUUAUUAAACUUGCUAUGAGUAGUCCACUGUACUAAUACUUGCUCUUAUACGCAUAGAAUAAGAGGCGCGCCACGCGAGUAGUACGCGACGCGACGCGGUGGUGGUGGCGAGGUGGUGACGCGCCGCGAGGCGAGACGGGGGGAAGAAGUGGUGGGCGACGCGACGCGACGCGAGUUCCGGGGCGCGCGCGAGUACCGGCAAAACCUGUAAAGAAGCAGAAGGCCGCGCGACUGCAAGAGGGUGCAAGCCACCUGGGUGUCCGGCUAGCUGGAUUCCUGGGCAUGUGGCCCAUGUGGCCUCUCUCCCCCUCUCGCUUCCAACUGGAUAAAACACCUGAAUUUCUCGCGGUUAUUCCCUCCGUCUCACAAUAAUAAAAUCAUUUUCUCCUCUUGUUUAUUUAAAAUAAAUUUAUUUUUAAGAAUUAUUUUAAAACACAAUCCAAAUACACACUCAUAAUACAUGCGCACUUAUUACAUCGGAGUUGAUGAAAAUAGAUGAUACUCUCUCCGGUUCCAUUUUAGUUGACGUUUUGGACAAUGACACGGUCUACAAAUACAUAUUUGAUCUUAUUUUUCUAUUAUAAUAUAUAUAAUAAAUAAAUGCAUGUUUACUUUUAUUUUAUUAUAGUACUUUAAAAGACAAAUCUAUAUAUGUUGUUCUAGUUCCUUCAAACUAAAUAUUUUUAAAGUUAUUGAUGGUCAAAUUUAUAAAAGUUUGACCUCAACCUUCUCCAAAACGUCAAUUAAUAUGGAACCGGAGGAAGUAAACAAUAUAUGGCUGAGUAGUAAGACCCAUCCCACAUGAUAUUGUAAAAGAAUGCAACAUUUAAUAGAAAUGCGGGACAUUUAUAAAUUGGGUACAAUAUGAUCAAUUGUAAUGCAUGACUUGCCUUGUUCUCACACUGAUGAGACCACAACAACGUCUUCGAGAAACCGUAGAGCGACGAAACGGCCGAGAUCUACGCGACAAACAAAGCACACAAGCAAAACAUGCUAUAAGACUACUGAAACAGGAAACAAAACCAUUUUUAAUGGAUUCUAUGCAUUUUUAUGAAUUUACUGAGACUUGAAUGGACUUAAACGGAGUUCGGAUGAAUUAGAUAUGAAUUUUAGAAGAUUAAAUGUGUUUUUACUAUAAAAGAAAAGGCCUUAACGGAUUUUAUUGCGCAAUAAAGGUCCAUGCUGACAUCAUCGAGGGGGGGGGGUGGGGCGGCGCCGACAAACGGGACCCACGGGUCAGUGACUCAAUGGGAGAGAGAGAGGGAGUGGUUGGCAGGCGGACCCCACCGGCAGCGGCUCCAAAGGGGGGGGUGGUGUCUGCCGGGCUCGGCUUGGCUCCAAGCCGGCUGGCCAUGGAGGGGCGGCGGCAAGCGGCCACCGACGGCGGCGACCGGCGACGCGGCGGCGCGACGGCGGCGCCGGCUCGGCGCUAGGAGGGAGAGGAAGGGGAAAAACGGGGGAGGGGUGCCUCACCGGGGUUCGGACGGCGCGGGAGGAGGCGACGACGAACGGCGACGGCGAGCGACCGGAGGGCGACGGCGAACAGCGGCCGAGCUCCGGGACACCCUAAGAGAGGAAAAGAGAGAGGUUAGAGGGAGAGAGGGAGUCCACGGCAAGCGGAAACCUCGGCGACGGAUUGUGACGGAUGAUCUUCGGCGACGGAUUGUGACGGAUGAGGGGUGGACGAGGCGGACCUCGGCCGCGCGAACCCGACGACAGUGGCGGCGUGGUGCGGCGGCGGCCCUAGCGGCUGCUAGAGGCGGCCGGAGCAGUGGAGAUGGCGGCUGCGGGUGGGCGCACGGUGCGGGCGCGGUGGAGAGCUCGGGAGCGGCCGAUGGAAAAAGGAAAAAUGAGGAGGAGAAUGCGGGGAUGGUUUAUAUGGGCUCGGGAGGGACGGACGAGGCUGGGAGGCGGCCGGAUUUCUCACCGACGUGGGGGAGUGGGGAGAGAGAGCUGGGGGGAUUCAAAAUUCGAAUCCGCCCCUUGUGGGCGCGCGGCGCGGGCGGGAAGGCGAGGGCGGCGUCGCGACAAUGUGGGGAGGGGCGUGGGGCACGGAGUGGGUGCGGGAGGAGCGGGGAAAGCGGCGGCGGCGCGGCGGUUUCGGCGGUGAUUGCCACCGUCGGCUGGAGGUGGAAGAAGGGGCCGACAGGUGGGCCCCACCUGUCGGUGACCCGGAGAGAGGAGGGAGGGAGUGGGCCAGCCCAGCAAGGAGGAAGGGCGCGGGAGGAAGUGGGCCUACGGCCCAAUAAGAGGAAAAAAAGGAAGGAAAAAGGAAGAAAAAGAAGAGAAAAGGAAAAAGGGGAUUUUCCAGGGAUUUAAAUAUUGCUUGUGCUCGAUUUUAAUUGGUUAAAAUUAUUUCUAGAGCUCUGAAAAUUCCAUUAAAAAUCUUGUUAGCACAUUUCGACAUGUAGAACUCAAGAAAAAUUCCACAUACCGAUUCCAAUUAUUAUUUGCAUUUAUUAAUUUAGGGAUUCAUCUCUAGGUUAAAUUAAAUCAUUUCUUCGGACGAUUUAUUUUAUGAAUUUUAAAGCAAAGAGGGAAACUUCAGGGCGUGACAGUAUUCUAGUAUUCUGGUUUUGUAUUAGUAUGUAUGAGAUGCGUGAAAAAUAAACUUAUUUUGGGACGAAGAUAGUAUGUUAUUAUAAUGGGCAUGCAUCGUAAGCUCUUAAGCAUUUGUUCCAAAAUAGAAUAAGUUAUCCUAAAUAUAAUAAUCUAAUACUAUUACUUAUAAAAGGUAAUUUUUUACCGCUAAAAUACUCAUAUUAUCCUAAAUAUAAUAACCUACUACCAGUUAUGAAUUCACGGUUAUAUCAUUAUUUUGUUCGAUGUAUGGGGUGUGUCAAGCACUUUGACGAUGGGUUGACGAUGGCUUCAGGCAACAUCCAACCCUUUUCUUCCUUAUCGCUUGCACCAAAUAAAAACUAGGAUCAUCCCACCCAUGAAUCAAACUAGGGAGUGGUCUCGCCCCCUGCAUCCCACCCACCUUCUCCGAGAACCAAACACCACCUGCACUAGCUACUGCUAGUCCUAUCGUCCUGCUCAUCUGCCAAUCUGCUACGGAGAGGAGGCUAACACUGUGAGUCUGUCUGUGAUCCUGUGACUGAGCUUGAGGAUAUCUGUGCCCUCUUGCUUCCCCACAGGCUGGGGAUUUGGGGCCAUGUGCUUUGGGAGUGAACCAGUAAUCUUCUUUACUACUACUAAUCUUCUUUAUUAGUAGGUUAUGCGUGAAAGAUGUUUUUUCCCCUAGAUUAACACGAUCUUUUACGACGACAUACCCACUGAAAACAGUUGAGGGUGUAAAUUCAGACGACCGAAAGUGGUAAAUGGGAUAACAGAAGAAUCGAAGAGCACAGAAAACACGUACAUCAGGGAAGGACCUAAUCAAUAAUUAGAAGGGGUGAGGCUUCGAAACCAGGUCGUCUAGCCCACCACCUUGUGGAGCUAGCCGGAAGACCCAUGUGCGUUUCUCGAAGAAUCGAAGAGCACACUGAGAUCCCUUUUAAAUAAUGGAAUGGUGAAAAACACAGAAAAAUGAAAAAAAUAUAGGAUUUUAAUAAAAGUACUUGUGUAACAUAAAAUAUUUUAAAACACGAAAAUAAUCAUUUAGACAGACAAUAGAAGAAACAUAAAAAUUUGUAUGAGAGGAGAGAUAGAGUUAGAGAAACUUUAAAGAGGUUAGAGCUAGCUCUUACUAACUUAGGAACUUAUGUCAUGCACAUAAGCUUUCGUAUGCAUACCGUUCAAACUAACUAACAAAUAUUACCGAAAUAGUAAAGAAAAAGUGAACAUGUACUUAAAAUCAUGUUACGUCUAUGUGUAAAGUCUCGCCUUCAAAUUUAUACAUAGAGAGAUAAAAAAAAUAAAAUUCUAAUAGAUUUAUACUAUUACAACUGUAAUUUUGAGGUGCUACUAAAAUAUAAUGAAUUUAAGUUAAAACUUUACAUACAUGUAGGUAAAAUAUUAUUGGAAGUUUUUGUCUAAAAGUUUUGGUGAUAUUUGUUACUGAUAUGCACGAUACACAUAUAAGUUUGUCUACAUAGGAUAUGUUUUCUACUGAUUUUUUUUCUAAGAUAUACAUGCAUUAAGCCAUUUCUAAAGAAUUUUCUGUUUCGAAAUGUAGAAAGCUCCAAUCCUCUGUUUCGAAAUGUCAAAUAAUUUGUUUUAUGUACGAUUGGAAUCCUACAAAGGAUGCCUCUUCGGAAGCCGUUUUGCUGUGUGACAGGAUCAAGGUGUGUUUGCUGGCAGGUGGUCAGGCAGCUCAACACUGUUACCAUUUUGACUGUCACUUAACUGGACCUGGAUUCCAAUAAAGUGCAGGGUACAAGGAAUCUUAAGCAAAACAGUGUGUGACAGUGAGGCUGGCUGGUGGUGACUAUGCUCCCUCCUGGUCACAGCAAAUCCCAGGCUAUGUGACAAGAAGAACACGCAGAAACAGCUUGCCGUGUGCGUCGGAGACGAGUAAAAAAAAAAAGUACAGGGUGCAUCCAAAACUGAAUGCAUCAAGACGCUUAGGUAUAGUAUUUCUUUUCUUUUCAUCAGCAUUCGUCUCCAAUUAGCUUAAAGUCUUAAACCAUGCUAAAAUAAUCACGGUUUAAGGAUGAACUUUUCCCCGGGAUCAGAUCAUCAACUAAUUUGGACACCCUCUUGCCCUUGAUUAAGGGUUCAACGUGGGGACGAAAUCCUUGCUUCACUCUUUCACAAUCACAUCCCUCUUUAUUCCAUGCACGACAGCAAACUAGUAUCUCAUAAAGCUAAAAUAUCUCACUUGCGAGGUGGUUUAAUUAUUCAGUAAUCAAAAGUGUGCGUGUUUUUUUUCUUGGCCCAUACCUAGAACAUGGAAAUUAUUGUCCUCUUUGAAAUAGAUGUCAGAUCACAGUUCACGACAGGUAAGAUGACCGGUCUGCAUUGUUUGACCACUCGUCUUAUUCAAAAAAUUUGUGCUAAUAUAAAAAACGAAAAGUUAUGCUUAAAGUAAUUUGGAUAAUAAAGUAAGUCAAAAAAAAUAAUAAUUCUAAAAUUUUUUAAAUAAGACGAGUGAUCAAGCAAUACAAGAAAAACUCAAAAUCCCUUAUAUUAUAGGACGGAGGGAGUAGAUUACUUGGAAUCACCUGGUGACAAUCUCCCCUGUAUGUAGAAUAACCUUACCUUACGUUAAGUUACAAGAUUCAUUUCUAAUUAAUCGAGAUAUGCAUGCAAACAACUCUAAUACAAAGGAGAUUCCAUCGGAGCUUAACUCAAUCAUCUUGUUAUAAACUAUGGAUAUUUUAAAAUGACCAGCAUGGGAUUUAUAGUACAGCAACCCGGUCAGUUGUUCAGGUUCUUUGAAAAACCUACGGUACAAUUUUAUUGAAAUCAUGGAGAUUCAAAAUAGAAUUUUCAUAUUAAAUCAUCACCAUAGUUAGAUUUAUCUGAACUCUAAAAUUUUACUACCUCCGUCAUUUUCAGCUGAUUUUUUUUGCGCGUUACACGUUAAUCAAAGGAAAUUCAUGACAAAUACUAUAGAUAACCGCUUAUUCCUCAAAUUUAUCCUACUACUCUCAUUCAUCUGUCCACAUAGUAGAUAGCUACUGUACUCUGUCCUACAUCUAACUGCAGCUUGCUCAAAUUUCUCCUACUACCACUCACCCAUCUCUCCACACAGAUAGCAGGUACUGUAUUUGAGUAUUGGCUACUAGGUGGUGGUUAAAGAUGAUCAAUGCUGAUGAUUACACCACCUGUGAGGAAGCUGGCAAAGGACUUGAUAAAGUGGAGUAUCCUCUUGCCCAAUGGAGAUGUUGGGGCGGACACCAACACCCCUGAUUGGGGACACGAGCUCCGGAGGCCCCACGCUGUGCCACCCAUGGCGACGUCCUUCUCCCAUCUUCUUCCAUUUUGUUUAACACUCGCUUUGCCGUCCUAGUUGGACAGUUUCUUAGGUUUCAUCUUUCUUCUGUCGGGACCAGCAAGAUUAAUCCACCAUAAUGCUUGGAACUGCCUUCUUUUCACAUAAAAAAACACUUAGUUUUAGCACAUAAAAGAAAUACCUAUAAGAGCGAAGACGCGAUCAUUUUUAUAAUGAACUUAUAAGUAUUUCGCGUUCGUUUUCCUUUUUCAUUUUAGUCGCAAAAUGCAUAAAUAUUAGUAAGAAAUAGUUCCACUUCUAUGGAAAGCUUGGAGAAUCAUGUGUUCUAUGGAUGAAAAGAGGAUGGCAUACUCUCCUAGGAUGCUACUUCUGCAGGAGGAUGAUGCUAAAGGCUAAAGCAAAGCACUCCCCCUUCUGUCAUGGUACUAGGAGGGAUCAGGUGCUCCAAUUACAACCUAAAGCAUCCUAUUAAUGAACUGAACUACUUUAAGAUUCUGCUGGGGUGCAUUCCUGUAGGCCCAGUUGUCCUUUUAAUGAGGGGGUGCCAGUAAAUGUAUGCCACCUAAGGUCAGGUCGAGGCUCUUCAAUUUUGUUCUUGUGUGACUGGAGUAGAUCUGUGGUUUUUGUUAUAGACAGGCAGCCACCACUAUGGCUGAGUAAAAUAAUACCUGUAUGCCAGUAAAAAACAAUAAUAUAUGUAUAAUCAUGUAUAGUUGCUCUCUUUGUGUUUUUAGCAACACCACUCUGAUUUUCUAGAGUUUUUAACUUUCAACCUUGGUAAAUGUUGGGUGUAGUGGUGCCAAACUAGUAAGUAGUGGCUUUGUGUGUAAGAAUGCAUGGGACUGUGUUUGAGCAAAUGCAUAAGCAAUGCAAGAAUCUGAUAAUACUACCAGCAUGGAAGUGGUGAUGGGUUGUCCAUGCACUCCACUGAAAUAUAUUGUGGAAAAGGAAACAAUAAAAAUGUACAAGUUGGAAACACAUUGAGACAAGCAAAGUUGCCUAAAAGGAAGACUUAUAAGUUGUUAUCAAUUUUAUCUUUACAUGACGAUGCUAAAUACUCUGGCCACAGUAGGUUUAGAUAGACGCAUUCAUGAUUAUGAUGGACUUCUUCCCUCAAGGGUACAGUUUUUUUCCCCCAAAUAAAUAGAUCAAAUUUCACAUGCAAUUCAACAAGUUAUUUGAAAUUGAGUUAUAUUCACCAUACAACUCUAUGACUAUUUAUAAAUAUACAAUUGUUGUCCAUAUGUAUUUGCAGUAAGCUAGGCCAUUAAAAUUUCAUCCCACCAAAAUAGAUGGUGUACCUUUUUUUCUUAUAUGACAAACACAAUAAUUUCAAGACUUCAAAAGAGGCGACGAAGUGGCUCAUUUUAGGUCUCUCUUUAUGGUAGUAAAAAUAUUUUUCUUACCCAUGAAUGCAUAAUUGUCUGUCACUGAUCUUAAAUAUUAAUGAAGAAUAGAUUCAAAUCAUUAGUAUGUAAAAACCAACCGAAAGUAUAGAAUACACGGAUCAUGAUGCUAUAUCUUUCGAUAUUCCCGAGAAGAGCUAUUAUCUCACAACAAUCUUGUUGACGUCAGAUAUCUUUGACGCUCAUAUCAUGGUUUAGUGCGUAGAAACAUUGACUUAUAGUCUUGGCCGUAUCCGUUGAUUCUAUCUAUACGAUAUGCAUUGGAUGCUUAUCUUUUCGAGUACACACGUAAACCAUAUCUUGUAGAUAUGUUUAUUACGCCAUUACUAAGAUAUUGCAUAACAUUAAAUCGCUAUUGAGGCAUUGACGAUAGACAAUAACAUCUUGCCAGAUAAAGAUCACUAUUACUGUCUUACCACAUAAAGCUCUCUGUUUUUUUACCAGAAACAUAAAGCUCUCUGUUGUAGCACAUAUCUGUUUUAACCCAAAUACCAACCGUAACACAUACCUUCUUCUACAAUAACCUAUAACCCAUACACACAAAAUUUUCCCAACUUUUAAACGAAAAACCAAUCUUCUCCAGCCAUCCAAAAGCAAAAAAUCAAGCUAAGAAAACCCCCAAACAACCAAAUAGAAACCUCCAAAUUAACCUAAGAAAAACCGACGCCGAUAAGUGACAACCCAUUUUUUUUCCAAAAAUAAUAAAAUAAUAUAACAAAGAAAACGAGCAACCGAAGCGAGCCAAGGGUUUUUGAGUACAAACGCACCGUCCCCCAGUCUAGUCUACUCCUCCCCUCCCCUUCCCCCUUCCCUCCCUCCCUCCACUCCUCUCCCCCCUUCGCCUCCACCUCCGCAACAACAAAUACUACUACGCAAAAAAAUUCCCUAACCUCGCAAGCAGCAGCAGCGACUCCGCCGAGGAGGAGGAGAGCAUCGAGCAGCUCGCUCCCCUCCCCCCUCUCGGAUCCGCUCGCCCGCAAUCGCGUGGGCUUCUCCCUCCCCCGAUUCGCCCCCUCCAAAACCCUAGGCUAGAUCCAGCCCGAGGAGGAGGAGGAGGAGGGGGAGGAGGUGGUGGUGGUGGGACGGACUGGACGGCCCCGCGCCCGCCGCCGAUGGCCGCCGAGGACGCGGGCGGCGGCGCGGGGGAGAGGAUGAAGCUGCUGUGCAGCCUCGGCGGCCGCAUCCUCCCGCGCCCGGGCGACGGGACGCUGCGGUACGCCGGCGGCGACACCCGGAUCGUGUCGGUGCCGCGCGGGGUGGCGCUCGGGGAGCUGUUCGGGAGGCUCGCCGAGGCGUACGGGGGCGCCACGGGGGCGAGCUUCGCGGUGAAGUACCAGCUCCCCGACGAGGGCCUCGACGCGCUCAUCUCCGUGUCCUCGCCGGAGGAUCUCGACAACAUGAUCGAGGAGUAUGACAAGCUGGCCGGCGCGAGCCCCAAGCUGAGGGUGUUCAUCUUCCCCAUCUCCGACGCGGCGGGCGGUGGCGGCGGGGAGGAGGCGGAGGGCGGGGGAUUCGAUGCCGGGCUCCGGUAUCUGGAGGCGGUGAACGGUAUUGUGCGCAAGGACAGCGUCGCGAGCCUCUCGUCGACGCAGAACUCCGAUGGCGGGCCGCCUCCGCCGGCGCCGACUUCGGGUGGUGGCGGCGGCGGCGGUUCUCCGACCGCGCUCUCCCCCACCUCUACUUGCUCGAAUGAUGCCGCGAGAUCGGCGUUUGGUGUGGCGGCGCCGCCACCGCUUGUCGAUGUGUUCAGCAAUGCCGCUGCUCCGGCUCCUGUCCCUGUGAAGCCACAGGAGAUUGCUGCUGAAGUGAGGGCUCCACCGCAGGCGAAUCCACAGCCGGAAGCAGCGAGGUACCGGCAGCCGCUGUCGCAGCUACCACCGUUGCCGCCUGUGUUCAUGAACGAUCAUAGGGAGGCCAUGCAGGGUCUGAAUCAGGCGAUGCCAGGAAAUGGGGGAAGGCUGGAAGACUGCAAUAUGUGCUUGAAGGCACUUCCUCAUGCUCACUCAGAUCCAGUGGUGAAUGACUACGGUAGCGAUAUGCAUGGAGGGCCUGGCCCCGAGACGGUGCCGGUAUACAUGAGCCUGCGGCCAGAAGACGUGGCAAGGAUUAUGAUGCCGGAGAGGGCGGUGCCAGUUCCGAUGGGGGCUUAUGGGUACACCCAUAUGCAUCCCGUGCCGCAUGAGAGGGAGAUGAUGUAUGCGCAGCAGGUUGAAGGGAUUCCGAACACAGUGCUCAUUGACCCAUCUGGCUUGCAUCAGCAUGUGUAUGUUCAUCAGCAGCAGCAAGUUCCACCACAGCAGUUGCCUUCAACCUAUGGAUUUAACCAGAUCCCUGUGAUUCCAAAUGAGAAGGACAGAGUAGUUUCUCCAGGUUCGGCUCAUUCUGAUAUCUCAAGCUCUCAUCAACACAUUAUGCAGCAGCCGCUGCCACCGCAGCAGCAGCAAUUGCCUUCAGGCCAAGGAAUGGCACAAUAUCCCGUCAAGCAAAAUAGUCCAAACAAUCAGCUUACAGGUGAGGGUAGCCUAAGUGGCAAUGCAAGGCAUCGUGAGGAUGGACUGACGCGCCGUGAUAAUGUGUCCCCAGUGGCACCUGCUGCUGUGCCGACUUAUAUGGCUAAUGUGGACAGGAUGAUGGAUUCGCUCCGCUUGAGCCCUAGUGAGGCCAGUUCUGCCUCUACUGAACAAAGAAAGCCAGUGAUGCCUCCUGAGAAUGGUGUACCCCAGAAUGCCAUACCAGAAAACUCUCAGGGGUUCCCAGAUACUCGAGCAAGAGAAGUUAGUCAGAGCAACACCAACACCUUUUUUGAUGUCAGUGAACCUAAGGUAGUCCUUCCAACUGAACCAGCACCAUCACCUUCCAUUGCCAGCUCUUAUUUGCACAAUGUUCAGCACACCAAUGUGAGCCAUAUGCCACAUAUGAUGAGCAUCGGGGGUCCCUACUCGAGUUAUGUUGUAGCUACGGUUGGGCCUGGUGGAGUGCCUCCAUCGGCUUAUGGUGUUGAUCUUGUCUAUGCAAAUUCUGCUGUAAAUCCAUUAAGUGAGCGCAAGGAUGUUCCACAUGAAGUAGCUCCAAAUGCUAAUGCUCAGGUACCUGCAGCAGCAUUGGUAAAUCAUGCUCCCAAUGUGGACCAAAUCCAAGAGUCUGGCUUACAAGGCCAGCAAUUUGGCAAUGACGACCCCUGGAAAGUAGUGACAAAUACACAUGCUUUGCCACCGAGACCUAAGAGGGUAGCAAGCAGGGAAAACAUCAGCCCGAAGGAUCCACAUUCUCACAACUCUUUAUUAAAUUGCAAAGGGCCAGAUCUGAAUAUUCCGGCUGAAGAUGUUGCUCUCCACCAACAAUCAGAUCACAAGGACGCCCAUACAGAGCAUGGUCGAUUCAUCAAAGGUUGUCUGCUUAACCAUAUUUCCUGAUAAAACCUUGUCAAUAUAUGUACUUGUAAGUUGUGAAUCUUAUUUCUGCAUAUCGCAUCAAUCCAGGUGAUGAUAUGACCAGCCCAGAUUUGGUAAGUGUCGAGGACAGUUUACCUACAUCUAAUACAAAGUCAUCAGAGCCUCAGCCUCCUGUGGUGAAUGAUGGAGUUGGUGCUGUCACUGGUAAAGUAGAUGCUGAAGCACACGCCAAUGAGGUUAAUAUAUAAUUUCUUACUUUCUCAGAUGUGUCCUUAUUCAUGUCAUCCUUAAUGCUAAGCAAGAGAAUCAUGCAGGUUAACAAGAGCAGACCAGCAGAUUGGAUUUCAGGUUUUCCAGCUACUGAUGAUCUUGGACGUCUGCAGGUUACUUUCGUGAACUAUAGCUUUUUAAUCGUGCAAAUCUUUGAUAGUUAGUUCUGUUACCAAUCAAAUGUUUAUGUUGCAGAUUAUAAAGAAUAAUGACCUUGAAGAGCUCCAAGAACUUGGUUCUGGAACUUUUGGAACCGUAUAUCAUGGUAAAUGGAGGGGAUCUGAUGUUGCUAUUAAAAGAAUCAAUGACAGAUGUUUUGCUGGGAAGCCAUCAGAGCAAGACAAGAUGGUUAGUUCUCACACUUCAGAUUGUUAUGUUUGGCUAUGCUGUCUUUGCAUUGAUAUAUCCUGGAUUACUGCAGCGGAAUGACUUUUGGAAUGAAGCAUCUAAACUUGCUGAUCUACACCACCCAAAUGUCGUGGCCUUUUAUGGUGUUGUUCUUGAUGGACCUGGGGGAUCAAUUGCCACUGUUACUGAAUACAUGGUUAAUGGUUCACUCAGAACAGCUUUGCUGAAGAAUGCCAAGUAUGUCCCUUUACACCCAGAGUUAUCUUCUGCUUUGAUCUGUUACAUCCUAAUGUCUAAUGCACAUAAAAUUGGUGGUCUUGCAUGGUGUUGAUUGAAUCAAAUUAUCUGUGCAGGACCCUGGAUAAGCGUAAGAGAUUGAUAAUUGCCAUGGAUACUGCUUUCGGAAUGGAAUAUUUGCAUAACAAAAACAUAGUGCACUUUGACCUGAAAAGUGACAAUUUGCUUGUUAAUUUAAGGGAUCCUCAGCGUCCAAUAUGCAAGGUAAGCAGCAGGCUCCAUUUGUUUUUAUUAGAUUGCUACAUCGUGUUGCUAAAUUAUUAUGAUUUCCCUUAUCUGUAAUAUUUGUGGUACUUGAUAUUAGGUAAUUUAGGCAGUAUGUCCUAUAUUGUCCUUUUAAACUGGGUACUCAUGGUAAUUUUUAGCAUUAUUAUCCCACAUUCUUGUAAAUUUACUUCUUAGGAGCAUAUGGUGUCCGCUGUUCUGAUCCAGAUAGAUAUCUAGUUUGCCUGGUACAGAAUUGCUGUUAGUACUGAAUGAUUAUAUCUGCUUGGUUGGAACCUGCUGCCGCUUGGGCAUCUUCCGCUGCAGCUUCAUGGAGCAUGACAUAUGUAUGAUAGGAUGAUGGAGCAGCUCUGAUAUUUGUUUUAUUAUAUGUUAGUAAGACACAAAUGGUGGCAUGGGUACACGAUCUGAUAAGAGGAAGUUUCUAAAAGUUUAACUACUUGAUAUAACUUGAGAUUAUAAACAUCUGCUUUCUAGCAAAGACCUCUCUGUACAAAUUCUUGAGCCUGCUUGUUUGUCAUCUUAGUUUGUACUCCCUCCGUCCCAAUAUAAUUGCAACCUAGUACGGAUGUGACAUACCCUAUGACUAGGAAUCUGGAUAGGCAACUGUCCAGAUUCGUAAUCCUAGGAUAUGUCACAUCAUUGUCUAUCCAGAUUCCUAGCCCUAGGAUAUGUCACAUCAGUACUAGGUUUGCACUUAUAUUGGGACGGAGGGAGUAUUCUUUUAGUUGAUCGACUAGCGUUCUUUGUUGAAUUUUCUAUGAAACACUUAGCAGCAUUUGCUUUUAACACCUUGAAAUGUCACCAGGCAUUUGCAAAUGUGGCUGGACUGAUAUAUUGCUGAUGCAAACUUCCAGCAAAUUUCAUUUUACUUGUGCCAACAAAGUGACCUUUUGAAAAUAUAAUUAGGUGACUGGUGUCCUUUCCCCUAUAUAUUUAGCUAUUUUGUAAUAAUUUUCUUCGAUGAUGUAGGUUGGUGAUCUUGGACUUUCAAAAGUAAAAUGUCAGACCCUCAUCUCUGGUGGUGUGAGGGGGACUCUUCCAUGGAUGGCUCCAGAACUUCUGAAUGGAAGUAGCAGCUUGGUCUCCGAAAAGGUCUACAUAUUGAUUGUGUCAUAUUAUCAUUUGACCUGCUACAUUCAUGUCCAUAUUAAACUAACAUUAACGUUGCCUUGGUGCCUCAGGUUGAUGUGUUCUCCUUUGGGAUUGUUCUCUGGGAACUCUUAACAGGAGAAGAACCAUACGCAGAUCUGCAUUAUGGUGUUAUUAUAGGUUGGUCUUGAUUUCCCAUUUCAGAUUUUACAUGAUCCUUAUCUGAUACUGUCGUAGGAAUUAUACGUGCAAUAUAGAUGGACAAAGAUGAUUUGAUUGCCAAGCUUGGUGUAAAAUUUUCUACUCUUGGCAGGUGGCAUUGUGAGCAACACUCUACGACCAGCAGUACCUGACUCUUGUGAUCCAGAGUGGAGAUCACUAAUGGAGCAAUGUUGGUCGACAGAACCAUCCGAACGGCCAACCUUUACGGAGAUUGCUGGUAGGUUACGCUCCAUGGCUGCAUCCCAUAAGGUGCAACCCUGAGGUGAACAACCUGGGAUGGGAUAUUGUAACAGAAUGGCCGGCAACAAACUUCUGGGGCAUCGGUGGACAAGUUCUCUACUGCCAGAUCGCGUAUUUAGGAAUUCAGCACUGAUAUAAAUAUGCCUUCAUUUAUGUCCCUAGGAUCUAUCUGUUCAUACCUCUUCAUUGUUUCAUAUCUUGUAAUCAAAAAAAGUUACCAGCCGUGUGUCCAGAAGCAUCGCAAUGGACGGUCUCAGAUCCAUAUUCUUUCAUUUAUACCUUUUGCUUAGAGGUGCGUUUAAUAAGUUAUUAGUCUAGAGUCAGUUAUAGGGAGCCCAAUAUGUUUUCCUUUUUUCUUUUUCUCCCCCUUUUCCUGGGUAAUAAUUGAGUUAUUUGGGAGUCAAUCGGUCGGUCGGUCGGAAUGUAAACUGAUGUUGAAGGGUAAUUAAGCUUGGUUGGUCUUUGCAAGUCUUGGAACACAGAGUGAGGUCCUUGCUUGUAAUAAGAUGUCUGUUUUUCUUUUUUGUGGUUUGUGAGAUAUACCGAUUUGUUAAGUACUCUUGUAACAGUCACAAGUCAUCAUGUAUGAUGUGUUGCAGUUUUGCUGAAGAUAGUUAUAAGACUAUUGUUGCAGAGAUUUAUUGCUCUCUUGCCAGAGUUUUGCCGCUGCUUCUAUGCUUGAAAUGAGCUGGUUUUGGAUAUUUCCUUUCGCGAACACGUGAAAAGAUUGCACGUCAAAAUAUUAGAAAUAUUAGAAGAAAGAGCUGGUUUUGGAUUCGUGGCAACAAUCUCUCGUUACCUAGAAUCCGCCAUGGUUGUUUCUGGAUUCAUGGUUGCGAUUUAUUCGUUACCUGAAUCUGCCAUGGUUGUCGUCUAGUGGAUCAUCUGGAUACUGUUUGCGCUGUGGACUUCAUCUCUCUGUUGGCGCGGCACGUACAGAGGGUAUAGAUGACGGAUUGGCCAUGUGGUGACUGACGGCGACACGUGAUGGCAAAUUCGGUGGACGCGGCGCGCCCGUCGUGACUGAAGCGGCGGUCGAUUUCGCUCCCCGAAUCGGGCAUGGAACGCGUAUGUGCACGACGCGUGCGCCAUCACGCACAACAGUUAGCCGAAAAGAAUCUCCGGCUGUCAUCGAUCAGUGGGCUAAUUGCCGAUAAUACCACAAACGAUCUAUUAACGAUAAAAUGAUUUUUAUAUAUUUGUUCUUAAUGGUUUCAAUAUCAAUAUUGAAAAAGAACUAUGAUUAAAACCUUAAAAUCGAUUUUAAAUUCAAGUUUUAAAGAUCUAUUCCUAAAUUUUAGCAUAGACAUAUACGCUGUAGGGUAAAACAUGUGACCCCUCCAGAACACAACAAACCAAAUAGGUCUCCACACUUUGCUCACCGAUCUCCACGGCGACGUGGGUUGUACACUUUACCCUCCAAUCUCAACGACGCCAUAGUAGUAGUACUAGCAGUGAGUAGAUCAGUAGGAUCGGGAACGAAUGGAGAGGCCGAGAUCCAGUCUCGCGACUCGCAACGAAGCAGUCGUCCAAUUGAUCUACGUUGGUUGUUGCACUAGUUGCAAUCCUCUCCCUCUUGUAUUUUAUCGAUCUUCCCGGCAAGCCGGGAUCCUGUCCAGCUAAACCGCCGCAAACACCCAUCGGGGUCCCUUGUUCAUGCAUAUAUCCAUGAUCCAUCCCAAUCCCCCAGACCGAUCGAUCAAUCGAUCGAUCGGAUCAGCGCCGAAGCAUGUGUUCUUUCAUCUUUCUGCAAUUGAUUUGACCCCCUUUUGUUUUUCUCGGUGUACAUUAUGCACAUAAAACUAGCGCUUUCCCUACGCAUGGUUAGGAAAAAUGGAGGUGCAUAUGCUGUAUGGAAAUUCAUAGUACAUGCCAUUCCACUUCUUUUUCCCCCCUGAACCGUAGCAUAAAAACAUACGCUCGUAUGUACACAUACACACUUAUCAUUAUAAACACACAAAUGUACAUCAUAUUAGCCAUAUAUUUGCCGUUUACCGGUACACCACAUAAAUAAUAUAUAAGUAUAAAUAAAAGCACUCAUGUCAAAGUUUACAAAAUUUCACAUAAUAAUCCAUUCCUAAAUUUGUAAUAACAGUGGCUAACCUGAUAUUUGCAAUUUUAUUUUAUUUUGGGGGGCCAAAACAAACAAGCCUCUAAGCAAGAUGACAAAUUUAUCGAUAAAAAAACUAGUUUAGGAGAGUUCUCAAUUUUAGAUUACGAAAUUUUAAAUGAAGGUGUGAACCAUGAGCUUGUUUGGUAGGAAUCCAAUUACUAAAUAUAACUCUAAGAAGAGUCUAUAGUGUAGUUGUUGAGCAGCUCGAACCAUCGCUCCACACUUCUAGUUUGUUUUCUCAUAUCACUGCAGCCUGCUCUGUUUUCUUUUGAGGUGGAGUUCAGAAACCAUUUCAGGUGUGUUUACCAUUGCUCCAACUGCUAAAUUUAACUUUAGGAGUUAGAUCUACAGUUGUGGAGCAGACUAAACCUAACUCCAUCUCUCUAGUUCAUUUUAUGAGAGCACUCUAGUAAGCUCCACUCCCUUUUUAGGUGGAUCUAAAAUUGUUUGGAUCUAUUUGACAGAACUCCAACGAUUAAAUUUAACUAUACGAGUUAGGUCUACUAAAGCUCUAAAAGAGAUUGAUCAUGGGAGUUUCAUUUUUACUCCCAGUCCUUUGUUUAGUAGUAGAGGUGGAAAUAAUGGGGAGUAUGGAUAAGAAUUAAAUUUUAAGUGAUGAUGCACGACUCAUAUUUAUCUUGUCAUACUUAGAAAGUAUAAUUAUCUCCCAAUUAACUACCCUACACAGUUAUUGAAAAGGUGGGAGUUCACCCUUAAACUCUCCUUUCCAAUCCCUUCUAAAACUCCCACAUUAUCCAAGCAAAUAAUAGACAUAUCACCAACAGAUUACCUAUAAUAUUUCUCCAAAAAAUUGUUUAUAGGUUUCCUAAACUGAAAAUAGUAAGUGAAAAAACUCCUCCCUCCAACAGAUAGCUUUAAAUUCAAUCCCCAAAGCUUAAAAGUGGGCCAUUCUGUUAAACUACCAACAGUAAAUUCCGUUUUUUUUUUCCUUUCACGCGUAGAAAGAUCGCUAUCUCCCACGCGCGGCAACGGGAGGAGAGAGGUGGGAGUGCGAGAUUGUGAGCGAGUUUCGCGCCCGCAUAUAAACGGAGCGAGUAAUCGGGAGAAGGGAACACCAAAACUCAGGUAGGAAAGUAGGGGAUCUGUUAUAGCUGGUUUUUAGACUAAAAUUCUUCAAAAUCAGUUUUGGGAUUGAGAUAGGUAUACUGUUGGUGAUCCUCGAAAAUAAUUCCAUAACCAAACUGGCCGUAAAUGGACAGGUGAGAGCUGAAACCAGCCCAAGAUUCUUGGGGGCGAUCGAUGGGUACAACGACCAAACGGGGAUUCUGGCCCACCCAAAUGAGGCCCAUAACAGUUUCUCUCAAUUGCGACACUGGGCCUAAACGGCCCAAGAACCACUCUCUUCCGUAGUGGUUGCAAGUUGCGACCCCUAGCUAGCUCCGUCUCUCCUCUUCCGCAUCGCCUCCAUAAUUUUCUUUCCCCUCCUCUCCUCACCUCGAUCUCCUCCUCCUCCUCCUCCGCCGCACCGAGGGUUUCGCCUCCGCCUUCCACCGCUGCCGCAGAGGGGACGAACCGAGGGGCAGGAAUGGCGGCGCGGCACCUCAGAUCCGGCCUCCCCCUCCUCCGCGCCCACCUCUCCCAGGUCUUCCCCUCCCCCUCUUCGCACCCUUCGAUUUCAUUCCAGUUUAGGGGAGCCCCCCGCCCCCCCCCUUCGAUUUAGAUGCGUGGCGCAUGAAUCCCACGCUCGAUCUAGGUCAUCCAUUUCUCGCUGGGAUUUUCGGUGUUUUUUUUGUGGGGGAUUUUUUUUAUUUUUUUUGUUGGCUAUGCGGCGCCUGCCUGGAUCGCGUUGGUUGGUUGUUGUUGUUGAGAUUGAUGUGAUUGGUUGUGAUGAUGCAGGAGGGCUCAAGGGGCUUCGCGUCGCAGGUGGCAAAGCCGACCGGGAAGGAUAUCAAGGUAACCUGGAACGGGCAUCUCGUUGGAUUGCUCACAUUUUUUCGUGUGAUGCCGAUGUAGUUUUGAUACUGCUAGGGAACAGGGGGGAAUGUUAAUAGUUAUACACGUCAUUGGUGAAAGCUUCUCUGGUUAGCCUGGUUCUGUGACAUGAGAAAAUGUGCAAUUUGUUUGUACUGCUGCCUGUGGAAAAUGAUUCGUGUCUUUUAUUUUUGUGCCGUUGUGGUGUUAUGGCUAUGAAUCCUCUCCCUGUUAGGAAAUGUGAUGAUGCAAUACUGGUAGAGACUGUGUUUCAUCGAAGGAAAAUUUGCUCGCGGUAUAUUCAACUGGUAGAUGAUUUUGUAUAUGCAUUGUUCUUGUUUUUUAUUAUCUCAACAUGAUUUCUGCCUGUUUUCGAUUAGUGCUUUUCCAUUUCAGUUUAUGGGUUACUUUUGGCAGUUUGAGUAGUUCUUAUUUUGCCCUGAGAUACUCAUGUUAAUCUUAUUUGUUGUGUUUGUUUUGCCACAAUAGGUUCCAGAAGCUCUGUAUGGUGGCACCGGCAACUAUGCUAGUGCUCUGUUCCUUACAGCGGCCAAAGCUAACUUGCUGGACAAAGUUGAAACUGAGAUUCGCGAUGUUGUAGAGGCAUCCAAGAAGAGUCCAUUGUUUUCUCAAUUCAUUAAGGACUUGUCAGUGCCCAAAGAGACCAGGGUGAAGGCAAUAACUGAAAUUUUCGCUGAAGCUGGUUUUUCAGAUGUCACAAAGAAUUUCUUGGGUAUACUUCUGGUCCACACAUGUUAUGUCUAAUGAAGUUUAUUGUAUUUGUUUAUGAUAACUUUGUUGCAGUUGAUAGUAAACCAACUCGUUAUAGAGGUAGCUUGAGGACAAGCCCAAACCCCAAAUGCAUCUGAUUAUUUUCAGAAAUUUUUAUUCCAAUGCCAUUUUGUAUAUCAACGGUUUGCUACCUUCAGUUAUUAUAAUUUCAAUGUGAGCCAACAAUAUUUGUAGUUUUAGUUUGAUCUGCUACAAUAAUUACAGUUUUUUAUUUUGAAAGGGCUAACUAUCUGAUCAACGCUUUCCUAGAACCUUGUUUUUAAUUCAUGUACUCAGUAUCAUUAAUAGAUGACACGGAGUUCUUUUUCCAUAUGUACUCUUUUGGUUAGCACCUAAGGUUUUUUUUCCUUCCUGUGAAGCUGUGCUCGCCGACAAUGGCAGACUGAAGCACAUUGAUCGCAUUGCUGAGAGAUUUGUUGAUUUGACCAUGGCACAUAAGGGGGAGGUGAAGGUCCUUGUCAGGACAGUUAUUGUAAGUUGAUGUCUGAAGCCUUUGAUCUCCUUUCUUUUUUCCUGACAGUGUCUGGUUGUUAUAUUAUACCCUCUGAUUUCAAAUAUAUGUAUUUUAACCUUUCAACGCUUUCCCAAAUAUAAGCCACACUAGAAAUUCGAGACACUUUUCACUCCUCUUUUCCUUCUCGUUAAAUAAAUUGUCACAUGAAAAAUAACCCCUUCUUUUUUCCAAUGAGGAUAUACCUCAUGGAGAUACAACAUACAAUACUGAGCAACUGUUGCUAUCGUAAUCACUCUACAAAAUGUUGAAGAAUCAGCUUCUAGAAUUCUUUAUGCUAGCUUACAUCAAUUGGUCAAGAUAUUUAUGGAUUUGUACGUACUGCAGCUUCUAUUAUAGUUCCUUGUACUGUAGUUAGCUGGUUUCUCUUGCUGACUUUCUGGUUUUCUGCUGUUAGCCACUCCCCGAAAAAGAGGAGAAGGAACUUAAGGAGACCUUGCAAGAUAUUCUUGGGAAGAACAAAACUAUCUUGAUUGAACAGAAGGUAAUUCCUUGGUUCAUCAGUUGCCUAUAGUCUGUCAAGUGAUAUUCAAAGGACAUGCACUCAAUUAUUUGUUGCCUGCAGAUUGACUACAGCAUCAUGGGAGGGCUAGUUAUUCAAUUUGGGCAGAAGGUGUUUGAUAUGUCGAUCAAGACUAGGGCGAAGCAAAUGGAGAUGUUCUUGAGGCAACCCCUUGAUAUCUAACUGCCUUUUGGAUCGAAAGAUGCAGUUGUUUUGCUGCUGAAGGCAUCCUCAUGUCUGUUACUUUGAUAUGGUCUUGAAAUAAAUCUUCGUUUACAAGAGAACAACACUCUGUUUUAUCUUGUUUUGUGUGCCAGAAGCCUGCUGAACAAUUUUAUGUCAAUUUCUUUGCUACUAAGAAAGUUAUGCACCAAAAUGAAGGGAAAUUCUGUGAAGUUUGUAAUUUUCAAGUGAUUGGCAUUAUUCUGUUUAGUUCGUGCAGUGCCAUGUUCCUUAUAUAAUCACAGAACAUGUAAAAGGCCGAAAUAUUUUCCUUGUCAUUUUCCAUGCGAGAACGGCCUUUCGAUGAGACUGGAAAGUCCUGCAAUAACUAUUGUCCAAAAUAACACACGGCUCUCUACCGAUUCACAUCAAAACCAACCCAAACGCUCUCUCUGUUGCUUGUGUUCUGGACUUCUCUGAGCGCAGUUCAGGAGUCUCGAGUGUGCCUCAACAGUACAUGUUAAACAUAAAACUGCCAUUGAAGAUUACCACCAACCAUAUUGGAAGUUUAUCAUGGCAUAUACUUGCCUUUCAAAGACCCUAAUUUUCAAAGUGAACAUGGGACUUUCAGACUACAGAUAACCUCAAUCGAUAACAUCACCGAAAAUUCGAUAUUACUACAAAGAUUUUGGUUGAAAACUUCUCUGAACCCAAUUUAAAUACAAGUCGCCCUCGGUGAUGGCUACUCGCCAUUCCACGCUCACAGUUGCAGUUCACACUUGCAAAAUGAAAAAAAAAAUCUUCUGAACAGCAAUCAUCAACCGGUUCGACCUCAGGAUCAUCACAGAAAUGAAAAGGACGAGGAAUCUCAAUUUAAGAAAGUUCCUAUCCAAAUAUCCAACAAAAAUCUGACUGUCUGGCUAUUAUUAAUUCAACAGGAGAUGCUCGUUAAAGACAAUAUAGUUCUGUAAUUUGUAACAACACAAGAGCCUGAGGAUAUAACGAGUUACAAACAUGCUGCCGUUGCAGCAUGGUCAUCAAUAUACAACAUUACAACAACAUAUGGGGAUCGCAGAACACUCCCAUUCCACGAUUUUACAACAUAUGCUUCACAACACGUUAUAAAUACAUGGUUGUACCGAGCUGUAGAGAGACAGCCAGCACGUCCCAACUACAAAUGCACACUAGCCAACAGCAAACAUAAAAACUACUCUCUGGUAAGUCACUAUAUAUACGCACUAUAGCUUCACAUGACUAAAAUUAUAACAUGACAUAAUUUCUUUCGUAUAAAUUAGCCCCAGGAAGCUUCUGUCCGAAUCGCCAUCUUGGGAGCAAUAAAUAUACUGGCAUUCUUCACAAUGGAUGCAUUAUUUACAUAUAUAUACUUCUUCUCCAACCACGUUCUACCAAGAUUGCUCGGCCUUGCCAUCACCUGCAUUGCUUCUUUUUCUAGGCAUAAACAGACAGAGACAGGAAAAUGGAAACCAAAAAUAUGUAAAAGGAAUUUCUGUUAGAAGUCCACGACACGAUACCUUUUUCUCUUGCUUUUGUCUGAUGAGGAUGAAGCAGGAUUGCUGUGCCAGUUCCGUUUACGUUGGUUGAUAAACCAAUUAUUGAUCUGUUUUAGUUGCAACCCUGUUUCCUGCACCAAGCGAGCCUUGUCCUCCUCCUAUAAAGGUUAAGAAACAUGAGCAUCAGUGGUAGAAAAGGAAAUGCAGGAAGGCCUGAUAAUGGUAUCUGUGAGCUGACAUACAGUUGGGUAUGGCCAUUUAGAGUGAGCCUGCCACCAUGCUUUCAAAGUAGACGCUGUAUCUCCUGGGAGUUUUCCAGCUCUUCGCUUUCGGAGUAUCUCUUCCCUAAUGUCCACAAGCUUUUCUCUGUACCCCUGGAAAUUUGAAAUUUCGUUUAAAGUUUAUACAACAACAUACAAACGACUAAAAAUUCAGGCCAUAAUCUUACCUGUUUAAGCUCAUGUUUCAGCUCUUGCCGUACACGCUCAACUAAUGAUCUCUCGCCCUCCGUCAGCAUUAAGGGGCCAAAGCCCAUACCAUCUGAUCCAUCAUUUCCAUCAAACAUGUUGCUCUCACUAUCAACCUGAUUGUCUUCGUCAUCAGACAUAGUUGCUCCAGAACCUUCACGAGGAGAUGCCCCUGCAGUAAGAGUCACAACUGAGGAUUGGCAAAACACCAGAUUAUUGGUCAAAUUUUACUUCUGUAUUCCCUUUUGCCAUUAGGAGAGUAGUCCUAUGUCCAUCACUAAAGUUCUCCCAAACAGAACACUCAUUAUUUUCUGCAGGUUCAACCACAGGUAUAUCUCAAUUCCGAUUGAAGAAUGUAAACUAUAUUUGGUAGAGUGAAGGAAGCUAGUUAAAUGCUAUGUGAUUAUGAUGGUUGAAAAGGUGGAAUUAGUUUGUACUUUUUUGUACCUACAAAGGAGUAAACUUUGAGGUCAAGUUUAUAUCGGAGAAGGAAAAAAAUGGACGAAAGGUAGCACAAUGGUGCACAUCAGCAUGAAUUAAACAGAGAGAAAUAAUAACUUUAAGUUUCUCUUCCUAAAAUCAGGAGUCCACUAUUCUCAUGUUGAAUAAUAUCAACUAGAUUUUUUUGUGCUACCUGUAAGGCUCUGUAAAGUUUGUUCAAGUUCCCAGCAAGCCAUUACUGCUUCCAUUGCAUGAACACGCACAUGUUGCUGUAGUUGUUCCUUGAACGAACAAAGGAGCAAUACAUAAUGGGUCUGCAAGAAAAAAAAACAUUUUUUUAUUAAGUAAAAAAAAUUGCCUUAGGAAGAUUGUCAUUUCCAAGCAAAGAAGAGUACCUGAUAAACAAAAUGACUUUUUAAAAAAGAGGCAACUGAUCAUAAACUUAGCUAACAGAAAUUGUAUGCAAGAAACAAUAUUAAUUGAUACCAUGUUCCCUUUAGCUUAUUCACCGGAUUACUGAAAACGGAUUAUUUGCUCCAUGCUUCAAAAGAAGUAUUUUCUCAAAAAAUCUUUCUUCUAGUAUAUUACUUACUUAGACCACUUGUUUUAACCUAUUUGUUAAGUUUAUUUAUUGAAAUAUUUAAUGUAUCCCUAUGACGAAGGACAUAAUCCACAGCAAUAAUACACUCAAUAAUCUAAAUCAAACAAGGACUAGAUAAUGGAAGUAUAACUUAGAGCUUCUUCAACAACUAGCCAACUAGGGAUGCAAACAAACACCAAGGAAUGAGAAAUAAGUGAUGAAUUUUAGCAUAUUCAAUUCAAAGGACUAUAUUUCAAAAACGAUGGUCGGAACCAUUGCUACUCCGACAAAAUCAAUCCAACCCUUCCAAAAGUCAAAAUUUUGGUGAUGUUUUUUCUACAGGGUUCCUUCUUUGUGGACCGCUCUGUUGUACACUUGUACUGUACAUACUUCUGCUGCUUCUUAAUGAAAUGAAGCUUGAGUUUUCGAGAAUUAUUUUUUUCCUUCCAAAUUUCACUCCUAAUUCCACUAGCCAAUUUCUUGUAAAUACUCUCUCCUCCUUAAUAUAACACCAGCUUAUCCUGGCUUCGGUUUCAAAAAAAAAAAGCCAAUUUCAUUUCCCUUUCCAGCCCCAAUUUUCGAUAUCGCUCAUCCAGAAUAAUAUUUCACAUACCAAUCGUACAAGAAACUCUCACGCGAGGAGAAUUUGAUCGCAAAAGCGAUACAGAGACACACCACGCAAACCUCAUAGCUUGGCAAAAAUAAGAGUAAAACGCCCUGGAGAAAGAGAGGGGGGGAUUUGAUUGGCGCUACUACUACUACUACUACUAAUAAUAAUUUAGCCCUCACCAUGAAGAGGUCGAGCUCCUCGCCGCCGGACGGCGCCCCUCCGGCCGCCGCGGCCGCCGCUGCGGCCGUGGCGGCGGCCAGCGGCGGGGGGCGCGCCGCAAUCUGCGCGUCGAUGCGGGGCAGCUGGUCGACGGGGGUGGCGACGCGGAGGCACGCGACGUGCGCCUCCAGCAGCCGCUCGUACAGCGGGUGCGCCGCGAUGGCGGCCUUCUCCCGCUCCCACCCUCCUCCUCCUCCUCCCCCCACAACUCCUCCCGCCCCGACGAACCCAGGGUGGUGGUGGCCGCCCGUCUCCGCCGCCGCAGCCGCGGCGUCCAUCGCCAGCGCGUGGUCCUGGUAGUGGAACGCCAUCACGCGCACCGCUGCUGCUGCUGCAGCGCGCGAGGUGGAGGAGGAAGACGAAGACGAGGACGAGGACGAGGACUUGUUGUUGUAGCAGUUGGGAGGGAGGGAGGGAGUGAGUCGGGAGGCUCCUCUAACUUGUGUCACUAACAUAUGGGCCCUCUAUUUAAUGGGCCCAUAUAUCGGUGACUCAGAGUUAGAGGGAAGUAAGUCAGAGGAUCUUCUUCGGGAGUGGGAGGGGACCGUAGAGGAGCGAUGGGAAUAGGAGGAGCCCAUUUCAGUUUUGCGCGUGCACGUGACUCAUUUGCAAAUCGCAGGAGUAAAUUGCACCGUACUCCUCCCUCUAUCAGAAAAAUAAAGAAAAAAAAAUCAAAAAUCAAAUUUUGGGGGAGGAAUCUAGACUCCGUGUAAAUUACUCGAUCGGUUUCUUAAUAUAAGUUGUUUGAUUUUUUUUUCUAAGUUAUAAACUUCAUUAAGUUUGCUUAAAUUUGUUGAAGGAUUUAACAAUAUCUAAAAUGUAAAUUUAGUUUUGUUAAAUUAACAUUGAAUAUAGUUUGAUAAUAUAUUUGUUUUGUGUUGAAAAUGCUACUAUAUUUUUUCUAUAUAUUUGAUCAAAUAUAAAAAAGUUUGACAAAAAAAAAAAGUCAAGCGACAUAUGAGUUGUAGUUCGUUUUAUUAGCGUUACUAGUACUACUUAGUUGUGCCUAGAAAUUGAAAAAAUCCUUUAUUUCGAGUAUAGGAUCAGGCGUGCACACACCACACUCACACGUAUUUACGGGGAUAUGUUCUAGUAGCUCAUGCUUGAACGGGAUUGGAACUAUUACCCCACGGAGUGAAGGUGUGCAUUAGACGCUCACAGCGCGGGCACCCACCUUCACGAAGUCACAUAUUACAUCCUACUCUCCUAUAAGUACUCACCAUUCUCGUAAAAAAUCAACUAGUAUUAGAUACGACCUAGUACUACAAAUUUGGAUUUAUUUAUGUCCGUACUAGAAUGUAUCACAUUCAGUCCUAUAUUCGCUUUUUUUUGGACGGAGAGAGUACAUUUGAAUAGCUGGACUGGGAUAUCCUGGUAUUGAUGAAGUUACCAUGAAUGUUUUGUUAUCCUCUACCACUGAAAGAAUAAUUAAUAGUUAAUACGAGCACAAUCUGAUUAGACAUAUUCCAACCUAAAAAUCUAAUCAGUUUAACUAUGCUUACUUCGCUGGUAUGCAUUUUAUGUAGUACUCCUAAGAGAUUUUAUGGUAAAACUAAGACGGUUUCAAAAUAAAUUCGCGUGCACGGUGUACGUGAUUUCUCCAAAAUUUAUUUCGGCGCUGUAAGGACUUUGCAACGGUGUUAUUUUGAGAAAAUAAAUAAAUAUUGGAAUUGCACUUAUUCAUAUAAAAAUUAUAAACUAUCGUACCCUCUGCAGUGACUUUGAACGUGAAGGUGGUUUCUAUAGUAAAAUCUCUCACAUCAGCGAAGGACGCAUCAUUUUCUCAAUAAAUAAUACAGAGAAUGAACUGUAUAGUACGACGAUGAUGAUUCCCAAUUAAGCGCUGAAAUUUCCAGUUAACCAACCGAUUGAUGAUUCAUGGUUGCUGGGCGUUAGGGCACUACGGUAUCAUCAGACUUAUUUUAUUUCCUUCUCAAACUUAAUAGUGGCGUCCACAUCUCACAAACACAGCUCUUCAGUAUAUAGAUCAGAGAUGUGCCUGAACACCUGCACAAAUUAACCCAAGCUCCAACAGCUUGUGUUUUCUUCUUUGAAAAAUAACAGCUUAUGAUUUCAAGAUUAUUAAACAUGUGUAAACACUGGGGCAAGAUAUGUUGAUAUAUGAUCUGUUGAGCCACAGUUGAUAAGACUGAAAAGAAGAUAAACAAAGCAACUAAAAUUAUGAAUAUAACCCUUAUACAUGUACAGUAUUAUUUAUGCCAUAAAAGUUGAGGCUAGGAAAUAUACCAUGAUAAUAAAAUUCAAAAUCAACUGUAAAAUUAAAUUCAAAAUUUAAUAUUUGGAUGUGACUAAUAAACCAACAAUCAGAUGAUGAAAACAAUAGCUCUAAGUUUUUUUUCGAUGUGACUAAUAAACCAACAAACAAUUUUUCGGGACAAAACCUAAGGCUGAAAAAUAUGGUAAGACGAGAAAACUCAAAAUCAGCUUUAAAACCAAAAUCACAAUUUAAAUUUUAGAUGUGGCUAACAAGUACUAAUAGACAAUAAUACUAUCUCCGUUUUUAAUAGAUGACGCUGUUGACUUUUUAUCACAUGUUUGACCAUUCGUCUUAUUCAAAAAAUUUACGUAAUUAUAAUUUAUUUUGUUAUGAGUUGUUUUAUUACUUAUAGUACUUUAAAUGUGAUUUAUAUCUUAUACAUUUGCAUAAAAUUUUUGAAUAAAAUGAAUGGUCAAAUAUGUGAGAAAAAGUCAACGGCAUUAUCUAUUAUAAAACGGAGGGAAUAAGAACUAACAAACUUUUCAUACAGUGGACUUGUCCACUUUUGUUUCUUUUAACAAGUUGGUCUGAAUCUUUGCCGCUAUCUACUUGAGGGUAAAAAGCACAGUGGAUGGCAGUGGGAAUGGAAAUGUGAUAUUUUCCGUGACCGGAAGGAAAAAGCAGGGACAGCGACGAGGAACGAAAGAUGGACCACGCGAGUGGGCCCCACCUCUCGCACAAUAAACGCCCUGCCUGUCCAAUAGGACAUGGACGCGUCACCGCCGAUUUCUGUGGAGAUCGCCAUGCCAUGAUGCUUAGGACAUCCACAAUGUACUACAGAAGUGGUCUAUAGGGAAUAAACUAUUUUAUUCAGCCACUUAGUAACAUUAUGCAACUAGUCCAUAUAAAGAAAAUAGCAAAAGGUAUCCAUAUGCAUAUGGACUACCCAUAUGACAUAAAUAAUAUUAUCUAUCUCUACUUCUCUCUCUUCUCCUAAUAUUACAUUGUAUCCAUAUACAUUGUGAGGAUUGCUAUAGUUAAAGUUUAUUUAUAUGGGUCCCAUCUAUAUAGACCACUUUUGCCAUAUACAUUGGUGAUGUCCUUAAUGAUGAGCCAUUUGGCCGGAUUUUAUAAUUAAGUAUAUGUCGUAUAUAGGGGUGGAUUUGCAAAUAUACCGAUAAGAACUAGUACUCCCUCCGUCACGUUAAUGUGCAGCCAUAAUUUUUCGUGCACAGUUUCGACCGCCUGUCUUAUUUAAAUUUUUUUUAAAAAAAUUUAAAACUUAAGUCACGUAUAAAAUACUAUUCAUAUUUUAUCAUCUCAUAACAACAAAAAUGCUAAGUUUAUUUUUUUUUAAAUAAGAUAGACGAUCAAAGUUGGGCAUAGAAAUUUAUGGUUGCACUUAAAAUGGGACGGAGGGGGUAUACCGUAACAGUUGGUAGCGGAAGACUUUUGAUUUGCAAACAUGCAGAGAAAACAUAUGAUUCGGGUGCCUUGUCACUUGAAAUCCUAUGGAUAUAAAAAUACAUGAAAAUAAUAGGAUCUAGAUGGAGCGAGGGAAUAUAUAUGAAUAUAAGAAAAAAAGAGAUUACAUAAAGGAUUUUCCCUCUAAAAGAUUGUAUUGAUUUAUGAAACCUAAGAAUUUUCAAAUAAAUUUGAGAGAGACAUUCCUUUGUUCAAAGGACCAUAAAAAAGUUCUUCGAAUCCAAUCACAAAAUUACUUUGUUUCAAAUGAGCCUAAGGGUACACUAUCAGUAGAUUACAAUCUUAGCAAAUAAAAUUUACUAUAGGACACCUACACUUUGUGAUCUUCACUUAUGAUAUCGUAAGAACGUGACACUAUUAUUGGAAAAAACAAAUCUAAUAAUUAGUUACGAGACAACGAAGCCAUUAUUUUUAUUAUAUCUAGUGUGAAUUUCACACUGUGAAAGGAGCGGCACAUUGUUACUAAAUUAGAAUCUACCCCUCCAUUUCACAUUGGAAGUCAUUUUAGUUUUUUUCAUAAGUUAUAAAUUUCUAACUUCGAUCGAGUUUAAUGAAGAAUUUUUUUAUUAAACACACCUUACAAAUUUCUAACUUGAUAGUGUAUUUAUUUGUUAUUGUAGAUGUCACUGUAUUUUUUCUCUAAACUCAGUCGUAGCUAAAGAAGUUUAAGUUAUGACAACUAGAAUGAUUUGCAGCAUGCAUGGAGUGGAACGAAGGGAGUAUGGAUUAUCAUGGGUACAAUUCCAAGCAUAUUUUUAAAGAAAAACCAUCUUUAUCAGUAUUUCGGGCAUGUACUUUUUUUAAACAAAUUUCACGAACGCCUAAAGCUUCCAUGUUAAUACCAUUUAGGCUUUAGGCUGUGUUCGCUAUUCCCGGUUGGGAACUUGGAACAGUCUGCACAGAAAACGGAGCGGUCCAUUAACACGUGCUUAAUUAAGUAUUAGCUAUUUUUUUUAAAAAGGAUUAGUUUGAUUGUUUUAAGCAACUUUCAUAUAGAAUUUUUUUUGCAAAAAAAACUUACUCCCUCCAUCCCUUAAUAUAAGGGACAUUUUGCUUGCACUGUUUAACCAUUCGUCUUAUUCGAAAAAUUUUAGAAUUAUUAUUUAUUUUUUUGACUUAUUUUAUUGUCUAAAGUACUUUAAGCACAACUUUUUAUUUUUUAUAUUUGCACAAUUUUUUUGAAUAAGACGAGUGAUCAAACAGUGCAAACAAAAUGUCAAAAUCUCUUAUAUUAGGGGGUCGGAGAGAGUACCGUUUAACAAUUAAAAAAGCGUGUACGCGGAAAACGGGAGAGAGGGGUUGGGAGGGGAUUAGUAUACUUGGACUGAAAUGCCAAUCAGCCUAGGCGGGGUGUAAAUGGGCCGGACCAUGAAUCUGUAUCCCGUCGCUUACAUGGCCCACAUAACAUGCAUGCCUUCUUCAUAGGCCUGGUGUGCUAUGACGGCCUUAAGUUGUUCCCUUUUUCGUUUGGAAUAUAAGUUCACUUUAGAUCUCUCAAUUUAUCGCCGAAUCUGAAAUCAGUCCCUGCAUCGCAAUACCAGAUAUAAUGUGUUUCUUAACUCUUAAAACCAAUGUGCAAACAAGAUCUUAAGGCCAUUUGGACGGUGGUUUCAGCUGAUGUGACACUUAAAGUAAGAAAAAUAUCGUGGGACCACAUCUAACUACUAGGGCUGUUAAAAAAAGCUCGAGGCUCGCGAGCUGCUCGAGCUCGACUCGUCCUAUGCUCGAUUUGAGCUCGGCUCGAGCUCCAAACGAGCCGAGCCUGAGCCUGUCCCAAAGCUCGCGAGCUUUGUCGAGCCGAGCUCGAGCUUCUAAUAAGCCUAGUAAUAUAUGAUUUUUUAUUGCUAUUUAAUAAAUUGGUAGAUGAAAUAUGUUAUUUGUAUGCCUUGUAUUGGCAUCAUAUAUUUAUUUUAUUCCUUUUCCUCUUCUACUAAUAUGAUAAACCAUAAAUUAAUUAUUUUUAAAAGAAUAUUCUUUAAAAUAUACAUUGUUCUAAUUAAAAAUCAAGCUCGGUAGUCGAGCUCGAGCUUGAUCUAGCUCGAACCGAGCCUGUUUAAAAGCUCGAACAUUUUAUAGGCUCGGCUCUAGCUUGUAUUGAGCUCGAGCCUAGGCAAGCGAGCUCGCUCAAGCUCGGCUCGUUGACAGCCCUACUAACCACCCCUUCUCUUUCCCUUUCUUCUCCCUCCUGGUUUUACCUUUCUUCUCACCGCACGAACGACGGAUAGGGUCCAAGUGGGCGUUCGUGCGAUGAGAAGAAAGGGAAGACCAGAAGAGAGAAGAAAGGGGAAAGAGAAGGGGUGCUUACAUGUUGCCUCACGGAUUUUUUUUCUGACUUUAAGUGCCACGUCAACACCACGUAGUUGUCACGUCAGCUGAAACCAUCAUCAAAACCAUCUUCGGAUCGUAUUUGCACUGGUUUUAGAAGUUGAGGGACACAUUCUAUUUGGUAUUGCGUUGCAGGGAUGAAUUGCAAACUCGACGGCAAAUGAGGGAUGUACAGUAAACUUGUUCAUUUCCAUUUUUGGCCUUCACCCGGUUGAGUGGAUAUGGGCCUUGGCUCGUUUUUCUUUUUGUCUUUUUGAGAGUGAUGCAGUAAGCUCACAGUUCACUUGACCGUCAGUAGCCAGGAUAUGGAUAUGGAGGCUACAUCGGAGAUUUGCCUUAAUCAACAUCAUUUUUUUUCUUUCCUUUUAGCGCAAAUACAAGUUUUCCUCUUUUUUCCCCCUCCUACUAUAUUAGAUCAAGCGACACGUUCACAUCUGCAGUUGGAAUCAGUGAACAGUUGAAUUCAACGUUCACAAUGAUUUGCACCUGACCAUGCUCUUUUUUUCUUGGAAAAGAAAGUAUAACUUUAACUAAGAGUGUGUUUAGUUCACGCUAAAAUUGAAAUUUUGGUUGAAAUUGGAACGAUGUGACAGAAAAGUUAAAAGUUUGUGUGUGUAGAAAAGUUUUGAUGUGAUAGAAAAGUUGGAAGUUUGAAAAAAAAAUUUAGAACUAAACUCGGCCUAACUAAAAAUAUUGUGGAUUAAAAUUUGGAGUGUAGUUAUGCACUUAUCACCAAUACACCAAUGGUGAAACCGUGCUCAUAUAAAAUAAUAAUAAUAUAUUUCAGUCUAAAAUAUAAUUAUUUUUAGCCAUAUAUCUGGGCAAACACUUAUCUACUUCGUCCCAAAAUACACUCCUCUAGUUUAGGAGAGACAAACACUUAUCUACUCACUCCCUGCACUUCCUUUAGGAUGAAUGGAGUAGUGUCUCAGGAGUGCUAGGGACAUUUCGAGUGCACUUACUUUAGGAUGAAUGGAGUAGUGCUAGGGACAUUUCCGAGAGUACCAUGAGCUGAGCUGUGCAGCUAAUGUGACAGAUGCAACCCGUUUUGUAAUCAGCCGUGAACAAGACAGUAGGACUCUACAAACAGCCAAAGAUUCACACCAACAUUGAACAGAAUAAACAAAAGAACAUUGAGAUAGUUCUUCCCUAACUUACAGUGCUUAGAUGAACAACCAAGCUACACUGUCCGGAGCUUGUACUACUAAAGUAAAAUCUUCCCUCUGCCUCAUCGACACACAAGGCCAGGGUAAAUAAAAACUACUAUAACUCUAUCAGACAAAGCAAGGUAAACCGAUCCUCCUUUCUGCUCCUAAAAUGGCAUUAGUAAGAUUGGAGGAUCAUAUGACACUGGUGCUAAACUCUAGUAAAUCUGAACAACUUAUCAAACAAGCAUAAGGUAUGGUCCUUAAUUAUCUCCUUUAGCUUCAUCUUGAGUGAGCGAGCGAUCAGAGCCCCUUGUAGCCCAGCUUCCUCUAUAUACAAUUAAAAUUCUUUUGUCUGGUUAGCGACGCCGCGGUAAUAAUCUGGAGCCGUUCAUGCAUCAAGGAGCUGAUCCAUCAGCAGCCAUGUCCUCCACUGGGAGGUUGAGGUCAGGCAGCACGAAGCCGUUUUGAGAUUCCUGCUUGGCUGCGGGCUCAUCAGGCUGCGGCCUUGCUUGCUGCCCCUCGGAUUUCGUUCCGUUUCGUUUGCUUGAUUUCUCUAACCUUGUCUGCAAAAUAGAGGAAAAGAUUGUUAUUAUACAUUUCAGAAAAAAAAGGUUUUAUGAAACAUAAUUUCAGAUGACUGCAGAAGGCAAAUCUCUUAUGAAUCCAUGAGCCCAACAGAGUAGACUUGGAAAGGAAAUUUGGGUUGUAGUCACAAUCUACCUAGCGUAGUUCUUAUAUUUUGGUAAAAGAGACAUCUCUGUGGAGGUGAAAUGGGAGGCAUAAGAGAAAAUGGACAAUGAACAACCACCAUGAGUCCAUGACCAAGCAUAAACAACCUGAAACAGGACUAAGAAGAUCCAAAAUGUUGGCCAUUACCAUGGCUGGACCUAGCUAGAUGUGCUUUAUGCCAGAGGAGACGAAAGACACACGGGAGAGAGAGAAAACAUGCAUGGACCACUCAGCCACCACGAGGCUCUAGAGAUGACACUGCACAACAACGGUGCAGUACAGGUUAACCGGACCAAAUGAAAUGGGGAGAGCUUUGCCCAACCAUUCUGGCUGGUUAGUACACUGUCUGUAUUUUUAAUGUGAUUGUGGAGCACAGAACCAGUGCAGUGGCAGUGUGGCACGCAAGAACUAAGGGCAUUAAAGAAGGCCACGGGAUUACCAUGUCCAGGAUCCGGGUUGGUGUGCAUAGAUUAAGGUCAUGGCCUGGCAACAUGGCGUUCUUUAUUGGGGGAAAGAUUCCAGACAUGUACGGCUGGUUGAAAACGAAGCAUGCAUGAACAGUCAGUAGAACACCUUGUAACUGCAUCAAUUGCGCAGACAAAGUGCAGUAGCUGAACUGCAUCUAUCACCAACUCUACCUUGCCAAAUGCCAAAGGGUUUUUUUGGGGGACGUCACUUUCCUAGCCCUUCCAAACGUGCAAGCAGCUUGAUGGGUGAAGAGGUGGUUGAGAACUUGAGAUUAUUGAGAUGGAUAAACAGGAUAAGAAUUCGAGCUCCUCCCACUUGCUUGCACUUCAUCCCGAAUGCGAAAGUCAAGAAGGCAAUCAACUAAAAUCCUCACUGACACUCCUAUACCUUUACCGUAAAAUUGACAGCUCGGCUACCACCUCACAGUGGCAAACUAUUGUUAUAAGUUACUAACUAUAUAUAGUACACGAACUUGUCACUAACCAUGACUCUUGAGAUGCAGUACUAGUAGAAGGUACAAACAAUAUUGUAUUAGUAGAAGCUAACCGGAGCUUCCAUACAUCGAGAUAGGAGGAGCUAAGCAGCGCAUGUGUUGAGACAGCUCCAGAAGCAAGCAGCGGCCACAUGCAGGCUCCACCCAGCCUAACUGACAAAGAGCUUCCUAUAAGACUAGAAAAAUCCAACUUACCCUAAAUUAACACGACAGACGCUGAGACGCAUGGCCAAGUCCGGACGAUCCACGGUUCAGUUUCAGAUAAGAUAACGAACGUCUAUCGCCACCUCCAGGUCCCAUACCGUGUGACCAUUUGGCUAAGGUGUCACUCUCCUCAGAAUGACACCCUUUCACAACACGACACGCGUCCUGCGGACUAACAAUAGCCCUAGUAUUUACUUCUCUCGCCCCAAAAUAAAAAAAUCUAGUCUGAUCUGUCCAGUAUAGGAUGUGUCAUUUAUAUCCCGUACUAUAUUUCUUUCACUGGUCCUUGGCUACUUGCCACUACCGUGGUACUACCACUAUCUUCUAAGCAGCUCAAGAGAAGAGAGAUACUGCAAGUGUGCCAGUGAUCCUGUCCGGCACUCCGGCCACACAUGCAGUGACACCGCACCUUUCACCGCGCAAAACAAAUACGUGCUCAUGCGGCAAAGCUAACCCCGGGCAGUUCGUGUAUGGUCAAAAAAAGAAAGCAUGGAAAUCGACAUCUAAACCUGCGAAAGGCUUAUCAUCAGCACCGGUUGUCAUCCGUUUUCAAAGGACAAACGGUGGUUGAGAGGGAUGUGGAGUGAAGAUCGCCACCAAACCAAACCAAGCCACACACAUAGCACUCUUCUCCUAGGAAGCCAGGAAGAGCCUAGGACGACGAAGUAAAGCACACACCAAGGAAGAGAGAGAAAAUAUCGAAGGACAGCAUGCAUUCACAAUGCCAGGGGACCACUAGUUCUCCAUUGGGAGGCUCAGGGGAACUCUACUUUUAGCAAGUUGGAAAGUUCUAUCACUUAUGCUUUAAGCUAUACCAACUGAUCAAACAUGCAGAAUUUUUAUUUGGGUUUUAUGAUGAUUGCGCACUCAGCGCCCCAACCUGGAAGCGAUUGCACGCCACAUGUGCACAAAAGAGAAAGAGGAGAAGAUUUGGUUAGAUAGCAGCAUAUGCCACUGACCUCUAGCUUGCAGUUUUCCUUGGACAACGCCGUGCAAGCUCUCUGCAACGCCACCAUCUCCUGUUUUCGGACGAGAAUAUAAACAAGAAACGGAUAAGAAUUCGAGCUAAAUUAACAGCAUAAUCCAAGUGAGAAGUGAAAAUCACGUAAAGGGGAAAGAAGAACUAAUCAACCUCGCGAAGGCCAUCGUUCUCCACCGUCAGCGACCGCACCAGCUGCUGAAUCUCCGGCAGCCUCUGCACACCAUACCGACAAGAAAACCAAGUUUAGGCCAAAUCAAGCCGUAAUAAAAGCCAAGAAACAAACGCGAUCCUUCUUUUUCUACUACUGCCAUCAAAAUUCGAUCUCGUUUCGUCACAGGACCAUCUGGUGAUGAUGAGCGUGGAUCUUUUCGGGCAGGCAGCCUUUGUCCUUAGGAUACCACUUUUGCCUCCCUCACCACGCUCUCUUUCCGGUGGCAGUGGCCGCACCAGCUGCCGCUUUAUUCUAGACUGGGUGACCGACUCCGCAACUAGAAAACAUUUUUUUAAAAAGAAAAACUCCGGCCAUUUGAACAGCCUACCAUCUCCUGCACGCGACUGGCUGAGUCACUGACUCUACUGCUCUGAGACUACUGUGUAGGCCAAAGACUUUCUUUUGCCGGACCUGUGCCGGACCUGUGCAAUCGCGCAAAUGAUGGGGGUGUACUGCUAGUAGUAAGCUGUAACUUGGGAGUACUCGUAGUAACUUCAUUCAUCAAAGCCCAGACCCAAAGCUGCUGCUCUAUCUAUCUACCGUGCUUUUACUGCAGAAAAAUGCAAAGGUGAAACAAAACAAAACCUGACUGCUUUCUUGUACCACUCGUCACUAAACAAAAUGCGCUUUUCCUGUGCUAAGUGCCGGGUCAUAUGUGUGACACUGAGUGAGUGACUGCAGUAGCUUACCAUCUUCUUCCGUGGUCGCUGUCCGGCGGGCCGGGGAGGCGGGGUCGGUAGGAUCAGCUGGCGCCGUCCGGCAGGGCCCACCUGUAAGCGAGAGAAGAGCACGCACGCCAUUAGUUAUACAGUUAUACUACUACUACUAGCACUCAUCAUCACACACCCAGCGAAUACUGUACUGGAAGUAGCUAGUAACGCGCUGCUGGUAGGAUCAAACAACACAACACGGGCCACUAGAGCCAACCAACUACAGUCCAACCAACGCUGCUGCUGCUGCUGCAUUAAGGAGGCGACCGUAGAAAAAGAAAGCAACAGGCAACGCAUGUUCCACCCAAAAGAAUAUUGUUUUCCAGGUGGUAGGAAGGGAAUUAGAUGAGAGAGUCUAGCUUAGCUUAAGCUUGGCUCUAAUGGGGGAAAACAUCACCUAACUAACUCCUACCAAGAUCCCACAAAACUGCCCCUCAUUGUUGCCCUACCCGCAUGAAGCACAUUUCGACAUGAUAGGAGAGAUCAACAACACGCACGCACAAACAAACAAACUGCUCAUCUUGCCAUCUUAUCCACGAUUAAUUAACCAACGGUGCGUGUGCUCCUAAUUUCUGCACCUAUUGUCCAGUAAUGGAAGCAUGGGCUCUCACCUCACCUGUACAUGACGAUGACAGGUGGGCCCCGCACGAGGUUCCUUCCCUCGCAGGGAAAAAGAAUAAAGAAAUAAGCCCAUAUGAAAUUCAGUUUACUCACUUAAAAUUGAGUAUCCGUUUGCCUCCUUUUCCCGCUAGGAUCGGAAAUCCCACCACAGUGUGAGGUGGGGCCCAUCCCACCAGGACACGUCCGCGAGCAAAGAGAGAGAAAAGAACCUGAAACGCCACGCGCCCACGUGGCGCCAGCCAAGUGGCCACGACGUGUUUCGCAUUCGCAUUCGCACACCCACGCAUGCAUGCGUGUCCCGCGCCGCGCCCACACGGCGCGCGCGAGGCGGCCAAUGGGCAGCCGCCACGUGGCGGCGCCACCCCACCCCUCUCUCUUUCUCUUCCAACGGAGAGCGCCGCGUCGGUUUGACUCCUCACUUCCCACGGCAACGAACGCGAUAGAGGAGGUCAGGUCCAGGAUAAGGGCGGGCGAAAUGACCGGAUUGCCCCCGGAAGUUAGGCUCGAGGCGAAUGGGCAGAUUGGGCAAAAGCGGUAAGCCGCGGCUCGUGGUUGGAGACUUGGGAGUGGGAGCCGAACCGGAACCCACCUACCCUUGUGAAUUGCCGCGGCUGCCCCCCUCCGCAAGGUAGGAGUCAACCGCACCAAACAGACACGCUAUGACAUGGUAGUACAAAUCCACCCCAAAAGAAAAAAAAUUCCCCGAAUUCAAAGUGUGAACUGUACAAGCACCCGUAGAGUCAUAGUGCUACUGGUACAACGCAGAGCUCGAGAGUAGCAGUAGUAGCACGGAGGUGGAGAUCCCGAAAUUGUUCGGAGAAGAAGAGGACGAGGAGAUCUGCGAGGUGGGUGAAGUACUAAUAGCCAUGGAGUUUUUACCGAAAUGACCUGGGUGAAAAGGUUGGAGGUGAAAGAAUGGGUAGGCAGCGAAGCUGCGAAGGUGGGAUUAAGAAAAAAGGUCACGCGAACGAAAAGCCGGUGGGACUAGUGGGAGAGAGAGGAAAAGCGAUGUUUCAUCGAGAAGUCAUCCAUCCAUCAUCCUCCUCUCGUUGCUGACACGGAGGGGUAGUUUCGUCAAAAAAAACCCAGACGAGGAACGGAAAGCGAAGCAGCCCAACCGCGAGCGCGAGCUGUGCGGGGGAAGGAACAAACAGGAGAGAGAGAUAGGGAUGCACGCGCGCGCGGCUGGGAGUACGUACCUUGGCCGGAGAAGGGGUGGGCGCGGCCGUGGGCGUAGUCGCCGCCGCCGCCGUCACCACCGGCGGCGGUGGUGGCGGUGGAGAGCAGAAGGCCCCGUCCUCGCCGCCGCUCGUCGACGCGGCGGAGCCGGAGCCGGAGCCGGAGCCGCCGCUGUAGUCGAGGGGAGACGCCGGGCUACCCCUGGCCCACCUCCCCUUGGUCGCCGCCGACCCCGACCCCGACGGCGAGCGGCGCCGCGACGACCGCGACCGCUUCCCCCGUGCCACCGUCGGCCACGCCAGCUCCUCCUCCUCCUCCUCCACCACCACCUCCUUCCCCUUCGCGGCAGCCGUCCCCCACGGCGGCGUCCACCCGGCGAGGUCGGCCCCGCGGAGCGAGCAGAUGAUGUCCGCCGCCGCGGCCACCGCGCACGCCUCAGCGUCGGCCGCGGUCAUGGGAGCAGCUUCCCUUCGACGAGUCGAGUCGAGACGAACCCUAGAGAAGAAGCCGCCAAAGCGGAGGAGGCGUGGAAGCGAGAGGGAGAUGUGGAGAGAGAGAGAGGAGGAAGGCGAGGGAGAGAUGUGGGAAUGGUGGGGGAGGAGCGAGGAGGAAAUGAGGGGGGCGUGGAGGCGAACCGAGCCCACGGCGUGGCGUCCGGGUUUUUAAACGCGCGGAAUAAAAGCCCACAUAUGGCCAAUAAAAUAAUCCAUUCCCACCACUAGUACUACUCACCACCACCUGUACAUGGCACACGACGCGCCGCGAGACCCUUCCUUCCUCUCCCAUCCCACCCCCACUUACACGUGGGGCCCACCAGCCGGGCCCCAUACGUCAGUGACCGGGUACCCCGCGUGCGUGGGUGGUGGCGGGACGCCAAACCUUGGACGCAGUGGGGCCCAGUGAACCCUUUCCGCCCUUUCGCGCACUGUGCCGGAUAGGAAAGGACGUUUCUAUCCUUUAGUGGGUCCCAUCUGUCGGUGAGUGGAGGUGCAGGGGUCAGUUUGGUAAAAGUGAGGCGUAGUACGCAAGGUAAGGUGGCAGUAGCCUUGGCUGGGGUUUCCGUGUGGUGACGGGUGUGUGCUAUAAAAGCGGCUGCCGGUGGCGGCGAAAAAAAAAAAAGAAAAAUGCCACUGGAUUUGUUUCCCCAUUUUUUCUUUGUUUCGAAAAAAAAAUCGUUUUCCGGAGACGUGCGGCGAGUCGGGUUUUUGUUCGUGUCAAGAUUUUAUUUUUCUCUUUCUCUUGGAUAUAAUAACUGCUUCUGUUCCUGUCGACUUCGGUACGGUAGAGACCAACCAGUGACCGGUUGCUUGUGCAUCCAUCUCGCUGGUUUUGGGACUGGAACGAAUACAACGAAAAUCAUGAGGUGAGUGGUGUUGUGGAUCAUGCUGGAGUACAGUUGGAUGCAGAUAAGAUAAGACGCUCUGUUUUCAUGUGGGAUUUCGGCUGAUUAAACGUGUGUGUUUGUUGCUACUCCUAUGUAUUUUUUGUGGAGUUUAUAGCUAUAAACCAUUCCGCCCAUCCUAAAAUAUAACUAUAUAAGCACUUCAAAAAAUUUACAUACUUUUUUACAUUAGUUAAAAGGAGAGGUGAAAUUAAAUGAUGUAUGGUUGUGAUUGGUUUUAAUGAAUAAGUAGGUAAAGAAAUUAAAUAAGAUAUAGUUGCGAAUGUCAACGAGUAGAUGGGGAAGUUGUCAUAUUUUGAAACAAAAUUUGAAUGAUAAUAUGUUGAGACAAAGAUAGUAACACAAUACUGUUAGACAAACUAGCAAUUAUUAACUUCGUUAUGAAAUAUAAGGUAUUUUGGCUAUCUAUUUGUAUUGCCAAAAUCCUUUAUGCCGUGGGACAGAUAGAUGUGAUAUAGGAUUCAUGACUAUGAGAAACGCCCAGGGGUCUUCCGUCUAGCUCCAAAAGGUGGUGGGCUAGACGACCUGGAUUCGAAGCCUCACUCCUUCUAAUUAUUUGAUAUUAGAUAUUUUCCUAAUAUUCGCGUUUUUUUUGAUUCAUGAAUAUAAUUCACCAAAGUUUCAUGCUUACAAUACUAUUUGAUGCAGUAAUUUGUCAUCUUUUAAGCAUAUAUAUAUUUUUAAAAAAGACGAGUAGUCAAUGUUUGAAAAUAAAAGGCUUCCCUGACAAUUACUCCCACUAUUCCCAAAUACAUGUCACGGUUGGGCACCACGAUUUUAAGCUUAACCACCAAUGUUUUAAACUAAUUAAACUACGAUUAAGGAAAGCUUAAAACUCAUGUUUAGAAUGCAACACUUCGAUGAUACCAUGUCUUUCAAGUAUUUAUAAUUUCUUGAACAAAAUGGCAAGUGAUAAAAUCUAAAUACGAACAAUGAUAAAUACUUGAAAACGGACCGAAUAUUUAAAAACGGGUGGCCUAUCAUACAGUACGUGUGGUACAUACGAUUUGAGCGGCUUCUUCUCCAGUUCUCGAUUUUUAGCUUUUUGAUACUUUCUACUACUAGUAGUACUAAGUACUAUAGCUUGGUGAUGUACCCCACUGUGCAUGCCGUGUUGUCGUGACAGUGCUAGUGUGUGGUGUCCAGCACUGCAGAGCGGUCUCGACGCGACUCUCGCGUAUGUACGUGGAGGGUAUUCUCCCCGCACAGCUAACUCCGGAUAGUUGCCGGUCGAAGCGACUGUUAUUAUGGUUCAGGACUUGCCGUUUGCCCUGAAAUUAGGCGUGUGGAGCUGUAUUUUUUUUAAAAAAAAAUUGAUCAUGUUUGUACAGUAUUAGAGUAUCUUCAGCGAUAAUUUCUAUUUUAAAACUCCUAUAAUUUAAAUAGGGCUGCUCUCAUUUCUUCGGUCCAAACAAUGUCCUCAACUUGUGCACACUACUGGCUGCAGGCGGCGGCGGCCGUGGACUCGUUUGAGAUGUAUAAUUUCUUUUUUUGAGAAUUUAUGAUUCAGUGUAUGGAUUCAAUCUGAGAUAUAUUUGAUUUGUGCUAUAUUUUUAGGAUUUAUGAUGUGAAUAUAUGAUUUGAGAUGUUAUGCUUUGAUUUGAGGAUUUGGGGUUUGAUUGGGAUAUGCAUCCCAUCCGAUUUGGGAGAAAAUUGAAGGAAAAAUCAUCUAGCAAAAAACAAUGAAAAAAGAAAAGAAAAGGUGGCAACCGAGAUUGCCGUUGUUUUCCUCUUUAGUCCCGGUUGGAGUUACCAACCGGAUCUUUAGUCCCGGUUAUUUCACCCGGGACUAAAGAUACCAACCGGGACAACAGUAGGUUCCCAACCGGUGACAAAGAUGGGUUCCCAACAGUGGCAGUAGUCUCCAUUUAUUAGCCCCUAUUUAUUUUCUCAUUUAUUUCAAUAUACACUCUAUAUUUAUGAUUAGUUUAGCCCACAACAAUUCAAAAAUAAAUAUUUCUAAUUCAUAUAAUUCAACAGUAUUUAAAUUCACAAUUUAAAUUCAAAUUCAAAAUUUAAUGUUUAAUGUAGUGCAUAAUCAAGAUUAUACUAUUUAACAGAUCAAAGCAUUCACCAAGAUUCUGGACUAAACAUGAAGUCCGAUCGAAAACUAAACAAAAAGAAUACAACCGUAUCACUGAACCGCGGUGAACUGCUUAUACCGAGAGCCUGUUCAGCAUAGCUCCAGCUCUAGCUCCACCUAAAAUAGGAGCGGAGCUAGGUGUAGCUCUCACAAAAUAAACUAAAGAAAUGGAAUUGGGUUUAGAUAGCUCCACAACUCCACUUCAGAUAAAAUUUAGGAGUUGGAGCUCUAUCGAACAUGCCCUAAAACACCACAACUAAAAUUAAACCGUAGUGAUCCUACUGUCCUACACUCCUACUGGUAGAAGACACAUUAAACAGCAGAGUGAGAAUUACUAACACAUAGAGGCUCCAAAUGCCAAAUUUUUUAACCGUGGAAAUGGCAUAUCCUAAAUAACAAAUAACUUAUAGAAUCCAACGUAUUCCAUCAAAAUAAAAAAAAAGCAUCCGAGAGCUCAAACUUCACCAUUACUAUCAUCACCACCAUCAAACUCUCGCUUGGUGGGAUAUUACACCGUUCCUUCCAAUUGUGGAUGGGGCCGGGGCUGGAGUUGGCCCCUAAGACUUAUUAGGGAUUUUGGGUGAGUGAUUUGGGUGCCUCCCUUAUGUCUAAUAGGGAUCUUGUUGGAUUUGAAGUUUUAACCUCUACCCUAAAAGAAUUGUUUGGGGCCGUGUUUAGGGUCUCUACCAUUAAAAAGAAUAAAAACAAUGCAACUAAAAGUAUUCCUAGCAUAUAUAUCUCUUUGUCCUAUAUCUCUAACUACGAACUUAGACAAGUAUAUCUAGGUUCAUAGUUAGGAUUUGUCUUUUUAGGACAAAAUAGUACUCCCUCCGUCCUAAAUAUAACAAUUUUUAGCCCUCAGGAUUUAUCCCAAAAUAUAACUUCUUCACCAACAUUCUCUUCACAACCAAUCAUAACCCUCCACCAUUCACUUUUCUCACAUAUCUCCAGUAUCACAACCCUCCACCACUUACUUCUACCUACUUUAUUAGUAACCGUGUUCAAUCUUAAAACUUCUUAUAUUAUGUGAAGGAUGGAGUAACUUUUAUACUGAGUGGUUUAAAAGCUAAGAUUGAAUAUAGAAAGCAAUAAUAAAAACAUCUGGAUUAAUUUAAAAUUUUUAUGGCCACCGAGAGAUCGUCGUGUACACAAUCAACGACCACUUCACAAUCUCGGAAUAUUAUUGUACAAGACAAUGUUUGAAAAUUGUGGGAGCCAUGCAUCAUGACCACGCAUGUGCUUUUGUGUACGUACGUGCAUACUCUAAAGAACAGUGAUCGGCAAAUCUAUGGCCAUUUCUAAUCAAAGAUACUAUAAAUAGUUUCCAUAAAUUUCAUAUCAUCAAAAAAAAAACUAGUAUUAGACAAUUCUCUUCCAAUACAAACACCAUUAUUUCAUACUUAAAUUUAAUACCACCUAUCUCAGAUGAUGUCUUGGAUGUUGUGUAAAAACCAUGUCUUAUGCAAGACAUGAUUUCAUUCUCUUUCCUCAUUUAUUCACUUGCCACAUUAUUUUUCAUUCUAGGUGGCAGCUAAUGCUAUGGACAUCAUCUUAAUUAUUGGGUUGGAAAUGACAUAAGAUACCGUCAGUUGUAAUUUUUGAAAAAAACUUGGCUGAUUGAUUGGAUGGCCACUAAUAAAUGCACCAGCUUCCCGUACGUGAUAUUUACUCCUGUACAACGGCGAAAGUGAAAAACGAAUGACUAAGGAAAGAAAAAUAUUUACAUGUAUAGGAGGAUUGGUGCAUGCCGGGCAAAUGUCAUUACUGUGACUUUUUUUUUGACACGAUGUCAUUAUGACUUAUUGUGACUGUGAUAGUACUAAUUCCGAACUAUUUCUUUAUCUAAAAAAUAUUGCCACUUGACAAGAUACUACUACCUCUGUCCCAAAAUAAGUGUAGCCAUGGAUAUCCAUGCCCAACAUUUGACCGUCCGUUUUAUUUGAAAAAUUUAUAAAAAAUUUAAAAAUAUUUAGUCACACAUAAAGUAUUAUUCAUGUUUUAUUAUUUAAUAGCAAUAAAAAUACUAAUCAUAAAAAAAUUUCAAACAAGACGAACGGUCAAACGUUAAACGUGAAUAGUGCAAAACUAUACUUAUUUUGGGACGGAGGGAGUAUAUAUAAUCAAGGUAGUUGCAUUUUACGCCAUGUUUUUUUGUUUCCAAGGUUGGCCAAGUUGAAAUUUGAGAUGAGGCAAAAGCCUUCCUGCCAGUCUAAGGCGCUGCUUAAGGGAGUUUAAGAUUUUGAGAAUAUGCUCGUUGGUAGUCAGCUUUUGAGAAUUUGAAGAAGCUGGGUUUUCCAGCUUUUGGAUUCUAGUACAUUUUCUGUAUUAUACAACUACAGAUUCUAAGAAUCUAGGUGACAAUCUAAACUGUUUAGAGAAGCUGGAGAUUAUGUGAGAAGCUGCGGCUGCUAGAAGCUGCUCCAAACAUGCCCUAAAACCGGUGUGUAUGUUGUUGGUCCACUCUAUUGAGAGGGACGUAUGCCCGGACAACAGAAGGGACUGUAUACUUGUUUUGUGGGUAAUCCCAACCAGAAUGGCAUAAGCCUGAUUCUCAGAAAUCAGAACCAACUUCAGAACCUUGGGCCUUCUCCAUUCCAUUUCACACCAACUUACUUAGAGCAUCUCCAACAGUCUCUCUAAAUUGGACUCUCCAAACAUCUAUAUAGCUAGCUCUCCAAUUGAUUUGGCAAGCCAAACUUAUUCCUCACUCCAACAACCUCUCCAUCUACACUCCCCAUUAUGAGCCUAUGACACUGGGACCCGCACGUCAGCCUCUAUUACUCAUGGCUGUGUAGGAGGCGGCAUCCUUGUGCGCCAUUUCGUCGAACAGGUUGCAGGCAGGCCGCGUCGGCAUGCCUGGGCGUGUAUUUGGUAGGCCAAGCGGGCCAGCAGCGGAGGGCGGAGCAGGCGAGCUCGUCGGCGGCGGCGGCGGUGGCUGGGUGGAUGGCGAGAGCGCGGCGGCCCUGGAGGAGGCAGAGCAACGGAGGCACAUAUCAAUCGAUCGGUGGGCGGCCAGGCGGGGGAGGACGCUGACGGGGAGUAGGAGGGCACCGGCGCAGGAAGGGGAGGGGACAGGGGAGCACGCGGUGGAGGUGGAGCGCACGGCGGAGGAGCGUGGCCACCAUGGGUGGGGAGGCGAGGCGAGAGGAGAGGAGAGGGGAGGGGGAUGACGACACGGCGGCCUCGGCAGUGGACGACGACGCGGCGGAGGGGCAGCGCCGGCGGAGGGACGCGACGGAGGGAGCGACGCCGGUUGUGGUUGGGGACGGAGGCCGCGGUGGAUGCGGCAGCGCCGGACUUGGUCAGGGACAGAGGCGGCGACGCCGGUUGUGGCUGGGGACGGAGGCGGCGGCGGACGGCGGUGCCGCAUGUGGCCGGGGACGGAAGCGGUGACGCCGGUUGUGGCUGGGACGGAGGCGGGGGUGGAUGCAGCGGCGCCGGACUUGGUCGGGGACGGAGGCGGCGACGCCGGUUGUGGCUGGGGACGGAGGCGGCAGUGGACGCGGCGGUGCCGGUUGUGGCCGGGGACGGAGGCGGCGGUGCCGGAUGUGGACACGGACGGAGGCGACGGCGGCGGUUGUGGCCGGGGACGGAGGCAGUGGCGAUGGGCUGUGCGGGAGGCGAGAGCGAAGGAAGAGGAGAGCGAGACAUGUGGGAGGGAUAGUGCGUGGGGCCCACAGUUAGCUAGCGGGUGUGGCUGGCCACAUUUGGCCAGUUCCAUAGGAUUUUUAGCCAGCCGGAUGGCUUGGCUAGUCAAUUGGAGAGUCUGUUGGAGAUUUUUUUUUUCUAUCUUAGCUAUAAUUUAGCUUGGAGAGCCAUUUAGCCACUCUGUUGGAGUUGCUCUUAGGCCCCGAUCGAGAGUGAGGGACGGGGAAUAAUCCCUCCGGCAUGGAAAACGGAGCAGGCCAUUAGCACGUGAUUAAUUAAGUAUUAGCUAUUUUUUUCAAAAAAUGGAUCAAUAUGAAUUUUUUAAGCAACUUUUAUUUAUAAAUUUUUUUUAAAAAAACACACCAUUUAACAGCUUGGGAAACGUGCGCGUGAAAAACGAUGUGGCGGGAGAAGUUGCCCACUGGAACUAGCGCACCCUUAUUUCUUAGGCUGUGUUUAGUUCACACUAAAAUUAGAAGUUUAGUUAAAAUUGGAAUGAUGUGAUGAAAAAGUUGAAAGUUUGUGUGUAGGAAAAUUUUGAUGUGAUGAAAAAAUUGGAAGUUUGAAGAAUUGUUUUGGAACUAAACACGGCCUUAGAUUCAAAUGAAAGAACUUGAUUGGUUACAUCUUUCUAGUAGUUUUGUUUUUCAAGUCACUUACUGUUUCCGAGUUAAAACCAACAAAACUUUUCCCUUCAAAUUUUUUACACCGAAUAGUUGAAAAAGUCAUCCAACUUAUGAUCAAUUCGAGAUGCUAAUUCCAAUUUGCACAUAUCCACUAAUAAGUACUACUCCAUCCUCUCCAAAAUAUAGCUAUUUCUAACACUUAAAUUUUAAGUUUGUAGCAAUGAAAUGUUCAAAAUUCCCCCAUUACCACUUUCCUUAAUAUUUGUUAAAAAACUACAAAAGUAUGGCCUGGUUUAAUUCCCAACUUUUUCUUCAAACUUCCAACUUUUUCAUCACAUCAAAACUUUCCUACACACAUAAACUUCUAACUUUUUCAUCACAUCAUUCUAAUUUCAAUCAAACUUUCAAUUUUAGCGUGAACUAAACACACCCUAUAUUUUGGGAUGGAGUAGUAUCUCUUGAGCCACCUCCCUCAGGCUUGACAAUUUGCCAUUGUGAUAUCUUUUGACACAUGAAUACUGGGAAGCAUUUCAAAUCACCCACCGUCAGUAUUUCUUCCUCUUUGACAUGCAGCUCACCAGCCAGAUAGCCCAACAAAGAAAAAAAACCCAAUGAUACGAGAUGGCUUCUCCAAACAACAGUUACUCAAAGGUCAGCAGCUACAUAGGUACAGUAUAUGCUCUAAACUGUAUGCUCCUAAUUGCCUUUAUCCACAUUUGCAUAUAUUGCAGCACACUCCAAAGCAUUGGAUACAGACUGCCAUCACAGUAGCAAGUUUCAUAUAAUUGCUCAUGUGCAUGGUCAAAAAUUUCUUGCCCUUGUGUAUAUAGUGCUCACUGCACAAAUGGUAUAAGGAAAUACUCAGCGUAGAACAACUGCAAGGAAUACAAACAAUGCAAAUGAUUAACAUUACCAAUGUUUAAUUGGUUAACAAAAUUCAUCGUAUAAACUAGAACACUAUCAUUAAUCACCUUCCAAAUGAACAUGUAAAAUGAUGUGAUCCACGCCUUGUUUUCAACGUCACAGUGCUGUGCUCUCUGCCAAAGUGCAAAGGCAAGCAGGCCAUGGCCGAAAACCUGGAUUAUCAAUGCAACAGCAAAAGGACUUCUCAACUUUCAAACUGGGGAAAUUUUUUUUUGAAAUGAACAAUUUUUCUUCUUCUUUUCAGAAGUGAAGAAUUCACUCACGGUGAUAAUCAUUUGACAUAGAUUUGUAGAUGAUGCUCCAGCCAAAAUGGCAGCCCCAUAUGCUGUUAAUAGUAUGUUUAUGCAGAGCCAAUACACCUAAAUCAGAUAAAAAUAGGAUUUUACACCAUUUUUAAAUCUGGAAUGACAUGUAGAACCAUUAUUUUGUUUUCCAGUGGUAGAAUUGGAUAUGUUCUUACUCUUUCUGGACCCAAACGUACGCUCAGGGAUUCGACGCCAAAAUGUCUGUCACCAUCAAUAUCUGGAAUAUCCUGAAAAUUCAGAAAAGGUCCCAGUGAUGAUAUUUGAAGAGAUGGAUGAAAUAAGGCUAUGACUGAAGAAAAGCCAUUGUGAUCUCACGUGAACAUAUAGUCAACAUAAUUGGGCAUUUACCUUGAAUAAAGCUAUAACUGAAGAAAAGCAACACAUGAAUAAUGUUGCGAAAACCACCGACUUUGUUGGUGCCAAGGGCCUCUUCAGAACAUGUUGCUGUUACAAGAAGAAUUCAAUACUAACCAAAGGGAAAUAAGGAAUUUGAACUUGAGAUGUAAACAAUGUUUUGUACUACCUGCAUAUGUGCAAAGAAAGCUAGCUGAACUAAGACAGCUCUUACAAAUAGUAUACAAGAUGCAGCGAGAAACGCGUUCCUUUUCCACCGGAGUAACGGAGCCUGAAAAAAAGAGUAUGAUGGAUUGAAAAUACAAGUAUUUAUAUGUUAGAUGGGAUCAUGGAACACCAUUUGUACUUACAAAGCUCGGUAAAAACUACUUACAUCAACAGAGUAUGCACUUCCAAGAAAGAAACUGAUAAACAAAGCACAUAACAAAGGAGCUGAUUUGGAUCUGAUUCCAAUGGCAAUGCUCUAGCAAAAGGAAACAAAAUGUGAGGAAGGUGUAUUGACAUAAAACCUGUUUUAUUCAAACUAGAAUAAUUGAUUCUUUAUUCCUGGCGUUGAACCUAAUAUACCAUGAUCAAGGACGUGAGUACUAACACUGCUCCAGUUGCCACUGAAAAUUCUCCUGACGCCAACGGAAGGCUGGGCUUAUUGACCUCCAAAAAGAAGUAUGAUUUAAUCACAAUGAUACUACAUAUCACAUGAUAGAAGAAAAUGUUUUCAAACAGCAAGUAAAAAAUCACCUUAUCAAUCUGGAUGUCAUAUAGUUGAUUCAGGCCUACAACAUAGAUAUUCAUACAUAAAGAAGAGGAUAAAGCCUGCACAUAAGGAAAAAUAAAUGGCUGUUGUAUAUCUAUAGACCAUUAAGAAGAUAACUUUAAGCAUCUGUUGAGCACAGGGUUCAUCAGGAAUUUAAUUUAAAACAUCUCUUGAGCACAGCAUUCAUUACAAAAUUUAUGUAUGAUACCUCAAGAAAUCCCCAUAAUGCUUUCAUAGUAAAAUCAUCUAGGCUCCUCAUUGGCAGGAGAGAAACUGAAGUGAUUCCUAUUAUCUGACAAACAAUCCAAGAACAAUAAGCAGUAGCUAGACAACAUGCAUCCGAAACUGCCAUACAAAAUUGAAUGAAACUCACAGUGCCAAAAAUUGUGUGGGGUCGGCAAAACCGAUAAAAAGCUCCCAGUUUCUGGGGAACUUCUUUGCAAAUUUCUUCAAACUCAGUGGCGAUGGAUUCGUGCUGAUCACCAGCAAUGGCAUAGCAUCUCACUUGGAGGACUGGAGAAUGUUGUCUUUUUUGCCUCCUUAUGCUUCUUGUGAGACUGGUAGCAUUUAAAAUUGCACUUAGUUUUACUUGUGAAGUUGUCAUAGUGGGCUAUCGAAAAUAUUAACCCCAGAUUUACGAGAGUGCUUGCCUUUGACACUGGUGUAGAGCAGAAUUUUCCACCGACAAUUUACCUGUAAUGUGUAAUUGAGGACAAGUGUUUAGUACAUUAGUCACUUUGGACAAAAUUAUAUUUUAACAACUUAUGUUUCAUGGGGGAAAGUGCACACUAACAUCUCUAAAUUAUUCAUCCAUUUUAUCAACAAGGUAUUUUAUUUCUCCUAAAAGAAGAGGAAAAAAAAUACAGUUACUGAAAAGGACACAACUAUGAAUUUGUUAAUUAGGAUAAACUUCAUUUCAGAAAUAUGCACCUUCGAAUUCUUCUAAAACUUAGUGGCUGAAAAAUUGAGGACAUAUUAAUCAGUAAUGCCCUAUAUUUGCAAAUUUUGGGACAAUUUGAACCAUGCCACACAAAUUUUACAAAAUUUGUGAUAUGCCACCCUGACCCACAUGUCAUUGACUCAUGUGGGUCUUACAUGUCAUUGAGAUACGGGUGGCAUAUCUCAAAUUUUGCAAAUAUAGGGUGUCAUGGUUCCAACAAACCCAAUAAUUUUAGUGGGGGCUUCGCAGGGGCUCCCAUGGUCCUCACGUAAGUAGUGGAGGCUCGAGACUCUACCGCCUUCAUGCUAGAUCCGCCCUAUACAAUUAAAAGGAUCGCAAGAUCCUGAAACUCUUCCGGAGAACUAGGAACCCAAAUGUACAAUCUUUUUCUUCAUAGUGAAAAACUUGAAUACAUGUUUGAUCCUGCAAUUAUCAUGCGCAUGCAGUUCAAAUGUUUUAAGGUUUUAUGCUUUAUCCCCCAUCUUCUUCUAUUUGUGGUGCAUCUAGGCUAGCUGGAUUUGAUCUACGAACAACCCAACCCGGAUGCCUGGAAUGUUGAUUUUUAUUGAAAAAACAUACUAAAUAUAGAACGAAAACACGAAUCUCUGUAUACCUCCCCAGGACAGUUUCCUCGUUCCAAACCGAGCCCUGAAUUCCGAUCCCCUCUUAUCUGCAGCACCCAAGUUAAAGAAAAUCCUCAAAUCAAACCGAAGUAAUCAAAGAACAAGACUAACAAAAGACAGUAUAAAAGAGUUGUGUGUCAGCUGGCGGCGGCCGGUUACCUUCCUGGACUUGCACGGUGUGCUGAUGCGCCGCCGGCUUGAUAGCCGAGCACGCCGCCGCCGCCGCCGCCGAUGAGGCUUGCAUCGUCUGGGAUCUUGGAAGAAGACAACGGACGGACGGACUAGAUGAGGAAGAACUGAAGAGGAGGAAAACCUAGGAAUUAAGCCGCCGGCCGGCCGGAUCGAGGAUUUAUGCGAGGGAUUAGCUGAUCUAUCGAUCGAUGGAAGGGAGAUGUGUGGAGUGGGGAUCGAUGAGUUGGGGGACGCAAGCUUUUCUGCUGCUGAUUAAUGCACGCAUGCAUGGCGUGCAUGUAACCGAACCAGCUAUGCUAGCCGCACUGCGCAUCAGCCAGCAGUGAUGACGACGCAGGCAGGCAGCUAUCCCACGCCGCCUGCCUGUGCUGCACUACAACUCACGCGUUGGAAACCAGGCCAUGGUCCACGGGAGUUAGCCGGGCAGUCAGCCCAUUGGGCCGCGAAAACGCGCGUCUAAAAAACCGCCGCAAGUUAUUUAGGAAAAACUUUCAAAUCUAACUAUACUACAAUUGUAAUAUAAUUCCACUGUAACUAUAAUAUUAACUUGUAUAUAAGUAUUAAAAUAAUAUACGCAACUUUAUAUCUAACUUAUAUAGAGAUUACAAUGUAGUUACAGUUAUAUUGUAGUUACAAAUUACUCCAUCCGUCCCAUAAAAAACCAACCUAAUACCGGAUGUGACAUAUCCUAGUACUAUGAAUCUGGAUAUAUAUCUGUCCAGAUUCAUCGUACUAAAAUAUGUCACAUCUAGUCCUAGAUUUGUUUUAUGGGACGGAGGGAGUACAAUGUAACUAUAGUGAAUUUACAUUAUAGUUACACUAUAACUAUACUAUAGUUACACUUGAAAGUUUUUUCCUAUAAAACUUGCGACAGUUUUUUUUUUAGCAAUUUUGGUUCUCGUUUGGAAUAAGUUUGCUUGCCAUCCAUCACCUUCACGUCGAGUUUAAACGGCAUCCUUAGACUGCAAUACUAGAAAUCUUCAACCCCAACUUGCAAAACCGGAUUAAUUAAGAUCAUCCGUCAGUAUAGAUGGUUGGUUUCAUUGACAUAACAAGUUGACUCGGUCCACUCAUGCUGACUAGGCGUAUACGUGAAAAAAAAUAAAAGUGAGCCCCCACAUAUAAUCCUCGCUCUCCUCCCAUUUUCUCCCUCCCUCAUCUCCAUUUUCUCUCCAUCUCCCUUUGGUUCUUGGAGCUUGAUGCAUCGAGCACGUUGCUAGAGAGCGGUGAUUGAGAAGUGGGGGCUAACCAGGAGCGGUGAUGAGGAAGCAGCUCAAGGCGAGGAGGUCUAGUGCGGCGAUGGGUCUGCCAUGGUGGUGACAGAGGCCAAACCGAAGUAGAAACAUCCGUAUAGAGCAGGGACUUCCUCAGCUUCCGAAUAGGAGGAGGAGCUCGUCAUCCAGGUUGGCUCUUCCCCUUUCACCUUCAACCUCAUCAGCUCGCCGCCUCCGUCGAGCUGUCGGGUAGGCGAGAAGCGACAAAAAGGAAUCGGGCUGAGCUACCGUUGCUGACUCGAUGUGGAGCGCUUCCUGCCGCAGGAGGCAUGAUAGGAGUUACCUAGCGAGUCGGGCAGCGUGAGUGGCUUGGGGCUGGAACUAGGACAUGGCAACGACACCACCGCUCGAGCUUGAUUUCCAUCGCCACCACCGUGGCAUCCCUUCCUCAACCUAGCGGCUCCUCCUCUCACUCUCGACAUAAUCAGGCAGCGACGGUAAGCCCCACUCCUAGCGGUAGGGAAGAGCCCAUCCCCAGUGUCACAGGACCACGUACAGGAGCACCCGAGGCGGAGUUACCGGGGCAUCGGGUCCUCUCCUCCGUCAUCGCAGACUACCAUUGCCCUCUAUCCUCUUCGACUGCUCACCGCCACCUUCCCAUGGACUGUCGGUGAGCUAGAGCUCGCCGACUCCCUCAUCUCCCUCCUCUUCUCCUUUUGCUGCCAUGGUCCACAAGAGCCCUCUCAUCACCGACCUCCCACCGCCGCGCUGUCUCCCGCGGACGGGCUUGCCAGUCGCUGCCACUCUCUCCUCCAUUGAGCUCCUGGGAAAGAGAGGGGAGAGGUGGAGAGAUGGGGAAGAGAGGGGAUAGUUGAGGAGAGGAGGAGGUCCACUUACAUGUGGACCACAUGUUUUUUAAUUUUCUUUUUGCUGACUAAGAUAUGACGUCAGCCCAAAACCAACCAUCCGUACUGUCAUGGAACUUGGCUUGGCCGGUUUCGUCUGUAUAAGGGGUGAAGAUUUUUGGUAUUACGGUUUAGGGAUGUCAAUUAAACUCCACGAAAACUGAGAGGCGAUAUGUGGACUUGUUUCUUUCUCGUUUUCUCCCGGAAUAAGUUCAUCUGAGGUCCCUUAACUUAUCGACGAAUCCGAUUUUCGUCUUUCAACCAGAAAAUCAGAUAUAAUAGGUCCCUUAAUUAUCAAAACCGGUGCAAUAUAGGUCAUAAGGAGGUUUGGACGGCGGUUUUAGCUGACGUGGUGCCUACGUGGCUAAUUUGACUCGGUCUUCAUCUAACGCGGCAUUGACGUGGCCCUUACGUGGCAAUUUGAUCCGAAAAAAUAGUAAAACCCGUGGGAACCAUAUGUUAGCUUCACAUACACAAUAAUAAAAAAUGGUGGGACCCAUGUGGGCCCUGCAUGUUAUUCUCAAUCCCCUCCUCUUCUUCCUCCUGACCUCCUCUCUCCCCCAUCUCACCUAUCUUCACCUCUCUCCCCUCUCCUCCCUCCUCUCACCGACGGAGAUGCGGACGGCGUGGAGGCGCGACCUCCUCCACUCCCGUCCCCAUGGGCUUACCGCCGACAGCCACCGUGCCUGCUUCCUCUGCCGCUGGUCGCAGGUGCAUCUGAGCAAGAGGAGCCACAUGCGGGACCAGACUGUCAGCGCCAUGGAUGCAGCUACAUGGCUAGGGAAUGGCUCUAAGCUGCUGCCGACGUGCAGCUCAUGGGCGAUACCCUUGCAGUCACGUGGCGCGUGUGUUGGAGGAAGCAACGGAGACGGGGAGGUGGCCGCGUGUCACUGAGGAGGACGGGGGCCCGGCGAAGGCAAGAGCGGCAACCGUUUCUGAGGAAGGCGCGGGGGCAAAAGGCGGUGCUGGAGAACGGCCACCGGAGGUCGAGGCGAGGGGGAAGCGGCGGCGACGGCAGGAACAUCCGGAGGCGGUGGAGGCAGGCGUGGCGGGCGACGAGGAGAGGGGUGGCGGAUGCCUGUAGUAGGCCCAUGGGGGGCGAGAGUGGAGGAGGCUGCGUCUUCAAGCCGUCCGUUUCUCCGCCGGCAAGAGGAGGGAUGAGAGGGGAGAGAGAUGAAGACAUGGGAGAUGGGGAGAGAGGAGGAAGAAGAGGAAGGGAUUGAGACCAGGGGUUUAUGUGGGCCCCACUAUUCUUUUUUAUUAUUGUGUGUGUGAAGCUGACAUGUGGGUUUUAUAGGUUUUUUUUUUCAGAUCAAAUUGCCACGUAAAUACCACGUUAUAUGAAAAACCAGUCAAAUAAACCACGCAAGCUAAAACCAAACCACCGGUUUUGACAAUUAAACGACGCAUUGGUUGACAAGUUAAGAGACACCAGAUGAACUUAUUCCUUUUUCUCCCGUAGCGCGCGCGGCCCACAGCCUACACGGCCCACCUCCCGCGCUACCCCCCAGUGGGCAGUGGCGACGCUAUCCUCUCCAUCCGCUCGCGGCUCGCGCUCGCCCAUCCAAUCCACCGCAAGCCGAAGCGUGAGCAAAGUGCCCUCGAGCCAUGGCCAUGUCCCUCUCCCUCGCGCGCGUCGCGCUCCCGCCUCUGCUGCAGCAGCAGGGGGGCGCCCCCAGGAAGCUCCACCCCGGCGCCCUCGCGUUCCCCGCCAAGUCGUUCUUCGGCGCGCCGCUGGCGGCCGUCGCGGUCUCCCCCGCGUCGGCGGCGGCGGCGUCGCCGCUCCGUCGCAGGCCGUCGUCCGCCUCCGCCGUCGUCGCGGCGGGGAAGGGGUACAAGAUGAAGACCCACAAGGUACGGCGCGGCUUGGUUGGUGCUGUUCUGGUGUGGAUUGCUGCUGCUGGGGCUGAUUGAUUUCUGUGGGAAUUUUUUUUCAGGCGUCGGCGAAGCGGUUCCGGGUGACGGGGAGGGGGAAGAUCGUGCGGCGGCGCGCCGGGAAGCAGCACCUUCUCAGCAAGAAGAACACCAAGCGCAGGAAGAGGCUAUCCAAGAUGGUAUGCUUCUUCUUCUUCUCUUCUCCCCCCACCACCCUGCAAUCCAGAUACAGUGCAGCUCAAAUUCUGGUCUACUAGUUGUCCAGCUUAUCUAGCCAUGGAAUUUGCUGGUGUUCCUAUGCUUAAUUUUGGAUUGGAUUGCAAUGUGAGCUGUGGAAUGCUAAAUUGCUAAGUGAGACUGUGAGAGUGACUGAGUGAGUGUGGUUCAGCUCAUGGUGCUAUGGAAUGCGCCGAAUUUGGGAUGUUCUAUUUGUGAAUUUCGGGGCAAUAUGCAUAGCUGUCUCCUAGUACCUAUGUGGCUGAAUCUGAUUGUGGGUCACAUAUCUGUGCAUUCUAGAUUGUAUGGGAAUCAAAUGAGUGGCAUUUGUAGCUUCUUUCUAAACUUUGAUGUGUUCAGCUCUGCUGUUCGCGAUAACUAAUUAGUAAUUUCACUCAUUUUUUUUCAGAGUUCAUGGUCCACUAUUAGUUCUUACAACAAAAAAUAUUUUUAGAAGCCACUUCUUUAUGUCUAUGUGCUAUUGUGCUAAGUCCUACUUAAUAUUAGCAUAUUUUUAAAUUGCUGAAUAAUAAUAUGCCAUGCUCUUUGAGUAUUUUUUGGGAAGUUAAAAGAUUGUCGAAUGUCUUAUCCAUUUGAUUAUUGGGGAUCUGACAACAUAAUUAACAGCCAUAAACUUUGUUGUAAUAUUAGAAGCUCAGUAGGUUGAGUGUUAUAAUUAGUGUGCACACGCAAAAGUACAUACCAGCAAUUGAUAAUUUAAUUGCUCAUCUAUCCCAAUCUCCCCUUGAUAUCAAUCCAUGAUUGGUAUGUGUCCUUUACAUUUUUCUGUUCUAAUAAUAAUGUGCAAAUGCAUCAUACACAUUUUGCAUUGGAGUGUUUUGUCGAAAUGAAGUCCACUAUUUUUGUACACUUCUUCUGUAACUGAGUCUCCAUAUUAUUUUAUAGAGGUUUGGUCUUUCCCCCCUGAAGUUCAGUCUUCCCAUUUCUUACCUCUCGGAUCCUUAAAGUAAAGCACACCCUACACUAAAUUUGAGAUAGGAAGCUUUCUUGUAGGCCCAACAUCUGUUCUACUUGUAUCACCAAUGUUUGGUAAUUAAGCGGCUGAAAAGAAACAUUAUUACAAUAAGAAAAUAACAAUGAUUUGCUGGGGGUGUAGUCUAUUUUAGUAGCUUCUGAAGUCCUAAAAGUGUCAUCAUAAAUCAAGGACAACUUCACUGGAAGUCUAAAACUUGUCAUUGUCUACCGCCCUCUAAGAGAACAUUGUUAUCUUUCUCGCAGAUCCAAGUUAACAAGAGCGACUACAACAACGUGACGGGCGCACUGCCCUACCUCAAAGUGAACAGGAAUGCAGAAUGAGAUCUCCUAGGUCUUGCAAACAUGCUUCUGUUUCGUUUCAUCAAAUUGUAAUUUUGUGUAUCUUCUUUGUAUUUCUUUUCUGAAUACCAAGGUCCCAAGUCAUACCAAGCAAGCACAAACAAUUAUUCAUGCCAACAUGUUCAAAAAUGAGUUGCACUUGCACGAGCUAGUUAUUUACAAGUCCUUUUUCCCCUUUUGACAAAGAAAAUUCCAACUGAUAAUGAAAGCAACUAUUAAGGAGUAAGAACAUGAGUGGUUGACUAUGCAAGGCGUCUCCCAUUAUACCUGUGACUAAUAGCAUCUGAUUUAAUUUGCAUUAAGUAAUAUGUGCAGGCUUAAGAAGUGAAAAAAGUCGUUUAUUUGAGCUCUUCUGUGUGAAACUGCGAACUCACCUAAAUGGACAUCUAAGCAUUUUUUGGACUAUAAAAUAAACAUCUUUUGCUUAAUUUAGCAAGGAGACCGUUUAUUUAUUGACUCGUUCACACGAUGCCAAAGUGACAUCUAUGUAUUUUUUUUUAAUUUAGCAAGAAGACCGUUUAUUUAUUGGUUUGUUUGGUUGUAUGGCGGCAUGGCGCCACCCAUUGCCCAAAUCUACUGAGUUAGUGUUUGAUUAGUUGUUGCAAUUGUGGCAAUCCAUAUUUUAGUACUCCAUGCGCUCAAAUUCCAUACACACAAUUCCUAGCUAAACAAUGCCACCCCGUUGGCAAUCCACACUGGUGACAAAUUGAGUUAUGACACGGUUAGGUUAUAGUCUAUCAUGUCCUCAAUCUGCAUAUGUGGUAUGCACAUACAUUUUUAUUGACUUCCAUGCAUAUAGCAAUUGAUUAAUAACAUUGAAAUAAGGGAGGAUCAAAAUAGAAUAAGAUUUGUUUAAGUUUAGUUGUUGGUGGACCCCCACCAGGCCACCACAGAGAGGCAACCGUUUGAAGGAAAAGCGAAAAACGAAUUGUGCAUUAACUAAAGUCAUUCCACUUGGAGUUGAUAUUCACUAAAGAAAAGUUCAAAAACAAACAUUGAUAACCUACUGCAACCUAUGGAAAGUCAUUCUACUCGAAUCCAUGAUUCCAAUAGAAAUCUAAAACCACAGUAGCAACGUUUAUUAUACAACAAACUCAUCCCAAAACCAUUAAAUAUCAACCACAUCCUCCUACUUCUAUGGAAAGUAAUGCUGCCCGAAUGAUAGAUUCACUACAAAAUGUGCACAACUGUAAAAAAAUAACACCAGACUAUUGAAAAACAUAUAGAAAAUCAUUCUGCUCAAAUCCUAAGAUUCGCUAGAGAAACCCGAACCACACUAGUGACAUUUAUUAUACAAGAAUGUCAUGGUAGAAAUAAUUAAAUUACAAUAAGAAGUUCCAACUUCUACGGAAAGUAGUUCCUUUGAAUCAAAGAUUCUCAAAAUAGAACAUGCAAAACCAUCAAAUAAUAACUAUAGGCUAUUGAAACUUAUAAAAAGCCACCCCGCUAGAAUCCAAGAUUUGCUAGAGAAACCCAAAACUACACCAACAACUUUUGUUAUAGAGCAAAUUUCACAAAACCUCAUGUUUUGGGGGCAUUAGAAACAAAUACCCUUGGUCUUGUAAUUUGUUUCAACAAGCCCCGAAUUUUGAGGCAACAUGUUUUAAAAGACAUAAGCACAAACAUUGAUUGUCCAUUUGGCUGUAUAAUAAUUGUUUAAAAAAAUAUAUGAGACAUUUUACUAUGUAUACACAUUGGCAUAUUUUUCAACAAUCAUUGGUUGUCGAUAGUAUGAACAUUUGUAUAUAUAAAUGGUAGACAUGGCAUUAUUAGUGUGGAUUAUGUUAUGAUUUUUCAAUCAUAGAGUGCGAGUGAGAAAGGAGAUGAAGCAGAAAGAAUGGACGUGUAUUUAGAGCAUAUUAAUGUGAAUAUAUAUCUAAAUAAUGUAAUGCAUAACAUUGGAAGUGAGUUUUUUUUUAAAACAUAAACCUAGUGUUUCUUGAAACAUCUUGCCCCCAAAACAUGGGGUUCCUUGAAACAAAUAAGAAUAAAUAGGGUUUUGCAUCACGGAUGCCUCAAAACCAGGGAUUUUGUGAACUUACUCGUUAUUUAUAUAGCAAUGCUAAUGUGAAAACCAUUAAAUUAAUAACAUGCUAGUACUUCUAUGUAAAGUAAUUCCACUCAAGUUAGAGAUUCGCUAAAUAGAAUAUGGAAAAUUGUCAAAUUAUAAUAAUAGGAUAAAUGAAAAACUUAUGACAAGUCAUUCUGCUCGAAUCAUGAGAUUUGUAGGAGAAACCCGAAACUACACUAGCAACAUUUGUAAUACAACAAUGUCAUCACAAAACCAUUAAAUUACAACAACAAGAUCCUAUUUCCGCGGAAAGUAAUUCCGUGCAAACCAGAGAUUUGCAAACUAGAACAUGCAAAGCCAUCAAAUAAUGACUAUAGUUAUUGAACCUAGAAAGUCAUUCUACUCGAAUCCCAAGAUCCAUUGAAGAAAUCCAAAAAAUGCACUAACAAAAAAAAUUAUAGAGUAAAUUUCACUAAACCCUAGGUUUUGGGACAUUUUUAGCAUAAUACCCUAGGUUUUGUAAUUUGUUCCAACAAACGCUUGGUUAUGGGGCAUCAUGUUUUUUUUUAAAAAAAAAUCACAGGCACAAACUUAGAUAGUACAUUGGGCUAUAUAAUAAUUGUUAAAAAAACUCGUAUGGUACUUUUUUUUACUAUGUACACACAUUGGCCAUAAUUUUAACAAUAGUUGGUUGUCAAUAGUAUGACCGUUUGUGUAUGUAUAUAAGUGGUUGACAUGGCGUUAUUAAUGGGGAUUAUGUUAUUUGCAUUCAUAUAGUGUGAGUGAGAAAGGAGGCAAAAUAGAUAGAUGGGCAUUGUAUUUAUAGCAUAUUAAUAUGUGAAUACAUGCAUAAAUAAUACCAUGUAUAACUACAAAACACGAGUAUUUUACAUAAAACCGUGGUUUUUUGAAAUAUUUUUACCCCAAAACAUGUGAUUCCUUAAAACAAAUCACAAUAAUGGGGGGGGGGGGGUUUGCAUUACGAAUGCCCUAAAUCUUGGGAUUUUGUGAAAUUUACUCUUUAUAAUAUAUUAUAGAGCAACACCAACAUGAAAACAUUAAAUUACAUUUCAUCAAUAAAUCCACUGUUUUUGUGCACUUUUUCUGUAAAUGAGUGCAAUGGGUGUUUUGUUGAAAUGUAAAUCCACUGUUUUGUGCACUUUUUUAGUAUCCAUUAUACUUUAUAGAGGUUUGGGGUUUCCCCCUUGAGGUUUGCUCUUCCUGAUUCUUACUACAUCUUAUAUACUUAAAUCUUACCUUACACUAAAUUUGAGAUAGGCAGCUUUCUUAUCCUUCCCAACAUUAGUUCUACAUGUAUCACCAUUUUUUUUUCAGAAUUAAGGACCUGAAAAGAAACAUUGUUAUUAUUAUUUUCUUGUAAGAAAAUACCAAUAACUUACUGGUUAUGUAUAGUCCAUUUAAGUACUUUAGUCCUCAAAGUGUCAUACUGUGAAUCAAGGGGUAACUUCAUUGGAAGUCUAAUACAUGUCGUUGUGUGCUUCAAAACACAAUUUACAUGUCCUCUAAGAGAAUGCACAUUGCUAUCUUUAUCGCAGGUCCAAGAUAACCAGAGCGACCACAACAACGUGAUAGGCACACUGCCCUAGCUCAAAGCGAACCAGAAUGCAAAAUAAGAUCUCCUAGGUCUUGCAAACCUGCUUCUGUCUCAUUUCAUCAACUUGUAAUUUUGUGUCUCUUAUUUGUAUUUCUUUAUGAAUAUCAAGGUCCCAAGUUAGAUCAAGUAAGCAUAAACAAUUUUUCAUGCCAACAUGUUCAAAAAUUUUGCACGGUCUAGUUCUUUACAACAUUUUGCAAGUUUUUUUUCCCCUUUUGACAGAGAAAAUUCCUGUUCAUAUUGAAAGCAAUUAGUAUUAAAAAGUACAAACACGGGUGAUUGACCAUGCAAGGCCAGCUGAAAUAAACCACAAAAGGACAAUCCCUAUUAUACCGGUGACUAAAUAACAUUUGAUUUAAUUGCAUUAAAUAAUAUAUGCAAGACUUGAGAAGUAAAAAAACAAGUCAUUUAUUUGAACUCUUCUAUGUGAAACUGUGUGCUCACCAAUUGAAAUCUACGUGCUUUUAUUGGAAUACAAAUAAACAUCUCGUGUUCAGUUUAGCACGAAAAUCGUUUAUUUAUUGACGUAUUCACGGCUUCAUGCCAUGCCACAGUGAUAUCUAUAUUUUUUUUAUAGUAGAAGAAUAUCAUUCUUUGAGGGCUUCUUUGGUUGUAUGCCACACAUUCCCUAAGCCUUAGGUGUGUUACAAUUUAUUGGGUUAGUGUUUGAUUUAUUAUUGUAAUUAUGGCAAGCCACAUUUUGUUACUUCAAAUGUCAUACACACAAAAUUCAUAGCAAAACAUUCUCACCCUUAUGGCUAAUAAAACAAUGGUCACACUUCGUGAGUUUGUGUGGCAAGUCACACUUGUAAAAAAAUGAGUUAUGACAAGGUUAGGUUAUAACCAAACAUGCCCUUAAUCUCUAUAUCACAAAACCUCUAAAUACUAGCUAAAGUCAUUCAACUUGGAACCUGUAUUUGCUAAAUAAAUGAACAAAAACUUAUGUAACACUCAUAAUCUAAUAGAUAAAUCUAAAACUACAUUAGCAUUGUUUAUUAUACAAUAAGCUCAUCGAAAAAUCAUUAAAUAUCAACCACAUGCUCCUACUUCUAUGGAAAUUGAUUCCUCUCGAAUCAUAGAUUCACUAAAUAGAACAUUCAAAAUAAUCAAAUAAUAAUGGCAUGCUAUUGAAAAAUGUAUUGACCACAUUUACUCUUUAUUCUACAGCAAUGCAAACACGAGAACAUUAAAUUAUAACAACAUGCUUCUACUUGUAUUUAACAAAUCUCUGAUUCAAGCGGAAUUACUUAUCAUAGACCUUGCCACCGUGCUAGUGUGAGUAACAUUUAUUAUCCAACAAAUACAACGGAAGCUUUAAAUAAUCAUUUUGUUAGUAUCAUAGUGCUAGUAUCAUCAUUUUGCUGUAUUUAUAGCGUAACAAAUACAACAAAAGUUUCAAAUAAUAUACACUAGUACCAUCAUUGUCACCAAUGAAUUAAUUGAAAGCCAGCCACACUAGAGAUGGUUUUCAACUAUAGCACACAUGGAGUAAGAGCAUUUAACUAUUUACCAUUAUUUGGCAAUCAUAUCUAAAUAACGACAAACUAUUGAAAGUCAAAGAAAGUGACAUGUUAUUGGGACCGACAGAAAGUAAUUUUGCUUAAACCCAAAAUUCACCAAAGAGAAACAUAAAACCACACUAGUAAAAUGUAUAUAAAAAAAUUAAACCCAAGGGAAGAGACGUUCUAAAUACAUUGCUUUAAGAUAAAAAAAAAAUCCCUAAAAGCCGGUUAGAUGCACCCUAUCACCUUAGCUACAUGCCACGACCACGGAAAACACAUAGCGAUGGACCUUUUUUUUUUGCGUGAGCCAGUAGUGAUUGAGCCCUCGUCAGCGGCCUCACUCGUUGGGAUCUUACCAUCGUGCUAUGAACAACAUAUAUAAUUCAACAAAUACAAUAAAUGAUUUUUAUAUUAUACACCUAGCUUCAUCAUUUAUGAAAACCAGCAAAACCAGAUGUGGUUUUCAACUGUAGCCCAUAGAAAAAGGGCAUUUAAACAUUUACCAAUAUUCGGUGCACACACAUUUACUCCUCGCAUCAAGGCUCUCGCAAAAGUGGGAAGAACAGUCCAAUAGAACAUCAACCAGUGAAGUGUUAGUGGCAGCGGAAGAAGAAACAUGCAUGCAACAAUAGUCAGGAAUUUAAAGCUAGGGAUUUGCACGCACACAGGCCAAAAUACCUUCCAAAUUUCUCUGCGAGGGAGCGCGUGAAUUCCACCCCCAUCUACUGUCCUGAUCCUCUCCUCUCCUCGUCGAUAUAAAUGACGCCCUCCCCCUCGCUGUUGCACCCAUCCCUCUCUGACCUCGAGUUGCAGCUUCUUGUGCUGUUUUGAGCCAGCAUUCGAGGGAACCCAUCGGAAAAGAUCUGAAAGGUGGGGGUUCUAGGAGGGUUUCUUGGUGUUCUUGUAUUGGUUUUGGUGGGUUCUUGCUGGGGGUGCGGAGGGGGAGGGAGAUUUUGGUGGUCAGUCGUUCGUCCAGAUUGGGGUUUUCUUGUUGCUGAUCGUGUUUGUUUUUUUUUUUACCAAGGGGAUCCAAGGGACGAACAUGGCGGCGACGCAGGCGACGGCCGCCAGAAAAUUCCCAGAGGGUUUGCGCGUGCUUGCCGUCGACGAUAGCCCCGUUUGCCUCAUGCUCCUGGAGGCGUUGCUUCGCCGGUGCAAGUACCAACGUGAGUUCUUGGCUUGUUAGCCGAGUUGUUUAGUUAGAUCUUUUUUUUGUAUAUAUUUUUUUCUUGUUGUUUGCUUGAUUUCUGCGGUGGCCGGGAUGUAGCGACGAUGACGAGGGACGCGGCGACAGCGCUACGGAUGCUCCGGGAGAGGCCGGGGGAUUUCGACCUGGUGAUUAGCGACGUGCACAUGCUGGACAUGGACGGCUUCAAGCUUCUCGAGCUCAUCGGCCUUGAGAUGGAUCUCCCCGUCAUCAGUAAAACCCCUUCCUUCACACCAACUUUCCAUUUUUCAUGCAUGUCAUGGCUUCCCUUUCUUGGUAUUUGUCCCUUUUCUCUUGGAAGUAGAUGUCUAAAGAAGUAGGAAGUGUUGCUUUCAAGUAGAUCUGUUGAAUGGUUGUUUGUUAUACAUUGGAUACCACGUGAGAUCCUGUAUAUUUAUUGACUUCACACUCAUACUUGGGCUGAUAGAUGGUACUAGGUUGGAGAAAAGUGGUCACAUGUCUAUUAUGUGCUUGGUCUUCACAUUCAUCAAUAAUAAUCUGAACAUGUAACGGAAUUUCAGUGGGGAUAUUAUGUCGUUGUUUUAUGAUCCGUUAUAGUUGUUGUUUUGUUGGCGUUACUACUUCCAAGUAGAUAAGUAGAUAAAUCAAAUGGUUUGUCGUACAUUGAAUAGUACUUGAUAUUCUGUAAAAUUAUUGACUUCAUUCAUACUUGGGUUGGUAGAUAGUAGGUUAGAGAAAAAUGGCCAUUUGUCUAUUAUGUGCUUGGUCUUUAGAUUCAUCAACAAUAAUCCAAACAUAUGUAUAGCGGAAUUUCGGUGGAUGGAAUAUUAUGUUGUCGUUUUAUGGUCCAUUGUACUUGUUCUUUUGUAGGCGUUACUAUUUGCAAGUAGAUAUAUUGAAUGGUUCGUUGUACAUUGGAUAGCACGUGAGAUCAUAUAAACUUAUUAACUUCACCCAUACUUGGGCUGAUAGAUGGUAGGUUAGAGAAAAAUGGCCACGUGUAUAUUAUGUGCUUGGGUUUUAGAUUCAUCAAUAAUAAUCCGAACAUGUAACGGAAUUUCGGUGGAUGGAAUAUUCUACUGUUGUUUUAGGGUCUGUAGUAGUUAUUCUUUUGUUGGUGGUACUACUUUCAAGUAGAUAAAUUGAAUAGUUUGUUGUACUUAGAUAGCACGUGAGAUCCUAUAAAUUUAUUGACUUAAUUCAUACUUGGGAUGAUAGAUGGUAGGUUAGACAAAAAUGGUCACAUGUCUAUUAUGUGCUUGAUCUUUAGAUUAAUCUGAACAUAUAACAGAAUUUCAGUGAAUGGAAUAUUCCCUUGUCGUUUUAUGGUUUGAUAUAGUUGUUCUUUUGUUGGUGUUAUUGUCGAAUCUGCAUUCGUGUAAUCGUGUUACAUGUAUUGUCCUAUUUUUUCUAUUUAAUGUGCAAAAUAGUAAAACCUAUAUCAUUUGAAACCGUCGAACAUAAAAGUGACCAUAACUGUAGCAUGUCAUUGUCUAGCACGUGUGAAAUAUUUGCUUACAAUAAAAGAUGGGAAAAACAUGUGUAAUACCUUAAAUAUAUUCAAAAGAACAGAGUCCAUAUAUAACUAGCAUCAUCUACGCCACAUUUUUUUUCCUGAUCCGGAUCCACAGGCAACAGUUCAUGAUGCCCAGUUUAUUGAAACAAAUUCUGAUUGCUGACUAUACGCUGUGCAGUGCAAUCCGCAAAUGGGGAGCUUGAAACUAUGAUGAAGGGCGUGACCCAUGGGGCAUGUGACUACUUGGUGAAACCAGUGAGCCUCAAAGACAUCCAGAACAUAUGGCAACAUGUGUGGAGGAAGAGAAAGCUUGACAUAAGGAACCACAAUGGCGGUUACAACGACGGCGGUGAGCUGGUUGGCGCGACGCGGACCAAGAGGAAGUACACAAGGAAGAUGAGAAAUGAUGGAGAUAAUUAUGGUGAGAACAAAGAGAACAUGGAUUCAACUCUGAAGAGACAAAGGGUUGUCUGGACACCUGAGCUGCACCGGGACUUUGUCAUUGCCGUCCAUGAGCUUGGAGUUGAUCGUAAGAGCUCAUGCAUCAUGUCUCAGUUAUCAAACAAUCUUUUUCUUUUUUUCAAUUUGUCUUAAGCAAUAAAUAUUUUGAUUAUGUGAAUGUAGGUGCUGUUCCAAGGAAGAUAUUGCGGAUGAUGAAAGUGGACUACAUGACCAGAGAGAAUAUUGCAAGUCAUCUUCAGGUUUAUAUCUACACUUAUGUUUAAUUUCUAUGUUUCUAUAAUUAAAGAUAUUUGGAUUACUCUUUUCUGAUCGAAAGUGUUCCAUACAUAAACCUUUCAUAUCUUCUUUUAAUGUGUGCACACAACUAGUAAUCAAUUUUUUUGUGAUUUUUUUAUUGUUUUCCAAUGAGUAUGGACACAUCUCAACCAUGUGUUUGCCUUUCUUGGUUUCAGAAGUAUCGGUUAUACCUGAAAAGGAUCAGCACUCAAACAGGCAUGGAUCCUGAUCAAUUUCCUGAAAAAUGGAAGUAUAUGAAUGAACUGGAUGCUCUGAAAAAUUACUGUGAAAAUGGGAGAUACCGUCUAACCCCAGCCAUUGCCUCCUCAAGCUCGAGCAAUCCAUUUGCAAGGAUGAAUUCUGCAUCUGCAUUGGCAACAAAUGGCUUUCUGCCCACUCACUCAGUUCAGCUCAAGAACAGCCAGAGAAACAUGGCCAUGGGGACAGUUGGCCAUGGUGGAAGCCCGGGCAACAAUCCUGUGUUUCAGCCACUGCAGAACUCAUCAAAUGCAAGAAAGUGCUUCCCAUCUGGCCCAUCUGGGAGCUCAUUUGCAAACAUAUCAAAUGGCUUGGUGUUGGAUACAGACGAUUCUGGUAGCUCAUAUGCUGGCAUGUUCUGUAAGAGUAUGUGGGAGACAAGCAAUGGCUCUCCAUCUUGCCAUUCUGGCAACUCGUCUGCAAACAAGUCAAAUAAUGGGGUUUCGGCGCCUGCAAAUCAGUUUCAAGUACAGUCAAAGUUUGGGUUUUCAGCUCUUGCAAAUCAGUUUCCAGUGCAGUCAAAUUGUGGGUUUUCGGCGCCUGCAAAUCAGUAUCAAGUGCAGUCAAAUGGUGGGUUUUCGGUGCCUGCAAACCAGUUUCCAGUGCAGUCAAAUGGUGAGUUUUUGGCGCCAACAAAUCAGUUUCCAGUGCAGUACCCUGAAGUGAAUAAUCAGCCUUUGGUUCAGAUGAAUCAAUCUUCUACAAACCACUUCAGCACAAUUGGCAAUGAUUACCAAUUUCCGGACCUUGCAAACUGUAGCAAAUACUGGCAACCUACAGCACCAUCGAUGUUUCCUGAUCUUGGUCACAAUGAUGGGACAUCUUUCCGCCCGUCGCAGGCGAACAUCGCCAAUAUCAACCAGCUCUCAAGCUUUGCAGCCUCCAGUGGCCAGGAACCGAUGUUUGGAGAUGAACUACAUGGUCAAAUGUCACCAAUCAUGAGCACCAUAUCACUGUCAGAUUUCGAUGAUCAGAUGGGGUCAUUCAACAUAGGAAACGACACAAGCCCAGCAGAGAUGAUGCAUGACAACUUCUCACUUGGUAGUGACUCGAACAUCAGUUCUUCAACACCAACUGAUUCAAGCUUCGGUUCUACAUUUCCUGACUUUCAUCUCGACAGCCCUGAGAUGCCGGCUCAGAUGCUGAAUGGUGGGGAUGAAGAUGGCAUUCUUCUCCCUGUGCUCGAUGACACAGUUGAUCAGCAAGAUCUUUUUGAUCAACUAGAUGAAAACAAUGGUAGGGAAAAACUUGGUAGUGGCCGAUGUGUUAGGAAGGGUCCCUUUGAAUGUUUCUUUUAGAAGAGCAAUUGUAGGGAAAAACUUGGAAGAUUGGCUUGAAAUUGUUUCAAAGGUGGUGAGUGUCAAUUUGAAUGAUAAGCAAGACCAAUUCUUUUGCAAGAGCAAUAAAAAAGGGUUGUUUUAUGUUAACUCCAUGUAUAAAGCCCUUAUGCUUAAUGGUGUAAUACAUAGGAAAUCUUUAAUUUGGAAGCUAAGGAUUCCUUUAAAAAUUAAAAUUUUCCUUUGGUAUAUUGAAAAGGGGGUGAUUCUAACAAAAGAUAAUCUUGUUAAAAGAAGAUGGAAGGGUAGCUUGCUUUGUAGCUUUUGUAACUCUAAUGAGUCAAUUCAACAUCUCUUCUUUGAUUGCAUAAUGGCUAGAUACAUUUGGAAUGCGAUCUAUCUUACUUUUGGAGUCAAGCAACCCCGUAAUAGUUCACACUUGUUUGGAAAUUGGUUAAGAGGUUUUGAACCUAAGCUUAAAAGACAAACUUGGGUAGGCAUAGCGGCGAGUUGUUGGGCUUUGUGGCUCAGUAGAAAUGACUUAGUCUUUAAUGGCUACAACCACGUAUCUUUUUUGUAGGUAAUUUUCAAAGCAACUCAGUUGUCAAGGCUUUGGUCUUUGCUUCUUAAAGAAGACGAAGGCAUUGAAGUAAUCGCGAAGUGCAAGCUUUUAGAGAAGCGUAUGAUGGAGCUCUUCUCUACUUUUGGGUGGAACUUUAGAAGAAGGAUUGAAGCUUAGCUUUUAGUUCCUCUUGCUUGUUAUCCAUCUUUAAAACUUAUUUAUGCUUUACCCAUGUAACGGGAGAGUCUUAUGUACUCGUGUUUGUGACUUUUAGGCUGUGUACACCCUCACAAGGUGUAGAGGCCGGGUUUUUUAUAAUCCAUUAUCUAAAAAAAAAGAUGAAAACAAUGGUUUCAUCACAGGAACAAAUGGUCCAGAAGGGACAGACACCUUGGAUGACAUUGUUGCUGAGCUGUUUAAUGAUGUAAGAUACUCUCCUUUUUCCUGCAGAUCGGCAGCUCGUUUUAUUCUUCUUUUCUCUCUGGUUUCGAUUUUUCUUCACAUACCUGUAGCCAGUAUUCACUACACUGCUUGAUUCAUACCGUUGGUUCAUGCUUAUAAUAUUGAAACAUUGGGCAUCUUUGAAGUAUAUUUCGUUUCGGCUUGCACUUUACACUUGGAAUUCGCUGAGAAGUGCAUCUGAAUGGAACUUAUUUUCUCACUGCAGGAUUUCAUGGAAGGUUAUGAUGCUGUCGUAGAUGGAGACCAGGAUUUUGUUCCUUAGUCCUGACUAUGUGAGAUAUGUUCUGUAUCUGCAUAGGCUAGCUGCUGAUUUAAUCCAUGGCUGUUGCACAUUGUGUGUGCAAAAUUGUGCCAAUUGUAAUAGGCUAGUUAGAAGCAGGUCAUCUUCAGAAAAAGCCCCAUUUCCAUCUAGAGUAGUCAGCUCAACAAAAGAUUUUAGCUUCGUCGUGGUUUUUGAGAUCAUAAAAAAACACAUUGAAGUUUUGUCAGGUUGAACGUGUUCUGAUUGAUGUGUUAGAUGGUUAAAUGGAAUAAUUUUCAUGAAUUAUUCGAAAUGGUGCGCUUUAUCCAGUUUUUAUCUGGCAAUACUUUUUUUUUUUCGGGAAUACAUCUGGCAAUACUGUUCCUUUCUUAGAAUUAUAGAGAUAACGCUUGUUUUACAUGCAUGACCAUUUACUGUGCAGAUAUAGAACCAAUUAUUUACUGGGAGAUAAAUGGAACCAUGGAAUAUUUGGGUGUCACAAUUUCUGAUUCUGACUGGGUGUAAGUGGGUAAGCCGCGAACCCACUUAUAGGUCAAAAUAAACGAGUUUGUGGCUUAUUUUGGCCUAUAAGUGGGUUUCGCGGGUUAGCCGCUUACAACCUUUCUGAGUGACUUAUUGAGUUUCCACUGUAUGUUACCUUAAUUUAAUUUUCUGUCUAACAGCCUGCAAGAAAGAAAAAUUCCUUUUCCUUAUUUUUUCCAUGUAGCCAAAAACAGUUGAUUACUGUGUAGACAGUCUCAUGUUUCGAUUGUCUGUCGCAGUAACUGCAUCUUCUCAUUUUGAUAUCUGUGCAAGGUCCUCGUUGUACUGAUCUAUCCAUCCCUGUAUGAUCUUAACUUCUUGUCUUCGUUGUUCUACAACCCAAUCUGGAUCAUCUUUAGUUGCUGAUCUGAAGUCCAAAUGAUGAGCUCCUGUACAAAUGGUAUCAGCAUAAGUCUGUCUGAAAAUAUUUUGACUUUACACGUUAUCUUCAGAAUCUUGUUUACCUUUCUCCGUGACAAGGGCAAUGAUACUAGAUGAUAUGUUCUUGAGCACCCUGAUUGCAAAGCAGUAGGGAGGGAUAAAUACAUUAUGGUUUGCUACAGCUGAAAAGUUUAUCUGAAUUACUGAAACUUAUAACAUGAAUGAUCAAAUGGUGAAAUCUUUCAGGCAUACCCGCCACGGCUCCAUGGGUCUCGCAUUCCGUUGGAGAAGAUGAUGUUGCUCCCAAACCUCUUGAGCACCAGGUCAAUUCUCUGUAUCAAAAUGUGGAAUGCAACACCAGGUGAAACACUUCGAAAACCUAUCAAUGUUGCUACUACCUGUUCAUAUCUGAAACUGCAAACCUGAAACAACACUCACAUUUCCACCAUAUUCAGUGGUGAUCCAGUGUGGUCUCGGACGAACACCGUAGCUCUGGAAACAGUCAUCAGAUUUCCCCUCAUAAGUGAAGGUGAAUGGAGGGAACAUGCUCUCGUUCGAUAUCGUCAUCGGCAUGACCAUUUCUGUGCAGGCCUGCAAGAGAAGUUGCUUCAGAAAACACAACUAGUAUCUAUCUCAGUAUUGUCAGUGGCAUUGUAUCAAUCACCUGCCAUCCCCAACCACUGAGGCCAUGGGGGUCUUCUCCAUCCUCUAACUGGAAGCAUGUUUGAUCUCCUGUGUAAUUGUAGUACAGACUCGCCGCUGCGAAAGCUUUGUCAACGAUGUCUGCUCCUGCAGGGAAGCCGUGGAUGAUCUUGCACAUCUGUAGAAAUUUCAUGAGAAAUUUACUGAGAACUGAAAUUCCCUGGGAAUUAUAUGUUCAGUGAGACAGAAGAACAGGCAUGGUUUCUGCUCAGCUCAGUUUGGUGUUUCUGACACAAUCUUGGUUAUGCAUUUGGUUGAAAUGUAGAGAGGAGAUUUGGACAUUGUUUGCAGAACAUAGGUAGAGAUGGCAACCUCCUUGAUAGGAUAGGCAGGCAGAUUCAUCAGGAAAUUGGCCGGGGUUGGAUAGUCCACCAUGGCUGUGUACACAAAUGCUGUCCAUAGCCAGUUUCUGAACGAGUAAACCGAUUUCACAGUCCUAAAAUUUGAGGGAGGAAAAAGGCAAUAUUGUGAACUCAGGUUAGUGUAAAUCCAAUCAAUGUCAUUCUUCAUCUAUUCAGAAGUUGGGAAGAUGACCUUUAAUCAAAGAAUGAUCAUGGCUGUCAUAUAUAUAACUGAUAAGGUCUAUGUCAUUUUUUUACAUAAACCUGUUCUGUCUGGUAUCUUAUCUAUCAAUAUAUUAGGCAAUCCUUAUUGCCUUCUUAAAAAUGGAUAAGUUUUAUGCCACCUGUAAAUUUAUAUAGUUUCUUACACAUCACGACAAUGAAGCAUAAUUACUUGAAUUUGUGUGUGUAUAUUAUCCUUUUCUGAAUCUGCAUGCUAUUUUUCUUUUCUUGGUAUUGUUUGGUUGAUCACUUGCACUGCACACAUCUGGAAUAUAAUAAUUACAAUGAUCUCAAUUUUCUGUUUUCCUUUAUAUCUAAUAAGACUAUAAGACGUGGAUAAAAUUUUGGAUAUUCGUGGCACGUUUUUCAAACUACUAAAUGGUGCGUUUCGUGCGAAAACUUUCUAUAUGAAAGUUGCUCUAAAAUAUCAUAUUAAUCUAUUUUUUAAGUUUGUAGUAAUUAAAACUCAAUUAAUCAUAUGUUAAUACCACCUCGUUUUACGUAAAACACUUAAUCUUAUUUUUCAUCUUUAUCUUUAGGAGAAAAGAACACCACCUAGGUAGUGUAUUAAACCAGCAAUAAACUUACUUGCAGGCUCUGAAGGUUUUGCUGAGCUGUAAGAGCCCUGCAUCAGUGGAUCCCCUCUCAUCUAUCAAAUCCCAAGCUGCCUUGAUAACACUGAAGCAAUUGAAGCUUUCAGACUGCAAUAUCAGUUGCAAGUUAUAGUCAGUUUACAAAAAGAUUAAUCGAUGGUCAGUCACACAAAGAUGCCAAAUCUUACUCGGAAAAAAAAUAGAUCUGGUAAAAAAAAGAGUAAACAGCUCAGUCAAGUGGUUGCUUCUAUGAAAUACAUUUUUGACAAAUCGAAGAGAAGAUUUAUAGCCAGUCGCCAAGAAAGCGACUUUAAGGUCCUGUUCUUAAUGUCCGUAUCCGUGGAUUAUUUGUGGAUUAUUCAUACCACACUUUCAAAAGUACGAUUUCUCGACAAACUUUCUAAUAGAUCACUCAUCAGCCCUCUCCACAUUUCAUUGGGCAUUUGGGCCCUUAAAAAGCAGCAACCAUGUCUGUACUCUUGAUAAGCCUAUGGCGUGGUCACUCAAGCGUCGCAAUCUAGCUAAUUAAACAGUAUAAUCACAAUCAGCCAUGCAGGUUGCAUGGUCUUCAGGGCCUUGUCUACCUGAAUCAGGUUGCCAUUUCAAUCCAGCAUUUAAGCUGAAUGUACAUGAACAGUGCAGAGGCUAAUAGUCCAUCAUAACAAAUCCAUCAACUACUAACUAACUAUACCGGCAAAUGCUCAAUGAUCAUUCAUCAUUGGACUUGUAGUGUAGGCAAUCAGCUGCAGGAGGAGACAUGGCUGCCAUGCUUACCAACUUCAAGCCAACACGUACUGUCAGUUACAGUAGAUGUACUGCAUGCUGUGACUGACAGGUCAAAAGAUGACGAUUUUUACUGUACGUGACAACGGUCCAGUGACAAUGACAGUGGGCCACACCUAGAUAUUUUUCUUUCGUCAGAUUUCCAGACAAACUGGCACCGGUCGGUCAGUAGUUGACUUUCAACAUCUAAUGCACAAUUUCCUUAAACAGUUCUAUGAAAUUAUGCAUCCCAAAAUAAACCUGUCCUUGAACAUAAAUAUUAAUUUUGGUUACAAAACGCAUAACUAGUUUUCAUUAGUAAGAUUUGAUUUGGUUAAAAAAAAUACCGAUACCUCACAGUGCCAAAUCGUUUUCAAUCAUUGGAUCUAGCUGGGCAGGAUUGACAUUGUUAGAUUCAACGAUCGAAAAUGAUUUGAUACUGUGAGGUACCAGUACCUCGAGGUAUUUUUUUGUUGGACCGGAGCAAAUAUCAUCAUUAGUACCUUGUAAUCUUGCGAGACGGCCUCGUAGAAGCUGCUCCAUGGAGUUAUGUAGUCGAACUGCAGGAUCGGAGCAGAGGACGCGACGGCGCCAAUGGUGACAUGGGGAUACUUUAGCCUGAACCAUGAAGCCAACACUGCAAACAACAAGCAAAACAACAAAAAAAAAAGGAUUAGUUCAUCCUAAUCUCGCUAAUCCUAAUACGAACAAAACCCCACGACGGCCAAUGUCAGACACGCAGUACAACAAUUAUGGUAACUUUAUGAAUCAUCCGUGUGUUUAUAAUCUAAGAGAUCCAGAUCCACGCCGCAACGAACAAAACAAAAAACACAUGACACAUGCUAAGUUCCUUAAUAGUAACUUUUAACUAUGCAUGUAAAUACAAAGCCUCGUCGUUCCGUUUAUGCUUAUACUUACUUGUAAGUCUAAAUUUAAAUUUUAAAACUUAAUUUUAAGUUAAUUUCGUGGUUUUCCAUCAGAAUUUAUUUUACAACAUUUUAUCUUGAAUCGUGCUAAGGACACGUGUAAAAAUGUUUUAUCCAUAAAUUAUUGUUUUUACUAAUAAAUCGUUUGGAUAAGCAAAUUAGUAGCGGAAAUAAUGGGACUGACAUUUUUUUUAAAUUCAUUUUUAGAAAUAAUGGAACUCACAUUUGUUUAGAUUUAUAAUUAGAAAUAAUGGGACUCACAUUCGUUUAGAUUCAUUGUCAGAGAUUGUUAUAUUAUGAGGAAUGGGACUCACAUUUGUUUAGAUUCAUUUUCACAUUUGUUUAGAUUUAUUUUUAGAAACAAUAGAAUUCACAUUUGUUUAGAUUUAUAGUUAGAAAUUGUUAUAUUCUGAGGAACAUCUAUUAUGAGACGUAAUAGUUAAUUAAUUACAAUGAGAUUUGGAUCAAACAUUUUCUCUAAAAAGAAAUUAGAACAAACAUUUUUUAAAAGGAAAUUAUGAGCAUGUUGAGGAUUGAACGUGAGGCAUUAGAAUUGAAACCACACACCAAUUACCACUGCACUGAUAGUGCAUCUCAAUACGUAAUAGUUAAUUUAAUUAUUGGUGACUUACUGCCGCCGUAGGAGCCACCGAAGACGACGACGGGGGAGGAGACGGCGGAGAGGUUGUGCUUGAGGCUGGUGAUGAGGACGGCGAAGUCGGCGAGCGCUUGCGUCGACGUCAGGUACCCCAGCUUCUCCGGCGAGCUGUUCGACUCGUUGCCGAACGGCUUCGACUCCCCGUAGAAUCGAUGCUGCUUGCUCAAAUCAUGCUCAUCAACCGUAAGUACGGUGUUAAUUCAGUGUGAUUAGUGAUGUGUGAUUGCUUGCCUCGAUGAAGACGAGCAGGGCGCCGAAGCUGGGCGCGAUGUCGAACAUGAAGCCGGUGUUGGUGGCGAACCACUCGAUGUCGCCCUCGUUGCCGGUGUACACGAAUAUCGGCCCGGCCGGCGUCUCGCCGGCGGCGGCGCUCCGCCGCCAGAAGGUGUCGUUGACGAGGUACUUCUGGUAGAAGACGGCCGACGCGUUGGGCGUGAAGGUGAAGUGGUCCAGCUCCUGCGGGAAGUAGUGCGCCGUGAACGGCUUCGCCGCCGCCGCUGUGCCGUUCCCUCCGGCCGCCGCCGCCGCCGCGGCGACGACAUACCUGCUGCCGCCGGCGGAGCUCGCCGGCCGCCGCUGCUGCAGAGCUUGCAGCUGCAGGGGAGGGACUCCGGGGAAGACGGGGCUAGCUGCAGCUGCUGCAGAGGGGGCUGCGACGAGGAGGAGGAGGAGAGCUGCUGCUAUGGCGGCGAGAGGGUGGAGUGGCGAGGCGGGUGCCGCCAUUUUUGCAGCUCGUCCGUCUCACUCGCUCGUGUGGGGGUUUAUUAAAGGAGCAGAGAUGCUCUGCCAUGUCGGGCCCACAUGUCGGUGCCCCAAACGGCAGGUAAGACGUCGGAGUAUGGUAGUACGUAUUUUGUGGAAUCUGUGUCCGGCCUUGCAUAUAUUGCAUGCAAAUCGUUCUGAUGCUUUCGUGAGUUUUAUCCUUAAAAAAAAAGGCGAAUACUAGGAAAUAACUUAAUAUCAAAUAAUUAGAAGGGGUGAUACUUCGAACCCAGAUCGUCUAGCCCACCACCUUAUGAAGUUAGCCGAAAAAUUCUUAUGUGUUUCUCCUUCCGAUUUGAACAAGAAUAUAUACUAAAGAUUAAUUGUCAUUUAAAUUGACGGACUUUGGGUCCAACGACUUUGGAUCAUAGCGUGUUACGUCUGAGCUCUAGGAUAUUGUCAUUUGGUUUGUGGUCUUGUGGACAAUAUCGUAGCCUCGUAGGAGACUCGGCUAUUACAACAUGUAUCAGCAAUACAAUGUGUCCCUGCAUCAAAAGAUACAGCUACCUCUAGCAUUUAAAUUUGUUCAAAAUAUGACUAUUUUUUCUUAUUAAUUUCAACUGAUCACAACAAUCGCCAAUUAAUUUCUUCAUCAUUUUCUUAUCUCAACCAAUUACAACCAUUCGCCACAUCACUUUACCUACUUUAUUAAUCUUCGUGCUUGCAUAGUUUCAAAGGUAGGAGUAACUAUAUUCUGGGAUGGACAGAGAAAAUGAGAGAAUGUUUAUGGUAGUUGAUCUUAAACGCAUUUGCUCCUAAGCCUCUUUUGGAAUGCAAGGAAACUCAGACACAAAACAUGGAUAAAAUUACAGAAAAUAAACUAAUCUAUAUAGCAUACUAUAAAAAUUCUUACAUUUUAAAAAGAGCACCUAAGAUCGAAAGGCUGAAAAUUAUUUCGAGGCAUGGAACCCCAUUUGCCUUUAUUAAAGAAACACGCUCUCUACUAGUACACAAGUCCGGAUAUCGUCCACACACAAGGUGCCGAUGCAGACCGGCUGCAUCAUUCCUAACGCAACCGGACGCUCUAGAGUCUAGAAACAAUCAACAAGAGAGAAAAUUGGCUUCUAGAGUGACAUGGACAGAUUGUUUGCCUGUUGAAGCUUGCACAUGUGGAUUACCUCGAGGAUAAUCCCCCGAAAUGUGGGGAAAAUAAAGUAAUUAAAUGGUCUCUCUCUCUCUCUCUCUCUCUCUCUCUCUCUCUCAAAUGACAAAAUGAUCUCUUUUGUGUAUAUAUCAUUAUCCUAAGCAAAUCCAGUUGAUCAUAUUCAGUCAUGGGUCCAUUCAUGUUGUCCAAUCCAAAUCAGCUGCAAAGCUAGGCUAAGCAUCACGCGUCAAAGGCGUUUGGAAUAUUUCAUCCAAUGCGUGUAGUGUGUGGAAACAUAGGAAUUAUAAUGGUAUUGGGCUGAUUGAUUGCUUGCACAAGGCUCAUCUUGCCUCUUAUACGUAGUAGAUGCAGUGUCUUUUCAAAAAAGCUUUUUUUCUUUCUUUGUUUGAUGGAAAAGCGUUUGCAGGUUAUCAGUGGAGUGAGCCAGAAUGACCUCACGAGUUUGUUUGAUGAAAAAUGUUCCAUUUGUCUCGUAUGUGGUCAAAAGGAACAUGUAAAUUCCUGCUUAAAUUGGACCCUUUUCAUGUACUAAAUAAAAUACAUGCAUUCGAAAACUUGCAAUUCUCCUGUAGAGAUCAGAUAGAGACAUCUCAGUGCAAUCAAGCAUCUUAGUGACAGGAAUCUGCCGACGGGGCAGGCUGAUGAGGGUAUUGUUUGAGCCCAUCAUGUGGCCGUGGACUAGUUGGGCUUUGUUUGGGCCCACAACUGGUGUCAAUGAUCCCAAGAUUUGACCUUCAGCUGCAAAAAGGAGACAGCUCAGAGCUCCAUCAUAGCGGCAAUCUACGUUGCCAUGAACUUCUGCACGGCUAAAUGUUUUGCCCUUUCCCUACUCUCCCGUGCUCUAGCGUCAGCUUCAGAAACAAAAUCUACUGCCAAGUAAACGUAACAAAUGCACCUCAAUUGAUUAGGUUUUCUACGAUGAAAAACAACCCAUCCAAGUUUAAAUUCUAAACUUGACAUAAAUGCAUGCUCAUAUUUAUGAUUAGUUAAUUUUUUUCAAAGGUAAACAAUAUACCUGUUAGUAGCGAGACAUCCAUAGUGGCAUCGUCAAUCUUUCAAACUAGUCUUUCGAAGGUGUUUAUAAGAGUAAGAAUAUGCAUAUUUAUUUAUAAGGAUGAGUAUGCGUGCAUUGUGAGCGGUUGCAUUUAUAUUGUGUUUCUCAUAAAAAGGAACAAAAUUUACCCACAUCCCAAUGAGCGAGCGUGGUAACUUAUCAAUCUCAAUAUAUAUCGGACCAAUCUUAUGAAGAUGCUAACUUAGGAUGGGACAUUUAAGAACCUAGGAUGGGAGGUUCUUAUAUUUUGGGACGGAGGGAGUAUUUAUUAAGAUAAGUGCGAUUCGUUAUGAACAAUUGUAUUUAUACCAUGUUUCUUACUAACUCCGUCCCAAAAUAAGUGCAGUCAUGGAUAUCCGUGCCCAACGUUUGAUCGUCCGUCUUAUUUGAAAAAAAUUUGAAAAUAUUUAGUCAUACAUAGAGUACUAUUCACGUUUUAUCAUCUAAUAGCAAUAAAAAUACUAAUCAUAAAAAAUUCAAAUAAAACGAACAGUCAAACGUUGAACGUGAAUAGUGCAAAACUGCACUUAUUUUGGGACGGAGGGAAUAAAAAAUCUACUAACGUCCCAAGGAACGAGCGUAGACGGUGACAACUCGCACGUCAUUAGUUGCAACCGUACAUCAUUCCCGUGCUACAGGGCGCCCCUUGAUCAGUCGUGUCAGAACACUCUGCUGCAAACGGUCAAAAGAAGCAGGUUACCACCAUGUCCACUAGUGAUGGUUACCACCAAAAUCUACCCAGUUGACGAACGCACAGACAGUGUCAGUCAUCACAAGGCAACAAGAUACUCAAACUGACCUUGCAAAAAGCUCAGUGAUUUUUCAAUCACUCGCUGCGGUCCUGCACAAGAUCUGGAAAUCUAGGCGUCGGAGAGUCCCCAACUGAUCAUGUGAGUGCAUGAAAGCACUAAGCAGACAAUGCUGUGCCACAGCAGUGGCUUGUACAAUGCAGCAGUACAGCAGAAUAGUUGAUCAAAUGAGUGCAAUAGUGGAUCAAAUGAGUGAUGCACUUUUACCGAUAAACACUGAAGGAAUAUGAUAGCGAUAAGAUAACAGAUCCACUAUAUAGUGUCACCCAUGAAAGAGUUGAAACCCUAUAAUCAGUUCCACAGUAAACUCCAACAAGUGCACGGAUUUAGCAGCAAAGAUCAAAUAGGCUUUUCACUCUUAAGGCAAAUAUGAAGGGUAGAGCUAUCAGAUUAAUAUACAAGGCACGUCAGAUCACUAUUACAUCACAAAUAUUGCAUUGGCAAAUAGUUCACUGCCAAAACCAUAAUGCCGGUUGUUGGGAGAAGACAACAACAAUAAAACAAAACAAGAAAAAAAGUGCUGGUAAAGGCCGAAGAUAAAUAAUACAUAAAAGGAAGGCUUAUUUUGUUCUUUGGAACUAUGUAUAUACAAGAUGGUGGCCUUGUUUGUAACCUGUCUAAGUAGGGAAAUCAGCACAGACAUGUGACAAUGCUCAAAGCAUUUUAUCCCGUGAUAAUUAUUAUGAGGAUUUAGAUGGUUGGUACCUCCAAUUUGCAUGAAUCCUUUCUGUUCGAAGUCUGCCAGGAAAACAAAACAAUGCGAUGUGUAUGUAUAAUAAGCGUCAAUACAAAUACAGAGAAUAAAAGAAACUAAAACUUGCAAACUAUCAAAAUAAGAGGGGAGAUUUUUGCCUUUCGCCACGGACUUGUUACAUCAUCUCAUACAUGCCACUUGAUUGGGUCAGCGCAACAUGUAAGUGCAAAUUCAGUGGCAUAAAUGAAAGUAAAAAUGUGUUUUAUGAAUCCGAAAAAAUCAGUUCUAUACAAUUAUUAGCUUCUCAGCAAACAGAAAAAUACCAGACAUGGAUCUAUACAGAUACAAUACAACCAUAAGAAACUAAGGACUGUUUUGGGCAAAACAUGGUUGAAAACAAAGAAAAUGUACUAGAAUGGCUCAGGUUAACCCAAACUGUCAAUUCCCAACAGUUACAAAUGCCCACGGUUCUGGCAACAUGUACAUACUACCUCCGUCCCUCAGUACAUGAACAAAUGAGUAGAAUCAUUUAACAUGUACUAACAAGAAAUAGCUGCAACCGGUAACUUGCUGGGGAGCAAGGCCUCCUAGUAUGACAGCCGAUUGAACAUAUUACCAAGGAACCAAGGAGAUGCCAAAUGAUCUCCAAGGGGCAGUCAAAUCAUCACAGCCACCAGUUCCAAAUGCCUGUGUGGUUACAACCGUAAGAAACUAAGGACUGUUUUGAGUAAAACAUGGUUGAAAACAAAGGAAAUGUACUUGAAUGGCUCAGAUUAACAACUGUCAAUUCCAAACAGUUACAAAUGCCCUUGGUUCUGGCAACAUGUAACUACUCCCUCCAUCCCAGUGUACAUGAACAAAUGAGUAGAAUCAUUCAUUAUAGCAUGUACUGACAAGAAAUAGCUGCAACUGGUAACUUGCUGGGGAGCAAGGCCUCCUAGCAUGACAGCUAAUUGAACAUAUUACCAAGGAACCGAGAAGAUGCCAAAUGAUCUCCAAUGGGCAGCCAAAUCAUCAUAGCCAUUCAAGAAAUAAAAAAAUAACAAACAAUGAAAUAUGCAUCCACAGAAGUAUGCUGUGAAAGUAUGAAACAACAAAAAGAAAGAUCACGCUAAAGCUAACUGAAUAAACAGUUAACAUUCCUUUAUUAGUGUUACAUUACUUAAUUUUAGAAAAAAGAAACAAUUAAGCUCCUAUGAGCAAGUAUUGUCAUCACCGUGCAGUAAGCAAGUUAGACUACAAGUAUUGCCCUGGUACCAUAACAUCCCCCCAUUUAUGAUUUAUUCAUUCUGGGAAGACUUCGUGCUCAUUAAAGUGCCUGCUGGUAAAAAAGUAAGAACUAAAAUACCAUUGAGCUGAUUACCAACAGGAUAUUGCAAUGGGUAAAAAGUAGCAAACUGCCAUCGCGAGACAUGCUUGCUAAUUUGCCAGAGCACUGUAAAAUGUCGGUUGUGGGAGAAGAUAACACGAAUAAAACAAAAGGAAAUAAGUUGCGCUGAAGUGCUGAUAAAGACUGAAGAUAAAUAAUACACAAAGACGACUAUUUUUUGGUCGGUAGGGAUAUCAGCACAGGCAUGUGACAAUGCUCAAUGCACCCAUUGGAAAUUAGUAUUGAGAAUUCAAACGGUUGGUACCUCCAAUGGGUGAAUCCUUUCUGCUCUAAAUCUAGCCAGGAAAACAAAAUGAUGCAACGCGUUUGUGCAAAUUCCGUGGAAUACAGAAAAUAAAAUAAAUUUACAAACUCAAAUAUCAAAACAAGAGGGGAGAUUUUUUGCCUUUCGCCACUGGAUAAGAUCAAGGCAACGUGCAAGUGCGAAUUCAGUGGCAUACAUGAAAGGCAAAAUGAGAUUUAUGAAUCCAGACAACUCGGAUCCAUACAAGUACAACCAGGAAAACUAAAGACUGCUUUUGGGUAAAAUAAUGAUUGAAAAGAAAAGAAAUAUAUUUGAAUGGCUCAGAUUAACCUAAAUGGCAAUUCCAACAGUUCUGAAUGCCCGUGGUUCCGGCAACAUGUAAGUACUCCCUCCGUCCACUUUGUACAUGAACAAAAUGAUGAGUAGAAUCAUUCGUUAUAGCAUGUACUGAGAAGAAAUAGCUGCAACUGGUAACUUGCUGGGGAGCAAGGCCUCCUAGUAUCACAGCUAAUUGACAUAGGCAUGUCCUGUAGCAAAAUUUGCCUUGAACAUAUUACCAAGGAACCAAGAAGAUGCCGAAUGAUCUCCAAUGGGCAGCAAAAUCAUCACAGCCAUUCAAGAAAUUAAAAAUAACAACAUGGCAUUUUCUGACAUUUAAGGUGGUGUUUGAAUCUCCUGAAGAUGAAGGCUGUGUUUAGUUCACACUGAAGUUUGAAAGUUUGGUUUAAAUUGGAACGAUGUGACUGAAAAGUUGUGUGUAUAAAAGGUUUGAUGUGAUGGUAAGUUGGAAGUUUGGAAAAAAAACUUUGGAACUAAACAGGGCCAAAGAUAAAGAUUAAGUGUUUCACGCAAAACGAGGUGGUAAUAAAGUGAAAUACUAUGCCACUGCUUCAGAUAUCAAUGUUGCAUUUGCUGACAUUUAGUAGGUAUAUGCAGAAUGGAAUGACCCUUUCCAUGUGAAAAUCAAUCACCAAGAAAACCAGAUAGAACAAAACGGAAAUAUUAGGGAAGGACCUAAUAUCAAAUAAUUAUAAGGGGUGAGGCUUCGAACCCAGGUCGUCUAGCCCACCACCUUGUGGAGUUAGCCGGAAGACCCCUAGGCGUUUCUCCGGAUAGAUAGAACUGAACCCCAUAAAACCAUUCGUCCGUAUUACUCCAAAUCCCGUUGCAAAGCACGGGCAUAGCACUAGUGCAUGAAAAGAAAAAGGAACUGUAGCCAAUGCGAAGAAUACAAAUGCUUGAGGAACACAACUGCAUCGAGCACCUUCAUUGGGCUCAGCUUCGCCUUUGAUCAAUCAAAUAACCCAACCCCCACCAUCCCUUAUCACCAGACCUAUCAGUUCUAGCGGUAGUGGAGCUACCCUGGUUAUCAUUCGAAACGAAUGACCAUCCAAGGACAAAGCCACUGGCAUUAGCACAUGACUAGAAAGGCUCAAAGGGGGUAGAGGGAGGGUCCAAUUUAAUACCCACAGCAGCCUCAAUUGCUUGAAGGCAUGCUUAUUUCAGCCAAGGUCGAUCGUCAUCGCCCUCUGUGUUCAUUGCGGACCAUACGUAGUACCCUGCCACAAAUACAGCAUAUGCUGAUGCGAUCACCAACACUAAGAGCAAGUAUAAUAGUAUAGCCAGAUCUACAGCCUGAUUUUCUUCUUCUUCUUCUUCUCUCUCUCUCUCUCCUCCAAUUGUACCUGCUCUAACGAGCCAAGUCGGCUCAAGCUCACGACGACGACCAAAACCCCCAAGAGUCCACAGCCGAUCCGGACACCACCCUAGGUUCCAAUUGCCUUCACUGCACGGCGGCGGCUCACCUUAGAGAUGGGAAUCCGGACGCUGCGGCCUCUCGGCGGAUUGAUCGUCGGCAAGCUGUGGGAAGGAAUUCCUGCGAAACCCCUUUUAACAAUGGCAUAAUCUCCAAUUUCUCGUCGUCAGCAAGCAACUGCACUUGACAUUGGGUCGGUUAGGGUAUAAACACACAAGCACACAGCACACGGUGCGCCAUAGAGGCCGUGAGGGAGAAGGACGAGGAAGAGAGAUUGUGGUGGUGAUGACCGAAUCUCGAAAACGUGGCUAAAAACGAAAUCGAAAGAAAAUCCAUGGCGAGGCGGCUCAGAUCUCACCUUGGCCGACCCGCCCUCCCCUUACCGGAAGCCGCGGCAUCGCCUCCCCACCGCCCCCACGGUCCCCGAUCCCCCAACGCCGAUGCGCCCCGUGGCGGCGCGGACGGGGGGAGGGAUGGCCCCGCGAAGGCGGAGGGUUCCGACGCGCGCGGCCGCCGCUCGGGGAGACGCGUCCGCGCCAAGGGCCGGGGCCUCCUCAUCGCCGCCGGUGUUCCCGAGAUGGCCGCGGUCUCGAUCGGGUGGUGCGGUCAUCGGCCGCCGCGAGCAGGACGGACGGAGCGGCGAGGUCGAGUACUCGCCGUCGCCGGCGCCGCCGCUCGCGGUGGCCUCACACUUAAACUAAUGAUGAGUGAGCGGCGGUGGAGUCCGCGGCGGAGGGUUUUGUGUGGGGUUUCGGGAGGAAGACGAUGCGGUGACGUCAGCCCUGUCCACGCGUCGCGUCAGGAGGGCUGUGAGGAAUAGAUCCAACGGACAGGAUUAGCGCCGAUUACAGUGGAGGCAGCAGAUUGAGCCCGACUCGGUGGCAUAGAACCACGGGUGGAUUCAAGUUAAUGCAUUUUGGUUGAAAUUUAAGGAAAAUUGGUUGUGUGACAUUAAUAGAUGUCGAUUUCCAAAAAUAAACCAUCAAAAGAUUCCAAUACUUAGGGGGCAUGUACAACGGUCUUUAUUAGUGGUCUCUUUCUAUUGUCAUGCAAUUAAAUUCGAUGACGCUCUCUAUUGUCAUGCAAGUAGAUUCGAUGACAUAGAAGAAAGAUAAAGGAGUAUGACAUAGAAGAAAGAUAAAGGAGUAUGAUUGUUAUGCAUGACAACGGCUCAGAAUCGACUCUUAACAUUUAUUAGAGCAAAUUUUGUUGCAUGGUGAUGAAAGAAAGGAAAGAAGAGUAAGAAAAAGUAUUUUGAUACAUUAAUGAUUAGAGACCAUAUUAUCUCUAACUGUUGUAGGAUGCUAGUCUCUAGAUAACGUAGAGCUCAUUUCUGACUCUACCUUUGUAUAUGCCCUUAUUCCCAAAAACACUCAAUUGAAAUAUUACAAUAUUUAAAAAUAUACCACUUUAGAUGUUUUACACGUUUCCUACCAUGUGAGCAAGAAAGUGGUAGAUAGGGCACAAUCUCUUUCCCUCCCGCUCUCCACCUUACUCUUUCUCCCUCUAUCUCUCACCACCUAACAACACAAACAAGUGACGACAAGAGCCCUCCAACAAAGCCCCUUCUCCUUCCUCCAGCCUUCCUCCAGCGAACUCCAAUGAAAGAAAUGGUGCAGCAAUAAACUAAGCACCUUACUACCUCCAAUAACAUCAUUCCUCUAGCGGAUUCCCUUCGCCCUCUUUUGACGACGCCAGAUCUAGCUCUCAACUCCAAUACCUCCCUCUUCUGCUUCCACCGCCACCACCUAGCCUCGCCACCGCCAAAAAGUAUCAAUGUAUUGGCUUUGCCUUCUCCCUCUCUCCUUUGCCUCCCUUUGCCACCACCGCCAAUGUCGGCCCAUCGUCCGCUGCCGACCCUAUGCCUUCGAUAGCACCGCCACCUCCGCCUCGCCCCACCCUUAUCCGCAAGUCCAUCACCUCCAAAGCCAAUCUAAGCUCAGUCCCCACUUUCCCUCUCCAAUAGCUAGCCCUUCCCCUCUACCCCACCCUGUCCCGAGCUUAACAUCACGUGAUCAAAAACCACACGUGACAUAACCCUGGCACGCGUAUAAAUUAGGAUUCCUGUCUAUUCUGUGCCUCCACACCAUGAACUUUCUUUUGCCCUCGAGUAUUGCAUUGGGAAACGAGAGAAACCUGAAAAAUGUUAAGAGAAAUAGACAAUGAUAUAAUUUACAUGAUUAUAUCUUUUAGUGGUAUUUAAAUGUACAUAUUUCUAAAAUCGAUUUUUUUUGGUGUCAUCGAACUAAUUUUCCCUAAAAUGUAGAGUCCAUAUCUCUCAAAUGGCAGUGAACGAAUGAUAUCUCGAGUGGCAGUGAACGAUUUAAGUCAUUGUAGUGGAAUAUAUUUUGAGUUUCUUUAAAAAAAAGAAAGAAGAACACUCCGCAAGCUGCCGUGCUAGACUACAUAAAAGAACUGACUUUUAUAUCCUAGUUUAAUAUUAAUUAAAUGUGAUGACAUUGUAAAUCUUAUUACAAGAAAUUGGUCUAAACCGAACGCGCAUUGUUGUAUUUAACUUCAAAGUUCAUAAGAAUACUCCCGAUGACACCGUUGAUUUUUUCUUAUAUCUUUGACCAUUCGUCUUAUUUAAAAAUUUUAUGCAAAUAUAUAAGAUAUAAAUCAAGUACUAUGAGUGAUAAAACAACACAUAACAAAAUAAAUUAUAAUUACGUAAAUUUUUUGAAUAAGACGAAUGGUAAAACAUGUGAAAAAAAGUCAACGGCGUCACAGAGGUACACAGAGGUAGUACUACACCGAGUGCAUUUUGAUUAUUAUGCUUCCUCCAUUCUGAUAAUCACAAGCGCAAAGUAUUCCGUUGCGGACAAGUCAAGACAAUGUUAAAACGUUAAUUCCAUUGCACCAUCAUUAAAUCUAAGUUUGCUACAUAACGAGCAUAGAUUAUUGUUAAGUGAAAAUGAGAGAAGAGAUAGAAGUGCUAACUACAAAAAUUUCAAACUGUUGCAACUAAAACAAGAUAAUAAUGACAUAAAAAUUACAACCGUUCAUUCCAGCGUGCACCACUGGCAAUGCCUGCUGAUUUCAUCAUGUGGCAUUAGCAACAACAAUUUGUCAGAAAACUGGUUGCAUAUCAUGGAGCAAAACCUCCAAAUUUAGCCACAAAAUUCCCUCCCCAGAAAAAGAAACAAUUAGCCAAAGCUAACGAGGGACUAACAGAUGAUGUUGAAGUUACAUCCGUAAUAAGCUGAAGCCGAAGAUUCGCAAAGCAAUUCACACAAGUCGAUGGGUUCGUCCCUGGGGCCAUUACCAACAAACAUUUUGCCAAGACUUCGUGCUUAUUAAGGCGCCUGCUGGUAAAACUGUAAAGAACAAAUACCAUUGGGGCAAAGCAUGGAUGAAAACAAAGGAAAUGACUUGAAUGGCUCAGAUUAACCCGAUUGCCAAUUCCAAACAGUUUAAUGUGCCUGUGGCUCCGGCAAAAUGUAAAUACUCCCUCCGUCUCUCUGUACAUGAACAAAUGAGUAGAUUAGCAUGUACUAUCAAGAAAUGGCUGCAAGCCUGCAACUGGUACCUUGCUGGGCAGCAAGGCCUCCUAGUAUGACAGCUAACUGAACAUACUGCUAAUGAACCAACAAGAUAUUUAUUUUAGAUAAUGGAUUAAAACAUGGCCUCUACAUCCAAGACUGAUGUACAUGGCCAAGAACGAGAAGAUGUCAAAUCUUCAAGGGGUAGCCAAAUCAUCACAACCAUUCAAGAACUAAAGAAGUAACAAACAGCGAGAAGAUGUCAAAUCAUCUUCAAGGGGUAGCCAAAUCAUCACAGCCAUUCAAGAACUAAAGAAGUAACAAACAUCAAAAUAUGGAUGAACAGGAGUAUAUCCUUAAAGUAUGAAAGGACAAUAAUAAUGAUCACACUACAGCUAAGUUAAUAAAUAGUCAACAUUCCAUUCCUUAAGAAAAAAAGGAAUGAAUAAACUACAUAGAAAUGAAGAGAUAUUUAACUAUUUACAAGUGGCAAUUAAGGAUUUGCUACUGGAUCCACAAUGUCUGUCAUAGAUUGUGAGUAACAAAUUCUUAAUUGCCACAUCUUAAAAGUGGCAAAAAGUUAAAUGCCUCAGCAAAAGCAAAACUUGAAAGAGUUCCAACAUCUCGCAUAUGCUACUGUAUAUGAACAGGGCGACAUGCAAAUGACAACUGAGUGGCCUAAAUGGAAGUCAAAAUGAGAUCAACGAAUCUAAAAAAAAAUUGUUUGUAUAGUAAUAUUAAUUUCUCACCAAACAGAAACAAUACCAGAAUACCAGACUCAGAUCAUUACAAGCACAGCCAUAAGAAAGUAAGGAGGUAAAACAUGGUUGAAAACAAAGGAAAUAUACUUGAAUGGCUCAGAUUAGCCCAACUGUCAAUUCCCAAUUGUUACAAAUGCCUAUGGUUCUGGGCAACAUGUUGAUAGUACUCCCUCCGUAACUCCGUACAUGAACAAAUGAGUAGAAUCAUUCGUUACAUCAUGUACAGACAAGAAAUAGCUGCAACUGGUAACUUGCUGGGGAGCAAGGCCACCUAGUAUGACAGCUAGCUGAACAUAUUACCAAGGAACCAAGAAGAUACCAGAUGAUCUCGAGGGGGCAGCCAAAUCAUCACAGCCAUUCAAGAAAACCAGGCUAUCGAAAUCGCAAAAAAUCCAUUAGAAAAUUUAAUAGCAACUUUAAGUUAGGAUCAUGAUUAGGAAUCAUUUUGUCAUGCGAGCUAACCAAUAAAAUUUUAUUGAUGCAUCUAUAGUCUCGUGAGUCGACAAUGGGGAAUGGUUUUAGAAAAAUGAAGUUCUCUUUUAGAAUUCUGUUGUAACGCACGAGCAUUUAGCUAGUACUAUUAAACUUGCUCUAAGCAGAGUACAUACGUACUCAUGCAGUCAGAGAGAGGGAGAAGAGGAAUGGCAAUGUGCAACAAAAUGGCAACUAAAUAGUGAAAAAUCCAACAACGGCAGGUCAGAUUUCGCAUUGCUCGGUAAUCCCAGGCAGGAAGCCAAUGCGGAUAUAAUUGCAGAGUCCCCAACACCCACUGCCACAGGCACCACCGGCAUUUGUGGCUGCCAAAGUCGAUGGCCUCCACACCAAUGCUGCUCAGCGCACGCUAGGUGGCGGGUAAUGGCCCCGAGAAGCUGAAAUCUGAGGUGGCCACCGCUGCUCGGGAGAGGCACCCUAGCCAAACGGCCUCAUUCCUCAUCACCGUGGGGAAUUUAACUAUUUGCAACUCUUCAAAGAAGCCGCGGUUUUGAGCGAAUGUGAUCAUCACCAACUGCUAGAGGGAGAGAAUGGCUGAUGUAGCACUUCACCUCGCGGCUCGCUGAGCAUGGGAUUCAGUUGACCCCAAGUUUUUCGGGGAAUAAACUCUGUUAUUAGUAGAUCUAGAAGAGAAGAUAGGGUUAACGCAAAUUCGACAAAAUGUGCGGGUAGAGAGAGAGGGAUGAUAAAGAGGAAGUGUACUUGAAUGGCUCAGAUUAACCCGGCUGUCAAUUCCCAACAGUUACAAAUGCCUAUGGUUCCGGCAACAUGUAAUAGUACUCCAUCCGUCACUCUGCACAUGAACAAAUGAGUAGAAUCAUUCAUUAUAGCAUGUACUGACAAGAAACAGCUCAACCGGUAACUUGCUGGGGAGCAACCGAGCAAGGCCUCCUAGUAUGACAGCUAGCUGAACAUAUCACCAAGGAACCGAGAAGAUACCAAACGAUCUCCAAAGGGCACGCAAAUCAUCACAGCUAUUCAAGAAAUAAAAAAUAACAAACAACGAAAUUUGGAUGCACAGAAGUAUGUUCUGAAAGUAUGAAACAAUGAAAAUAAUGAUCACACUACAACUACCAAACAAACAAUUAACAUUCCUUGAGAUAAAAGUUAUGAAUAGACUACAUACAACGAAACAUACAAACUUGAAAACCAGGCUAUCACUCACAGGGCAACUGCAUAACAUAGUAAUUAAUCAAACCGAAGGAAGAUGCCACUGCUUUGGACCAUAGCAUCACACACACUUUAGUGUUCCAUAACAUAACUAAAUAUAAGCUAAGGUAGCAUCUACCUUGUGAACAAAAUUGAGUACCUGGUCACCGCCAUGGUGUCAUUUAUUAGGCAUAAGAACAGGAUAAUGAACAAAUUUGCAAAUAUAUGUGAGAAGAAAAGCAAUUCAGCACACCAGAAAUGUCUGCUCUAGAGAAAAGCAAAAAAUAAACAUGCAGAGGUACACAAACAGAAACUUGAAGAACCAACAAAAACAUGCUUCAAAUAGCAAGUUCCUGAAAUGAGCUCAAAUAAAUGAAUGGCAUAUGUGCACAAUUUUUUUCCUAAUCAAAAUAUACAAAAAUAAAAGGGCAAAAUCUUGAGAGCUACUGUUACGAUAGUAGUAGGUAGUAACUGGUUACUGACAGAAAUAAGUGAAAUGGGCAGUAAGAUUCAAUUAAAUAAAUGAAUGGAGUACUCAGAUUUUGCCUCUGGCCAUUCAAAUAAGCCAAAAUUGAAGAACCCAUGAAAUAACCUUGCCAACCCACACAAUAGCAAGUGCUGCUACAGAACUAAAGCACUCAACUCAACAAUCACCGCAAUGGAGUUCUGAUGUGCAUUUCCAGUAGCAUCUAAGAUCCAACCAUUUGUCUACUAUUCAAUCAACCAAAUAUGCUAUGGGGUAUUUCACUUUUCUUGCACCCAAUCUUCUGUCUGUAUGCAUGGAAAGGUAAAUUCUGAAAAUGGAAAGUCCCAGUGUUAGCUAAGAUCACAAAUAGGUAACAUAAUUCCUAACAUUUGAUAUCAUAAGAGGUAUAUCGGAUAAGUGAUGUGUUGUGGUUAUCCCAUUUCAGCUUCAUAUUCUGUCUCUUGACACUACACUACAUCAACCAACUUCCUAUCCUACAGAUAAAUAUAGGGGAUGCAAAAAGAGUUGAAAACUUUUAAUACUCCCUCCGUUUUCAAAUAAUUGUCACAAUUGACUUUCUCCAUCCAAACUCUAAUCGUAGAUGGGUCUUAUUAAUACAUAUACAAAGCCUUGUGAACAUACAAUUAAUAAAGUGCUAUUCUUAGAUAACGUAACUAAAUAUUUUCAAAAUUAUUAUUUGUGAAAGUUUGAAGGUGUCAAGCCAAUGGCAACAAUUAUUUGAAAACGGAUGGAGCAAUUAACAGUAACCAUACCAUUGUCAUCCCAUGCAACUUUCCGCGUUCAAAUGGCUGCCUGCAAAAUCAAACUAUCCGAUUUUCGGAGAGGGAGACUGGGAGGUAUGGGUGUACACCCCCACCACCCACGUCAAGUCGUCUUCAACUCUAUCCUAUCAUCAAAUGUUUCUUCCCUAUUAAAAUGAUACUAAGUUCUUCAUUGGCAUCCUUCAAUAAUUGAUAGUGUGUUGUGCACAGCAGCUUCAAAAUGAUAAAUCAGUUCGAUUGAUGUUCAUCCUGCUGAGUGUGCCUCUUAAUGAGUCAAAUUCAUCAUUUCCAGCAGAAGGGCAAGUAGGAAAAAGUAAUACAAAAAAGUGCUAAGAGAAUUGAUGAAUAUAUCCACUCCAGGUGAAAGCUGGGAGUUGGAGGACAAAACAACGGAAUAGGCUAGAAACAGAAAAAAAAGAAGCAAGCACAUGUUUAUAGAGGCUACAAAAAGGAUAGAUACUGCAGAUUAUGCUGAAUGUCCCCUGAAUAAAGUAAAAGUACAUGGUUAAAAACAAAGGAAAUGUACUUGAAUGGCUAAGAUUAACCAAACCAUCAAUUCCCAAACAGUUGCAAAUGCCUUCGUUCUGGCAACAUGUAUUUACUCCCUCCGUCCUCUCUAAAUCAACAAAUGAGUAGAAUCAUUCAUUAUAGCAUGUACAAACAACAAAUAGCUGCAACUGGUAACUUGCAGGGGAGCAAGGCCUCCUAGUGUGACAGCUAACUGAACAUAUUACCUAGUAACCAAGAAGACACCAAACGAUCUCCAAGGAGCAGGCAAAUCAUCAGAAACUAAAGAAAAGAACAACAAACAAUAAAAUAUGGUUGCACAAAAGUAUGUUGUGUUGUGGAAGUAUGAAAAAACAAGCUAACUGAACAAACAGUUAACAUUCCUUUACCUGAGAAAACUCAUGAAUAGACGACAUAGAAACAAAAUAUAGACUUGAAAACAAGGCUAGUACUCAUCACAGCAAAUGCAUAACAGAGUAUUUACAUCAAAUAGAAUACGAUGCAACUGCUUUGGUCCAUAACAUCACAAAUUGCAUUGUUCCAUGAAAUUAUUGAACAUCACAAAAUUGAGAACCAUGUCACUGGGCAUGGUGAAUUUACCAGGUAAAAGCUGAACGGAAUGCUGAACUAGUUUGCACAUAUAUGUGAAAAGUAAAGGAACUAUAGCCAACGUGUAAACUCUCACAUGCUUGAGGAACUUUCCCACACAUCCAGCAAGAAUGGAUGGCAAGCAUACCAAACCAAAUAAAAAAUUGCAACUGAUUCUGAAACAGGAAAAAACUAUCAUGCGGCAGCUCAGAUCUCACAUCGCUGCCUGAAAAAUCAACCCACCAAAAAAACCGCCACAUAUAUGACUGAACCCCAUAAAACCAUUCGUCCGUUUUCCUCUCAAUCCCGUUGCAAAGCACGGGCACAGCACUAGUAUUCCAAAUGUAUUGAGUUCACCUCCCUCUGCAUGAUCACAGAAUGAGAUUGUUCAUGAGAAAACCACCUCCACUGCCACCGCUAGCACGCAAUAUGGUAACUUGCUGCAAAGCAAGCCUCCUAGUUGGAGGCUAGCCGAUCAAUUGAACAAAGAACCAACUCAGGAGGUGUUAAUAGAUCUCCCAACACCAAAGGGCCAAAAAUUCAUCACAGCCGAGCAAUAAAAAAAAAGUAGUGUUUUUCUCAAAAUUAGUUUGGAACAAACAUUGCAAGCAACCAAAGAAACUGUUAGUCUUCACUUCUCUGUGAGCUGCCUUGGAAAAGGUUUAACAUCAUCAUCAUCAUUGCAUUCCGUCGGAACAAGUCCGGGUCCAUUGUAACAGGGAAGUGAAGAAGAAAAUGCUGGCAUAGAAACACAGUUCACAGAGAGAAAGUAACCAGGGCUCCUUUGGAACACAGGAUUUUCCCAGGAAUUAGUUCAACAACCAUGUAAAUCCUCCACUCUAUAGGAGGCCCAAGUAGGCUCAGAUUCGCCUUUACUCAGUCAUACAGACCCAACCGCCACAUAUCUUGCACCACAAUCUACGCAUCGUAAUGUAAGUGGAUUUGCCCUGGCUAUCAUUAACAGAAUGACCAUCCUAGUUGCAAGAACCACCUAACAUUAGUGAGUGGAUAGGUUGCCAGAGAUGAUAGGACCAGGUCCAAUUGACACCCACAGCUGCCUUGAUUGUUCAAUGGCAGGAUUGUCAGAAAAGGUUGAUCAUCAUUGCCCUUCUUCCACUAACCAUUUCAUGUUUCCAAAAUUCUAGACACAGAUGAUAAAACCAUACAUAUAUACUCCCACCGUUCCAAAAUACAAGCAGAAUAACUAAGUGCGUACGUACUGCCAACGAGAUCAGCUCGCAAGCUCUCUCUGCGGCGAGGAGAGUGAGGAAGAGGAGGAAUGGCAGUGUAGAGUAAAAUGGCGACCAAAUAGUUUAAAAUCCAUCAAUUGGGAAGGAAACUGACAAGGAAUAAGUUCACUUUAGGUCCCUCAACUAAUGUAAAUGGAUCUGCCCUGGUUAUCAUUUAUCGGAAUGACCAUCCUAGGCACAAGAACCACCUAACAUUAGCAGGUGAAUAGGUUACAGAAUGGCCAAUUUGGUUUACGGUUUGGAGUUUGCAUGUACUGAACUGUAACCAUACAUAUAUAUAUGCAUACAUACAUGCCCACAAGAUCAGACUCGUGAGCUUUCUCACGUGAGGUUGCACGGAGACGGAGGAGGGAGGGGAGAGAAGGGAUGGCAAUGUACACAUUCAUGACCAAAUUGUGAAAAAUCCAUCAAUGGCAGCUCAGAUUUCACGUUGCCCAACUAACCCGGAGGCAGAAAGCCAACGCGGAUACAGCCUCAACAGUCCCCACCCCUUCUGCCACAGGCACCUCAACAUCAGCGGCUGCCAAAGCGGUGGCCUCCAUGCCAAUAUGGAGCACCACAUGCGAAGCAUCAAGGAAUGGCUCUGAGAAAGCGGAGAUCAAAGUCAGCCACCACCGCUCACGAGAAGCACCGGAGCAAACAGCCUCCUUCCUCAUCGCCGCCAUUCCGAACACCCAACUUUUAGGGGGAACAAACUGUCUGUUACUCGUACUAAGGUUAAGGCCCAGAGAAAAGCUUCCAAACUUCCAGAUCUAGAAGAGAAGCUAAGCUUUAAGACAGAGAGAAAGGCGUGGGUAGAGAGGGAUUAGAAAGAGGAUGCACUACGGAUGCUCACCAGAGAGUAUGCGGCGGAAGCAGCAGGACAAUGGCACAGCAGCUCGCGGGAUGGAGAUGGGGGGACAGGGGUGCCAUGGAGCUCAGGCAGCAAGGGAGCCCCCAAUGGUUGACAGAUGUUCUCGCAGCGAUUUCCGGAAACAUACCAUGGCACUCCCAGCGUCAAGCCCAGGCAGACAACACCCCCCCCCCCCCCAUGAGGAGGUGCCUCCACCACACAAUGGUAGCAGCAGCAGCAACAACAACAAAGUAUAUACAUGUGUGUGUGUCUAUAUAUAUAUAUAUAUAUAUAUAUAUAUAUAUAUAUAUAUAUAUAUAUAUAUAUAUAUAUAUAUAUAUAUAUAUAAGAUCGUUACAGCAGCAGUAGCUGAAUGACGAGGAGAGCUCAAGCCAGCGGUAACAGCGAAACUUCACAAAAUCGAGAUUGAAAGUCCAAAAUAGCCAUUCAUCACUGACAGGAGCUCAGGCCUCAAGGUCCGAUGACCAAACCCUACCUGUCACCAUGGCACCGAUGCCACACCAGACAAUACCAACCUACGGUUCCCAGCCCCCAACGCCGCCGCACGGCCAUGGAUGAGAAUCCAGGCAACCGCACGGCGCACGCGUGGUGGAGGCGGCCCCGGAGUGUCAAAAUAGUGGCAAAUAGUUACAAUGGCAUGGAUCCAAUGGCAAAUAGUUAAAUUUCCCCAUGAUUUCUGCUUGCCCUUAUAGCUCAGUUUGUAGAGCGUCCAACUGAUACACGCACGCACACAAGCGUACACAGUGAGGAGAGUAUCAGAGGAGAGAUUGGAAGGAGGAGAAGGCGGCGGCGGCGGCGGCGACGACAGUGAAUGGCAUUACAUCGAAUGCCAGUUAAAGUGAUGCCAUUCCAGCAAAUCAACUCUUGCGAUGGUAGAUGUGCAAUUUUCUCACCAGAUUUGGCUGAUAGCCAUUAGUCUGCUGUACUAUUAAACCUGCUCUGAUCUAGGGUUCCAGCCCCCCACCACGGCCGCACAGCCAUGGAUGAGCAUCCAAGCAGCCACGCGCGAGCGUGUGUGGAGGCGGCCCAGACUGAAGCAAAUCAGAAAUCUGGUGAUGGUAAUGGUGAAGGCGAGCACACCAAACCAAAAACCAAAUCAAAAGCUCAACUGAAACAAACGUACGAAUCAUCCAUCCAUCGCGCGGUGGUGGCUCAGAUCUCAGCGUGGGCUCGGCGCGGUAGCCGCACCGCACCGCACCCCACCCCACGAGCCAACGGAUCCCAAAACCCCCACCCCACCAAGCUCGCCGCGGCGGCUGCUCCUCCACUAGGGGGGAGCAUCCCAAGCCACAGCGUCGCCGCGCGGAGGCAGGGGUAGCACCGGUGGAUCGGGGGGCCGAUGCCGCCGCCGCCGCAUCAGUCCUCAUCACCACCAUUCCCACAAGGUCUAAGGGUUCGAUCGAUCGAUCCAUGCCAUGCAUGAUGAUGCAUAGGCCACCACGGGUGCGGCGAGCAGCGUCGCUCGGCUCGCGGUUAGUCAGCUCUCUGCCACCCACCCGCCGCGGCGGCCUAGCGAUUAGAGGAGAAGAGUGAGAUUGGGAGUGGUGGUGGGGGAGAAGGAAGAGGAGACGAGACAGACGAGUCCGAUAGGAAAAAGUACACCGAAGGUCCCUCAACUUGUCAUCGAGCUACAAAAUCGUCCUUGAACCGCAAACUAGAGCUCAAGCUAGCGUUAGCAGCGAACUUUGCAAAAUCGAGACCGAAAGUCCAAAAUAGCCAUUCAUCACUGACAGGAGCUCAUGCCAUGGCACAGAUGCCACAUCAGACAAUACCAACCUACGGUUCCUGGCCCCCAUCACCGAGGAACGGCCAUGGAUGAGCAUCCAGGCAACCGCACGCAUGGUGGAGGCGGCUCCGAAGUGUCAAAAUAGUGGCAAAUAGAUAAAUUUCCCCAUGAUUUCUGCUUGCCCUUAUAGCUCAGUUUGUAGAGCGUCAAACUGAUACACGCAAUGAGGAGAGGAUCAUAGGAGAGAUUGGAAGGAAGAGAAGGCGGCGGCGGCGACGACGGCGAAUGGCAUUACAUCGAAUGCCAGUUAAAGUGAUGCCAUUCCAGCGAAUCCACUCUUUUGCAAUGGUAGAUAUGCAAUUUUCUCGCCACAUUUCCAACAAAGAUCCCGAGAUAGAUGUGGCUUAUAGUCUGUACUAUUAUACUUGCUCUAAUCUACGAUUCCCGGCCCCCACCACGGCCGCACAGCCAUGGACGAGCAUCCAAGCAGCCACGCGCGAGCGUGGGUGGAGGCGGCACCGAAGAAAAUCCCUUGAACACAAGUGAGUUGCCACUUUGUUCAUAGAGGGGGUGUGUGUGUGUGAGAGAGAGAGAGAGAGAUGAGAUUACGGAUCUGUAGUUAUAAUGGCAUUGGAUCCAAUUAACCCACAGUUAAAUUUCCCCCUUGUUCUUGUGGGGAAAUCUUGACAUUGUGCCAUUGUCAAAAAUGGGUUCAAAAGGAGAGGGGAGCAGAGCAGAGAGACUGAAACAAAUCAGAAAUCUUAUGUGCAAACUGUGCAAUUAGGCUCAACAAGAUUCGUCUCGUGAUUUCCAUGGUAAUGGUGAAGGCGAGCACACCAAACCAAAAACCAAAUCAAAAGCGCAACUGAAACAAACGUACGAAUCAUCCAUUCAUCGCCCGCGGUGGUGGCUCAGAUCUCCCCGUGGCUGCCCCGCCGCGGCACUCCGACCCCAACGACCCAACGGAUCCCAAACCCCCCACCCAUCGAGCUCGCCACGGUGCCUGCUUCUCCACCAGGGGGGAGCAUCCCAAGCCGCAGCGUCGCUGCGCGGAGGCAGGGGUAGCACCGGUGGAUCGGGGGGCGGGGGCAGCGGCGCCGGCGCCGCAUCCGUCCUCAUCGCCACCUUCCCCACAACACAAGGUCCCAGGUUCGAUCGAUCGAUCCAUGUCAUGUCAUGCAUGAUGAUGCAUAGGCCACCGCAGGCGCGGCGGGCGGCGUCGCUCUGCCCUGCUAGGCUCGGCUAGUCAGCUCUCCGCCGCCGCCGCCCACCGGCCACGGCGGCCUAGGGAUUAUAGAGAAGAGUGAGGUUGGGGGAGAAGAGAAGAGGGAAGAGGAGACGAGACGAGUCUCCGAAGAGAGAAAUUUGCGAUUAAGGCCGUGUUUAGUUCCCGGAAUAAUUAACUAUUUGCCACUGAUAACAGAUUUGCCACUGAGCUCAAGCCAGCAGUACCAGCGAACUUCGCAAAAUCGAGACCGAAAGUCCAAAAUAGCCAUUCAUCACUGACAUGAGCUCAGGCCUCAAGGUCCGACGACCAAACCCUACCGUCACCAUGGCACUGAUGCCACACCAGACAAUACCAACCUACGGUUCCCGGCCCCCAACGCCGCCGCACGGCCAUGGAUGAGCAUCCAGGCAACCAGCCGCAUGGUGGAGGCGGCCCCGAAGUGUCGAAGAGUAGCAAAUACUCCAGUUACAAUGGCAUGGAUCCAAUGGCAAAUAGUUAAAUUUCCCCAUAAUUUCUGCUUGCCCUUAUAGCUCAGUUUGUAGAGCGUCAAACUGAUACACGCAAGCGUACACAGUGAAGAGAAGAUCAGAGGAGAGAUUGGAAGGAGGAGAAGAAGGCGGCGGCGGCGGCGAAUGGCAUUACAUCGAAUGCCAGUUAAAAGUGAUGCCAUUCUAGCGAGUAGAUAUGCAAUUUUCUCGCCAGAUUUGGCUGAUAGCCUGCUGUACUAUUAUACUUGCUCUAAUCUACGGUUCCCUGCCCCCAGCACCACCCGCAUAGCCAUGGAUGAGCAUCCAAGCAGCCACGCGCGAGCGUGGGUGGAGGCGGCCCCGAAGAAGAUCCCUUGAACACAAGUGAGUUGCCACUUUGUUCAGAGAGGAUGUUUUGUGUGUGUGUAAGAGAGAGAGAUUUGACAAUGAGAGAGAGAGAGAGAGAGAGAUCUGCCAAAUAGUGGCAAAUAGUUAAAAUUCCCCCUUGCCUGUUCUUGUGUGGAGAAAUCUUGGCAUGGUGCCAUUGUCAAAAAUGGGUUCAGGAGAGGAGAGCAGAGGAGAGGAGAGACUGAAACAAAUCAGAAAUAUGGUGAUGGCGAGCACACCAAAUCAAAAGCGCAACUGAAACAAACUUACGAAUCAUCCAUCCAUCGCCGCGGUGGUGGCUCAGAUCUCAGCGUGGGCUCGGCGCGGUCGCCGCACCGCACCCCACCCCACCCCACGACCCAACGGAUCCCAAAACCCCCCACCACCGAGCUCGCCGCGGCGGCUGCUCCACCACCAAGGGGGGGGAGCAUCCCAAGCCGCAGCGUCGCCGCACGGAGGAAGGGGGUAGCACCGGUGGAUCGGGGGGUGCCGAUACCGCCGCCGCCGCAUCCGUCCUCAUCGCCACCUUCCCCACAAACAGAAGGUCCCAGGUUCGAUCCAUCGAUCCAUGCCAUGCCAUGCAUGAUGAUGCAUAGGCCACCGCAGGCGCGGCGAGCGGCGUCGCUCUCUGCUGAUCUGCUCGGCUCGGCUAGUCAGCUCUCCGCCGCCGUCCACCGGCAGCGGCGGCCUAGGGAUUGUAGAGGAGAAGAGUGAGGUUGGGGGAGAAGAGAAGAGGGAGUAGGAGACGAGACGGAGAGAAAUUUUAGCGUGAAACUAAACACAGCCUUACACCGGGGUCGCCGGCAGAGAGAAGUUUUUGUACGGGAAAACUCGGGAAGGGAAGGGAAGAUACCUGUACACGAUGGGAGCGGUGCACGUGGCGAGCGGAGAGGGCAUGUGGGAGAGGAAUCCCAGGCGGUGGCCCAUCUGGGCUGGUGGUUCAGCCUGUUGGGCCGCUUGUGGCCUCAAAACGAGCCCAUGAAUGCGUUGGAUCAAAACAAGCUAUGCAUUUUCCCGAGGAAAAAAGUACAGCGAAGGUCCCUCAACUUAUCAUCUGGGCCGGUGGUCCAGCCUGUUGGGCCGCUUGUGGGCUCAAAGCCAAAUCAUGACCGCGUUGGAUCAAAACUCAAAGCAUUAGCUUUGCAUUUUCCCGAGACUACGGGCCUGUUUACGGGCCUGUUUGGUACAGCUCCAACUCCUAGAUAUAACUCUAGGAGUUGAGUCUGAAGUAGAGUUAUGAGCUACCUAAACCAAGCUCCACAGCUCUAGUACAUUUUUUUGUGAGAGAGCUCCAACCAACUCCACUCCUAGUUUUAGUGGAGCUGAAAUUAUUUGGCUGAGCUCCAGCUCCAGAGGGGUGGAGUUAGAGCUGGAGCUGUGCCAAACAGGCCGUAAUGUGCCCAUGCGUUGCAACGGCCCGUAAUGUGCCCAUGCGUUGCAACAGAAUCUGGAGUAAUGCGGGAUCUGCACGCAGACACGCAGUAGGAGGGAGGAGGAACACUGCAACUUUAAAUUAGUAGAGAAAAAAAUACAUAAGAUUGAGUAACACUGCAAAUUCGCAUGUAUUGGUUGAAAACAAUGGAAUUUGAUUAAAUCUGGAGCAAAAGGUUUUAACAAAUUCGAAACUGUACGGUUUCAACAAAUUUUCAGCCGGAUUGCCCACAAGAAAAGUAAGCUUAAAAUUUUAAGGGCAAGAAAAAAUAUGAGUUUGCGCACAACUGCAAAAUAUUACUCCCUCCAUCCCUUAAUACAAGGGAUUUUGAUAUUUUGUUGUCCUGUUUAUGCACACGUCUUAUUUAAAAAAAUUGUGCAAAUAUAAAAAACAAAAAGUUGUGCUUUAGAUAAUAAAGUAAGUCACAAAUAAAAUUCCAAAACUUUUUGAAUUAGACGAAUUGUCAAACAGUGCAAGCAAAAAUAUCAAAAUACCUUAUAUUAAGUGACGGAGGGAGUAGUACACAUGUUAAUUGAAAACAAUGAAAUUUGAGCAGAUCUGAAACAAAAGAUUUCAGCAAAUUCGAAACUUGCUGUUUGAAAAUAUUUCCAACCGUAAUUAUUUGAGAAUCACACGAGCGGCAGGCACACUGUAGAAUUUACAAGAGAAACGAGUCGCUGAAUAAAAAAGUAGUGAAAGUGCAAUAUAAAUCAUCGAAGACAUUCAAGCUUCAAGCCCAGCAAAAUUAGAUCAGAACAUAAAAAUUCAGACGAUAAAUAGAUGAGUUUUCCCAUCGAAUUGUUGACAACGACAACAGAUGACACAAUUUUUCAGGCCAUCAAUCAGUGACAAAAAAAAAUAACAAAACAAAAAAGAGGGUUGUCUGAAAGAACAGAAAAUAAAUAUGCCUUCUGGAGCAUUUCCCAAAAGUACCAGCAGGCAAAUAGUACAACUUUCAGACAAGCAAGUGCAACAAACAAACAACGAGGAAAUCAAUAUACACUAGAAAUUUAAAUUAGAAAAUCUUUACGGAAUGGCUCAGAUUUCACCCCCAUUAUGAAUCACCAAAGUUGGAUCAUGCCACUGUAGCAGAACAAUGCAAUAGAAUCUGUCUCAAUCUCUCUCUAUAUAUAUAUAUAUAUAUCUAUGUGCAUGAACCAUCUAAUGGGAUUGGCAUGUUCAUGAUAGAAUUAGAUCAUAGAAGUAAUAAAAACCUCAGUCCGCCACCACCACCGCCACCGCCAGCAAAUAGCCGCAAACUGGUAACCUGCCGCAAAGCAAGCCCUCCUAGUUUGGCGACCAGCUGAUCAAUUUAGCAAGGAACCAACUCAGGAGGUGUUAAUAGAUCUCCCAACACCGACAAAGGGGCAGCCAAAUUCAUCACAGCCAUUCAACAGGUAACAUAGAAAGGAAAUGCAACAAAACAAAAGGUAAAGUGUUUUGCUGAGAAAUCAAUUUGAAGCACUGCAUUAGUGUCAACAAAAGGAACUGUUGCCAUUUGUUCACCCAGGUUAUCACAGCAUAUACCAAAAAUACAUGAACUAAGUUCAAACAAGGCAUUAUAUGGUCCCUUUAUCCAUGACCAAAUGCUGAUUUCCAUAGCACGCAAACAAAUCAAACAUGUGAUGUAGGGCAAUUGUAACACUAUUACACAAAGAUGUGAAGCCAACCUUCAGUAAAUGCUAAAAGGAAAUAAAGCAAGAAAUCCAAAACAAUUCAAUUUCACACAGGUCAACAGAUACAAUCAGAACUAGAAGGGAACAAAUGAUUCAGAGCUCCCAUUCAAAAAAUCACCAUGGCAGAGUGAGCUCAGUUUCACCUUUCCUCCAUCGUACAAAACCCGAUUUUCACAUCUCUUGCUGCACAAUCUACUCAUACUAAUGUAAGUGUAGCUGCACUGGUUAUCACUCGUCAGUCAUCAGAGUGACCAUCCUAGGCACAGAAUCACUAACAUUAGUGGAUGGUUGAACAUCAUUGCCCCUCAUCCACAUUCCCACAUUCCAUUCCAUGUUUCCAACAUUCUGGAGGUUUCAGAAUCCCACAAGGAACACAGGCAGCAGAACACACCAUAUGUAGAGAUGAGCAAGAGGAGAUUACAGUGGUGACAGCAGGAGUAGCAACUAGUAAAUCAAAACCAUCAGCACCAUACCAAUCCAUCCAUCAGAUUUUAAGAUCAGAUCAGAUCAGAUCUCGCAACUACCCGCUAAAUCCUGACACGGAAGCCACACCAGACUCCACCGUGGAUUCCCAGCCUUUGCUGCUAUGAAUCCAAGGCAAUGGAGCAGCAGAGGCGGCACCCUGGAGGUGAGAACUGACACAGAGACCGGUUGGAAGUAGGGCUGUCAAAACUCAGCUGGAGCUCAAAACAAAUACUCUUGGAGAAGAGUAUUUCAGCGCAGAAGCGCUAAUUUAGUUUAUGAUUUUGGGUUUGGAUGGCGUGAACCUUCUCUUCUAGAUCUAGAAGUUGUUUUUCUCCUCAGUACUAAUAACACAGUUUAUUCCCCAAAAAUAAUCAUGGACGAGGGAUGAAAAAGUGCAUGUGAACACGUACUGUAUGGGUGCUCACCUGCGAGCGAGCGAGGAUUCAGCGGAAGGAAGCAGCGGGAUACCAGAACAGCUGCUCAUGGGGUGGAGAUCACCGCUAGCCAUGUACCUGUAGUCCUUUACGGCGGGAGCAUGCACGUGGCAAUUGCACAGGGCUCGUGAGAGUCACCAUCCAAUGUCCCCCGUGUCCACAGAUGAGUGGCUCACUGAUCAUCUGGGCAAAUGAUUAAGAGUUCUCAUUCAAACAAUUCACCAUGGAAGUGAGUGAUAGGCAGCAUUAAGUACUCAAUACUCAUUAACUUCAGCUUUAAAUCAGCAUGUAGCUAAUUUUCCAACACAGCAAACUGACCACUUGUAAGUUGGCAAUUAGCUUCAAAAAAUAACAGAGAAGUGCUAUGUUAAAUUUACCAGCACAGUAGCAAUAUGAAUAGUGUAAUGGCAUUGAACGGGCUCAGUUUCGCCUUUCCUCCUCAAACCUCGUGCUCCACAAUCUACUCAUACUAAUAUAAGUGGAGCUGCACUGCUUGUCACUCAUCAGUCAUCGGAGUGACCAUCCUAGGCACAGAACCACUAAGAGCAGGUACAAUAGCAGACUAUAAGCCAACUAUAAACGCAUAUCGAGAAGAUAAAUGAGGAGAGAUAAGAGCAGCGGGCAACAGAUUUGUAGCCAGCUGCAGCACAGACUAGGUGUAAUAUAUGUAUGACAGGUGGGACCAUGUAUUACUUGUGUAGGAGUAUAAGUUUAUAGGUAACUGUUGUAUAAAUUGGCUAUUAAAUUGACUAUAUACUAUUUGGAGCUAGUAGUUGGCUAUACUAUUAAACUUGCUCUAACACUAGUGAAUGGUUGAACUGACUCCAAGAGAGGUGAGAGUUGGUUCUUUAAAACCACAACUGCCUCAGAAAAGGUUUAACAUCAUCACCAUCAUCAUUGCAUUCCGUUGGAACAAGACCAAGUCCAUUGUAACAGGGAAGUGAAGAAGAAAAUGCUGGCAUAGACACACUAUUCACAUAGAAAAGGUACUCCAUCCGUCCCAAAAAAUAAGGUACUUUGACCGGAUGUGACACAUCCUAGUAACAAGGGUUCCUUUGGAACACAGGAUUUUCCCAUGAAUUAGUUCAAUACCCGUGAAAAUCCUACAAAAAUCCGCCAUUAUAUAGGAGGCCUAAUUGGGCUCAGAUUCGCCUUUACUCAACCGUAAAGAUCCAACAGCCACAUAUCUUGCUCCACCAUCUAUCCAUCAUAAUGUAAGUGGAUUUGCCCUGGUUAUCAUUAACAGAAUGACCAUCCUAGGUGCAAGAACCACCUAACAUUAGUGAGUGGAUAGGUUGCCAGAGAUGAUAGGAUCAGGUCCAAUUGACACCCACAGCUGCCUUGAUUCUUCAAUGGCAGGAUUGUCAGAAAAGGUUGAUCAUCAUUGCCCUUCAUCCACAUUCCUUUCCAUGUUUCCAACAUUCUAGAGACACACAGAUGAGAAAACCAUACAUAUAUACUCCCUCCAUUCCAAAAUAUAAGCAGAAUGUACGUACAUUGCCAACGAGAUCAGCUCGCAAGCUCUCUCUCGCGCGCAAGCGCGCAGCGAGAGUGAGGGGGGAUGGCAGUGUAUAGAGCAAAAUGGUGACUAAAGAGUGAAAAAUCCAUAACAGCGGCUCAGAUUUCACAUUGCCCGACCAGCCCCAGGCAGGAAACUGACACGGAAUAAGUCUAUUUUAUGUCCCUCAACUGAUGUAAAUGGAUCUGCCUGGUUAUCAUUUAUCAGAAUGACCAUCCUAGGUGCAAGAACCACCUAACAUUAGCAGGUGAAUAUGUUACAGAAGGGCAGAUUUGGUUUAGGGUUUGGAGUUUGCGUAUAGCGAACUGUGAUCACGCAUGCACAGAUCUAGAGAAGUUAAAGGUUAAGGCAAAGAGAGAAAGGUGUGGGUACAGAGGGAUGACAGAGGAUGCACGUAUGGAUGCUCACCAGCGAGUAUGCAGCAGUACUAUGGCACCACUGCUCACGGGAUGGAGAUCAGGGACCAGGGGCGCCAUGGACCUCAGGCAGCGAGGGAGCUCCCAAUGGCUGUCAAAUGUUCUUGCCGCGAUUUCCGGCAACAUACCAUGGCACUCCCAACAUCAAGCCUAGGCACGCAGACACCCCAUCCCCCCCCCUCCUCGACCUGUGAGCAGGAGGUGUCUCCACCACACGAGGGUAGCAACCAGCAGCAGCAGCAGCAACAACAGUAUAUAUCAGAUCAUCACAGCAACAGCAGCUGAAUGCCAAGGAGAGCUCAAGCCAGUGGAAACAGCGAGCUUCACAAAUUCGAGAUCGAAAGUCCAAACCAGCCAUUCAUCACUAAAAGGAGCUCAGGCCUCAGAAUUCUGACGACCAAACCCUACCCGUCACCACGGCAUCGAAGCCACAUCAGACACCACCAACCUACGGUUCCCGGCCCCCAACACCGCCGAACGGGCCAUGGAUGAGCAUCCUGGCAGCCAUGAGCGUGCCAAAGGCGGCCCCAAAGAUCCCUUGAACACAUGUGAGUGAGUUGCCACUUUGUCAAAGGGGGUGUUGCGAGAUAGACAUAUUACAGUUCUGUCAAAGAGUGGCAGAUAGUUACAAUGGCAUGGAUCCAAUAGCAAAUAGUUAAAUUUCCCCUUAUUUUCUGCUUGCCCUUAUAGCUCAGUUUGCAGUAGUGCGUCGAACUGUACACGCACGCCCGCGAGAGAACACAGUAAGGAGAGGAGAGAAUGGAAGGAGGAGAAGGGGUGGUGUUGGUGGUGGCGGCGGCGGAGGAGGAUGGCAUUCUGCAUUCCCAGGUUUCCAACGAAUCCACUCUUUUCUGAUGGUAGAUGUGCAAUUUUCUCGCCACGUUUCCAACAAGGUUGAGACAGAUGUGGCUUAUAGACAUUAGUUGGCUGUACUAUUAAACUUGCUCUAAUCUUCGGUUCCCUGCCCCCACCACCGCCUGCACAGCCAUGGAUGAGCAUCCAAGCAGCCAUACGGGCAUGGCGGAGGAGGCGGCCCCGAAUAAGAUCCCUUGGAACACAAGUGAGUUGCCACUUUGUUCAGAGAGGGUGUUGUGAGAGAGAAAGAUGAGAUUACGGAUAUAUCAAACAGUGGCAAGUAGUUAUAAUUUGCAAUUGAUCCAAUUAACCCAUAGUUUUUUUUCCCCAGUGCUCUUCUCUUCUAGCUCAGCGUGUGUAGAGCGUGGAACUGUACACACACGCAAGCGUACACUGCGAGGAGAGGAGAGGAGAAACUGGAAGGAGGAGAAAAUGCAACUGAAACAAAUCGAAAUCUGGUGAUGGUGAUGGCAAGCAUACCAAACCAAAUCAAAACUGCAACUGAAACAAACACGUACGAAUCCUCCAUUGCCGCGGUGGUGGCUCAGAUCUCGCCGUGGCAGCGAGGCCACCCGCCACUCCAACGACGGGAGGCCGCACCGCGCCCCCACGACCAACGGAUCCCUAACCCGCACCAACCCGCACCACCGCCGGAUCCGCUGCGGCGGCGGCUCCAGGGGGAACAUCCCAAGCCGGCCGCAGCAUCGCCGCGCGGAGGUAGGGGUAGCACCGGUGGAUGGAUCGGGGGGAUGCAAGAUGGGGGAUGAGUUGUAUCUGGUUUUGCGGUUCAAGGACGAUUUUGUAACUCGAUGACAAGUUGAGGGACCUUCGGUGUACUUUUUCCUUUCCCGAGACAAGUACUGUCCCAUGCGUUGCAACGGGAUCUGGAGUAAUGCGGGAUCUGCCCGCAGACACGCAGUAGGAAACGGAGGUAGACUGCGUCUUUAAAUUAUUAGAGAAAAAAAACAUAAGAUUGGGUAACACUGCAAAUUCGCAUGUAUUAAUUAAAAACAAUGAAAUUUGAUUAAAUCUGAAGCAAAAGGUUUUAACAAAUUUAAAACAGUACGGUUUCAACAAAAAUUUCAGCCGGAUUGCCCGCGAAAAAAAUAAGCUUAAAAUUUUCAGGGCACGUAAGAAACAUGAGUUUGCACAACUGCAAUAUAGUGCACUUGUUAAUAAAAAACAAUGAAAUUUGAUCAGAUCUAAAACAAAAGCUUUUCUCAAAUUCGAAACUAUGGGGUUUGAACAAAUUUUCAACCGUAACUAUUUGAGAAUCGCACUAGGGGCAGGCACACUGUAGAAUUUACAAGAGAAAACGAGAUGCUGAAGAAAAAAAGUAGGUAGGGAAAGUACAGUACAAAUCACCGAAGCCACUGAAGCCAGAACCACGCUGCAGGCCUGCAAUGGCUGCUUGGCUAUCGCUCAAGCUUCAAGCCCAACAAUAUUAGAUCAGAACAUAAAAAUUUAGACAAGAUAAAUAGAUGAGUUUUCCCAUCGAAUUGUUGACAACGACAACAGAUGACACAACUUUCCCGACCGUUUUCAUCCCCACUAUAGUUCGAUUCCCAUGAAAAUGCUCCAAAAAUAUCCUCCUUUGAAACACAGGAUAUUCACAGAAAAUAGUUCAAUUCCCGUGAAAAUGCUCCAAAAAAAUCCUCCACUCCAAAAGAGGCCUAAGUGGGCUCAGAUUUGCCUUUGAUCAAUCAUACAGACCCAACCCCUAUAUAUCUUGCUCCACAAUCUACUCAUCCUAAUGUAAGUGGACCUUCCUUGGUUAUCAUUAACAGAAUGACCAUCCUAGGUGCAAGAACCACCUAACAUUAGUGAGUGAAUAGGUCACAAGAGAUGAUAGGAUCAAGUCUAAUUGACACCCUCAGCUGCCUUGAUUUUUCAAAGGCAUGCUUGUCAGAAAAGGCUGAUCAUCAUCGCCCCUCAUCCACACUCUCACAUUCCAUUCCAUGUUUCCAACAUUCUGGAGAAGUUGGUCCAGGUACUUUGGCAUCAGAUGGCCACCUUGAAUGUCCAACAGCAAGCAUGCUUUUGUGAUCAUCACUGCUCAUUACCACAAUACGAAGUGAACUGGAAAUUAUUGUAAUAUUGCACAUCUGCCAGGAAUUCUGACCCAAGUUUAAGAAUCCCCAGAGGAACACAGGCAGCAGAGCACACUAUAUACAGAGACGAGCAAGAGGAGAUUGUGUCGGCCACAACAGCAAGCGCAAUAGCAGGAGCAACUAGCAAAUAAAAUCCAUCACCACCACACAUCCAUCCAUCCAUCCAUCAGAUAUUCAGAGAUCAGAUCAGAUCGCGCAUCUACCCACCAAAUCCCGACGCGGAAGCCGCAUCAGACUCCACUGAAGGUUCCCAGCCUUGGCUGCUACGAAUCCAAGGCAAUGGAGCAGCAGAGGCAGCACCAUACAGGUGGGGAACUGAUGCAGAGACCGGUUGGAACUUGGAAGUAGGGCAGUCAAAGCUCAGCUCGAGCUCAAAACACACACCCAUGAAGAUAGUACUUCCUCCGUUUCACAAUGUAAGUCAUUCUAGUAUUUCCCACAUGCAUAUUGAUGUUAAUGAAUCUAGAUAGAUAUAUAUGUCUAGAUUCAUCAACAUCAAUAUGAAUGUGGGAAAUACUAAAAUGACUUGCAUUGUGAAACGGAGGGAGUAGUAGUUAGCUAUACUAUUAAACUUGCUCUAAGCAGAGUAAGUAGUACCAGCUUUCUCUCUCACGCAAGCACGCGGAGAAAGAGAGGGAGGAGAAAGAGGGGUAGCAAUGUGCAACAAAAUGGCGACUAAAUCAAUCCUACUUAAAAUGUUUACCCACAAUAUUAUCACGCCACCCUCCAAAGAGCCCUUUCCAUUUCACCGUUGGUUCUUUUGAAUUUCGAAAUCACCUACUUGUUCAAUAAGGAAAAUCAUCAUAGAAGUAUUGCUGUGCUUAUACUAAAUAAGCUAGAAACUCAAUUUGUUUUUUUUUUCCAUUGCAACGCACGGGCUAGUGAAAAAUCCAACAAUUGCGGCUCAGAUUUUGCGUUGCUCGGCCAACCCUGGGCAGGAAGCCAACGCGGAUACCGCCACGCACGGUCCCCAUCCUCCACCGCCGCAGGCGCCGCGACAUCGGCAGCUGCCAAAGCAGUGGCCUCCAGACCAAUGCCGCACGGCGUGCGCGACGCGGCUGGGGAUUGGCCCCCGAAAAGCGGAAAUCCGAGGCGGCCGCCACCGAUCAGGAGAGGCGCCGGAGCUAAACCGGCCUCAUUCCUCAUCGCCGCGGGGAAUUCAGGGUGUGUUUAGAUCCAGGGGUGUAAACUAUUUGCAACUCUUCAAACGAGCCGCGGUUUUUUGGAGCGAAUGCCAUCAUCAGCCACCGCUAGCGGAGAUGAAAUGGCCGAUGUUGCAAUCGCCUCGCGACUCGCUGAGCAUGGGGUUCAGCUGAACUUGAACCCCCACAUUUUGGGGGAAAUAAAAUGUGACAAAAGGCAGUUUCCAGAUCUAGAAGAGAAGCUAGGGUUAACGCAAGCAAAUUCCAGACAAAGUACAGAUACUGGCCAGCGAGCGAGGAUGCUCGCGGGAUGGAUGGAGAUCGGCGCAGGCAAUGUACAGUAAAAUGGCGACCAAAUGGUGGGGGAAAACCAUCAAUGGCGGUCAGAUUUCGUUGCCCGGGCCAAGCCCCCGAGCAGGAAGCCGACGCACGGGGUCCCCCAUCCCCCGCCGCCGCAUGCGCCCGCGGCAUCUGCGGCUGCCGAAGCGGUGGCCUCCGUGCCAACGCCGGCGAGGCGCAGCUCGGCGGGGGGGAUGGCGGAGAUCCGAGGCGGCCGCCGCUGCUCGGGAGACUCGCCGGAAGCAACGGCAUCUUCCUCCUCCUCCUCGUCGUCGUCAUCGUCGUGGUUGGUUUCCGGCGAUGCAGAAACCCUUCCAUUGCUCCACCACCACCCAAGCAGCAAAAUCGCAACAAAAACUGAAUGGUUUGAAAUAAGAUCAGGAGGGAGGGAAAGAGCGAGAAACCAAUCCGACUCUGGAUGGAUUCAUGGAUUUUCCAGUCUCCAGUAUCCACCCCUUCACCGUCUCAGUUCUCGCUAGAGGCGGAGGACGAGACGAGAGGAGAGGAGAGAACUGAGAAGAACCCAGCCGAGUUUUUUUUUUUUUUUUGAGAGAACGGGCCGAGUUCGGCGGUGGGGAAUGGGGAUGGGGAUGGAGAUGGGGAGAUCGAUGGAGGGAAAUAAAUGGGGACGGAAAGAUCGGUCUCGGCGACUCGGCCCAUCCAAACACUGUCCGUGCACGUCCGGUGUACACGUGUGCGGUGUGCCUAUGCUUCGAUGGACAAUACGGGGGAUAAGCGGCGUUGGCAUGUCACAUCUGAUAUUAUAUAUAUUAUAUAGAGUAUUGUAUGGUUGUUUGGGUAUUAAUAAAAAACUAAUUACAUAAUCCAUCAGUAAACCGUGAGAUGAUUUUAUUAAGCUUAAUUAAUACGUCAUUAGCAAAUGUUUACUAUAGCACAACAUUAUUAAAUCAUGGAGCAAUUAGGCUUAAAAGAUCCAUCUCUCAAACUAGUCGCAAUCUGUGUAAUUAGUUAUUUUUUUAGCCUAUAUUUAAUACUUCAUGCAUGUGUUAAAUGUUUGAUGUGACAGCAUGUAAAAUUUUGGAGUGGGAUCUAAACACCCCCUAUGUCAGGCGUGUGUGGAGAAAGAAUGCAUUCAUGUAGUGCAUGUCCAUGUGCGCUAUUUUGAAAAAGGUUUAUGUGGUUUAUGUAGAUGUUGGGUUUAAUCAAUAAAUAACCUUGCCAUAUGUCCGACUUAUUUAUUCAACCGGUAUACGACUAAACGGUAGAACAGCUCGGCGCAUGACGGCGUGAGGCAACAGCAUGGGUUGGUCCUAGAUCGAUGGCAUGCACUUGCAUGCAUUACGGUCGUACAAGAGUCGGACAUAAUAGUCUUGGGUAUAGCAUUUUUCUUUAAUCGAUCCAUUAUAUAGGAUAAAACAAAAAAAAAUCGAAGCAAUGUAGUAAUACGUGCAAUAAUAUUCAAGUGAAUGUAUUGCCCCCAAAUUCACGGUUUGCUGAAGAUACCACACGCAUCGCCCCAGCAUGCAAUACAUGCAAGACGCCUUGCAUGUGAGGUUAGAGUCACGCUACAAACAACGUGUUGAACUGUGUGAUCAGGUCUGGCAUAGAAAAGAUAUAUUCAACAUCUUUAGUAAAAGUAAUCAAAAUGGUCGGUGUUCCUUUUUUCUUAAAAAAACAACAUUUACAGGAUAGUGCGAUGUUUCGUAUCAAUGUAGCAGUAACAAGACUACAAGUCUACAGCCCUAAGAGGCUAUGGCCAGGAAAGAAAAAACACACAGUCACACCACGCAUCUACGACCAAAAUCCACCACCGAAGAUCAAAGCAAACUACGAUAUCCCAAAGGGAAUGGAUAUUCUAAAUGGCGUAUUCAGGAAGAAUGUGGCACCGAGAGUGCUCCCACCACCUGCUCUGAGAUGACAGGACGUGGUUUUCACCUAAAUAAAUCCAUCACAUGACACGAACUUCAAGCAAACAACACUCCCAAAUAGGAAAAGUGAUGCCUGCAGUCGUCGCCGUUGCUAGCCCAAAGGGCUGUGCUUUCACUUGUGAUCUUUCUGUCCUCUUAUGUCAAGGUUAUCUGCCAAAAACAGUGGCCACCACCAACUACACCUUUGAUGUGUAGCCAAUGUGCCAGCCGACCAUCAAGGAGGAGCUCAACAUUCGGCGCGCUCCAAGUCCAUACACAUAGUUGCGUUGGAUAUGAAGAGGGUGAGAGAAAAGAAUGGAUACCCUAUCCCCCACACUAGCCCGCCCCAACAAGGGCAUCUUGUGCCGUCACCACAAGAGGACUGUCAGCUAGAUCGGAGCUCGUCGGGGGCCUGCAACGCUCACCUUAAAGCACCACUGUCGUCGCUGCCUCGGCUGACUGCCUAUAUCACCGCCACCUUGGUCGGAUUGCCCGUAUCACCGCUACCUCAGACCGCCAGCCCACAUCGUCGUCACCUCGCCCCGCUGUCCCCUGUCGCCUUUGGUCUUGCCAUAGCACCGUCCAGCCUCGCACCCGUGUCGUGGCAGCUCUGUCUACCAUCGGCGCCAUGCAGUUCCCCUGUUGUGCCACCGGUCACGCGAACCACCGCACUGGUUCCCGUGGGUGGUCGCGCAUGGCUUGCUCCCGCUGCAACCUCCAUGCUACAUCGGCCUCUCGCCUUUGCCGACUGCGCACUACACCACGUCGGCCUCCCACCACCGCCAGCCAUGUCGCCCUUUCACCCCACCGCCCCGCUCGCCCAGAUCCAUCCCAAGGUGUCUGGAUCCCGCCACGGGGAGGUCUGAUCCAGUGGCGUCGCCCUCGGAUCCAUGGGCUCAAUCACCGGGGUGCACCGCGUUGGUUUAGUUUCCCUUCUUUUCUCGCGCGCUAGAGACCGAGCAUCACCGGGUUAUGGCCCUGCCACUGCCUUCCUAGCAGGCCGCCCGGUUUUUGGGUGGCAUGCUCCGACGACAGCGCAGAUGAGGAGGAGGGCGGGCGAUGGUUGGCUAGGGUUUUUCCCGUGUCACCCGCGCGUAGACGACGCGGGGAGAGUGUAACUUGGUAGUGUUCCCGAUUUAUCUUAGUUGUUGUUUGGAUCACCUUGAUUAAGGAUGAGUUUUCAUAAAAAUGGUUUGGAAUGAUCUUCUAGUAAACCAACUUUACUAACCAGAGGGGAAAAAAUGUAACAUGAGCAAAAUGUUGCUAAAAGCCUAAAAACAGGCAACCAAAUUGCCAUCUGAAUUCUCAAAUACGAAGAGACGUACACAUGGUACAAACAAAUAUAGAACCGGACAUCAGUCAGACUAAUUGAACUGCAUUUGCCCCAAACCCGAAACAACAAACUUGCUUAGAGAUCACCUAAGAAAGGCUAACACUAAACUUCGGUAUGAACUGUUCACUAUAACUGGCGUAAAACUCUACAAAAAUACGUCGCAAGUGCCACGCUCCAGCGUGUCUGCGUGUGUGCCCCAUGAAGCAAUAAUCCUAAAUCAUGUACAAAUUGCAGUAUUGCGCACAUGAAGCAUGCCAGCUUUGCAAUCACCAUGUCUGCAGAAACAAACAAAGCAAACAGAUACAAUCAUCAGGGCAAGCAACACGAAGAACACACAUCUUUAGCAGUGAUUUCCAGUGGAGGGGGAAGGUCGAUAAUUCGACGUGCUUACCACAACAUAGUACUACUGUCCUGUCGCAGCGCGAGCUUCGCUGUGUCCUUCCACAUGGACACCUCCAUCUCCUUCUCGACGAGCUUCUUCUCCGCGCGUUUCAGCGCGAGUUCCAGCUCUUCGAUCCGCUCCUGGUUCCUCUGAUGGAGGAGCUCGUGCAGCCUCCUCUCAAGCUCGACGGCAUUGACACCAUUGUAUUCAGCUUCAUCGUCGUAGUCUUCGUCCUCCACUACUUCAUCUUCUCUCCCAACAUCAUCAUUGAAUUCUUCCCGGCAUUCAGUGAUCUCAUCCGGUUGCUGAAUCGCAAUCAAACACAAAUUAGACGCAGCUCAAAUCAAUCUCACUGCAACAUUCUGUUCACAGAAGCAUACCUCUGCAUCAUGUUCUUCAGGCAAGAACAGCUGAACAUCUGAACCAUAGUUAACCUGGAGAAGAUCGAGCUCGGCAUGGAACUCCUCCUCGAGCACAUCCAUCCUCGGGAAGCAGCACUCGUACUCCUCCGCUGAUUUCUCGCAGCUCACUUCCUCCUCCUCCAUGUGGUUGGACGACGAGGUGGCCUGAUCCUCCAUCAUGCGCGCGCUCGCCCUCUCGUUCUCGUUCGUGUCCGUGAGGCAGCUCGACGCGGCGGACUCGAGGUUGCAGCGGGGUUUCGAUGCGUCGUCGUCACCAACCCCUCCGCUGCUGCUCUGCCUCACCUGCUCUUUGAUCUCUCUCAGCAGCGUCUCCAUCUCCGCGCGAACCUUCGCCAUCUUGUUGAACUCGUCGGAUGUCUUGGCGAGGAGGAACACCAGGCUCAGGCCAACGCCGAGGUCGGGAGUCCUCGUGUGGCUCUCGUUGUCGAACACUAAUUGCAAAGAAGAAAAAGGGGAGAAAUCAAUUGAAAUUACCUCCAGAAUCGCGUGAUUGCUACGUAUCAUUAUCUUUUGCUACCGAAAUUUCAGGGCUCUAUCCAGCCAAUACGAUCGCAAUCUCGCACAGGUAACGAAUCGAACAGCCAACGCGAGAUGAUUCGACGAGGAAAUCCCCAAAGAAACCCAAUAGAAACUGCGAUUUAUCGAACAGCGACGAGCUCGACCGAUGGCGCACCUGAGGUAGAGGCGACGGUGGCGGCGGCGGCGGCGGCGGCGACGGGCUCGCCGUUCUUCUCCACCGCAAUCUCCUCCUCCACCACCACCACCCCCUCCUUCUCCGCCUUCCCCUUCCUCCCAAUCCUACUCGCCGCCCGGGCCCACCUAAACCUCGGCAGCAGCGACCUCGCCGCCGCGAGCGCGGGGGACCGCGGCGUCACCGCCGGCGACCCCUCGAUCCCGAGCUCCUCGCCGUCGUUGAGGUAGUCCGCGAUCCUCCUCCUCCUCCUCACCACCUCGGAUGCCAUGGCGCGCGCGGCGCCCGAUGAGGCGAGCGAGCAGCGCAAAAGCAGAGGAGACAGAGAAGACGAAGCCAAGCCAAAGCGGGUUUUCAAAUUGGAGCGGGUGGCGUGGAUCGUGGUCGUCGUGGCGAGCUCACCGUGGGCCCCACCCGACAGCGAACUGGACCCCCGAUCCCGCCGUCCAUCCUCGAAUCGACGACGGCCACGAUGAGCCCGAUUAGAUGGGACGGCACCAUUAUUAGCUCUCCCCCUCCAGGGAAUCACACAUGAUAUCAUCGUUUAUAUUUAAAAAAAAUGGAAGAGAGGAUAUAUCUAUCGAUGAUUUUUAUAUUUCCGAGAUGGAAUUAUAUUCCCGGAAGAAAAGAUGGGGAUCAGGUUUGAUGAUUAUUUUUUUUUGUGUAGGUCCGGUGUUGCAAUUUGGUGAUUUGAAAUGCUGGGUAUUCUGAGGUUUCAGAUUUGUUUGUCUGUUCCAUUCCAAAUUUCCAUCCAUGACCCACCAUCCGACUCUAUUGGUAGGACCCCAGGCAUAGAAAUUUUCUGUCCAAGUUUACGAUGUCGCCGUGGUUUUAAAAUCUGAGUUUUAAAGAAAAAAAACAUAGUUGGCCAUAAUCCGGCGAAUUAUGGUUUGGCCAAUGGGAGUUGAUGGCUGGCAAAGCACGCAAGCUUGCUUGCUGGGAGGCUGCACGCGUCGUGUUUCCGGGGUCCCCUGCCACUGUCGAGCGCUGGAGGCGCCGAGGUGGAAGCAGGAGCCACGAAAACAUGGAGCCAUGUAGGCAUCUCCAUCACUUGCCUGACACACCAAGCGAAGGCCUGUUUAUGACAGUAGAAAAUGAACACUAGCUAGAAGCAAAAAGCGAGCAUUAGAGCAUCUCCAACAGAGUUGUCAUCUCACUCUCCAAUUUAAAUUUUGGUAAUUUUGAGCAAAAAACGGGCUCCAACAGACUUACUAAACGGCUGGCUAAACUCCUCCCCAGGCUGGCCAACUUUAGCCAGCUAGAGUUGCCUUGCCAAAUCGUGGGCCCCACGCUUUUUUCCCCAUCUCCUCUCUCCGCACUCGUGAGCACGCCACUGGCGGCCUGGCGCCGGCGCCAUCCCUGCUGCCGCCCGCCGCCGUCCCUACCGCCGUCCGCCGCCUCCGCCGCCGCCGUCGCCGCCACCGCCGCAAUCCCUACCGCCGUUCCCCUUCUCCUUUUGCAUCGGCCUCGGGGGAACUGGUGGCGCCGCCGCACCGCCGUUCGUCUUCACUCACAGCAGCGCCGCCGGUCCGCUGCUCUGCUCUCUCCGGUCUCCGCCACCCACCGCCUCCGUCUUCCCUUGGCCGAAGGCCACCGAAGCUGCCGUCGACGCCGACUUCAUCCUGCUCCGGGCCGCCACCGCGCCAAGCCGAGCGCCGCCCACGAGGCCGCCUCCCUCCCUAGCACGGGUCGCAGGCCCCGAAGCCGCCUCCUCACUCCGUCCCUGUCCGGCCGGGUCGCCACCUCGCCGUCGCCGUCAUUGUGCCGUGGCUGCCUCCGCCAACCGUCGCCCCGCAUCGACUCCUUCCGGCGCCCCCUUGCUCCCGCCUCCUCCGCAUCACCGCCCUCCACCGUCGCCGCGCCGACCGCCGCCCUGAUCCGACCGCCGUCGCCGUGCCCAUCGCCGCCUAGCGUGGCUCCCUCCCGGAGUCGGUAGGAGAGAAGGAGGAAGGGGAAUCGAGAGUGAGAGGAGGGGGAGAAAACGAGAAGAGAAAGAAAAGAAAAGAAGGGAAGGGAGAGAAUGACAUAUGGUACCCACUGUUAAAUUGGAUAUUGAAAUGGAGAGACUGUUGGAGUGAAACUCAAAUUUGGCUCUCUAAAUUUUUGGCAAUUUGCUAAAUAGGAUAUUUGGAGAGCAAAAAUAGCCAUGCUGUUGGAGAUGCUUUUAGAGCUUGUUUAGAGCAUCUCCAACAGUCUCUCCAAAACUAACUCUCCAAAUAUCUAUUUGGCCAACUCUCCAUCUAAUUUAGCCAGUCAAACUCUUAUUUACUCCAACAACCUCUCCAUUCAUCCUCUCUAUUCUAAGCCUAUGACAGUGGGACCCACGUGUCAGUCUCUACAACCAUUUCUUCCUCCUCAUCUUUUUCCCCCUUUUCCCAAGCCCCUCCGCUCAGCUCGCAGCAGGUGAGAGUUGGUCCUCUCCGCCGCCGCCGCCCCAUCCCCAUCCGCCGCCACCGCCGCUCGGGCUGACCUCGGAGACGACGGUAGCGGACGGCAACCUCGGCUGGCGAUGGAUCUGGCGACUAUGCUGGCGACAGCGUCGUCGACGGCUGGCGACGGCGCGGAUGACGGCGACGACGGCGGCGUCCGCCAACGGCCACCUCAGAGACGACGGCUGGCGACGGCGCGACGACGGCGGCACCCGGCAACAGCAGAUCUGGCGACAGCGCAACGACAACUGACGACGGUGACGGCGCUGGUGCCGACGGCGGCGGCGUCCGGCAACGAUGACUUCAACUGCAGCAAUGGCAUCUCGACGACGAUGGUAGCGGAGAGAGAAAGGGGGAGAGGAAUGCUGUCGGCGUGGGACCCACAAUUGGCUAGGCUAUUUUGGCUGGCCAAAUUUGGCCAGUGGGAGGAGGACUUUGGCCAGCCAGAUGGCUUGGCCAUCCGGAUAGCCAGUCUGUUGGAGGGUGAAAUUGAGCCAAAAUUGCCAAAAUUUAACUUGGUGAGGGGAAUAAGGAGGCUGUUGGAGAUGCUCUUAGUUGGCGAAAAGAAAUUGUUUUUAGUAUCACAUCGGAUGUUUGACCGAAUAUUGGAAGGGGUUUUCAUAUACGAAUGAAAAAACUAAAUUAAUUCGUCAUUAGCACAUACGGGUUACUAUAGCACUUAUGGCUAAUCAUGGACUAAUUAGGCUUGAAAAUCCGUCUCGUGAUUUCCCCCUAACUAUGCAAUUAGUUUUUUUAAAAUCUAUAUUUUAUGCUUCAUAUAUAUGUCCAAAUAUUUGAUGUGAUGUUUUUGGAAAAAAAAAUUUGGGAAGUAAACCAGGUCUUAGAUUUGUUAGCCGUAGUCAAAUUUUAAAUUUAUAGUUAUUUUGAUUUCUUUUAUUAUAGUUUAUUUAUGUAAGAGUAAAUUUCACAAAACUACCCAAUUUUGAUUAAAUUAUCCCAAAACUAUAAAUUUAGGAUUGUGUAUCACAAAACUACCUAUUUAAUACGAAAUUUAUUAUAGACCAAUAGAUUAAAGGUGGAGUAUCACAAAACUACAGAUUUAAUAACAAAUUUAUCAUAAAUUUAUAGGUUUAGUAUCAAUUUAAUCAAAAAAAAUUGUACAUUUAUAACUCAAACAUAACACUAACAAUAAGGAUUUAAGUCCCAAAAUCUAUAUUUUUGUGGUAAUUUUAUUAUAAAAUCUAUAAUAUUACUAUACUUAACCUUAAACUUCUAGUUUUGUGAUAAAUUUAUUACUAAAUCUAUAUAUUUUUAUACAUCACUUUAAAUAUAUAUGGUUUUACGAUAUUUCGGCUAUUGUAUUUGUAGUUUUGUGAAAUUUAUUUUUUUUAAGUUAUCCAUAAUUCAUGUAUAAAAGAUUUAUUUAUAAUUAUUUUUCUGUAAUAAGCAUUACGAGGUAUAAUCAUCUGUAGACGCAACCAUAUGACUAUACUUCUCUAAAAUCUUUAACUUGUCUUUUAAGCCGUGUUUAGUUGUAAAAUUUUUCUUCAAACUUUAAAUUUUUCUAUCACAUCAAAAUUUUUCUACACAUAUAAACUUCCAACUUUUCUGUCACAUCGUUCCAAUUUUAAUUAAACUUAUAAUUAUAAUUUUAGUGUGAACUAAACACAGCCUAAAUCUCAAGCUCCACGAACAAAUAGCAGGAUAAAAAUCAGGACCCCGGAGGCGAAUGAAGGAAUGAAUGCUGGAUAGGACGCAAAUAGUACGCAAUUAAUCGUCGUUAUCAUGAGAAGCCGGCCCAUUUGACCGCCCCUCUCCUUCCUCCGUCGGCAACUGUUGAUGCUCUUCUCUGCGUCAUCUCACUAACUCUUAAUUAAUCUUCAGACAAUUUUUUUUAAAAAAAACUUGUCUUUAUUGUUUAUAUUCUGUUUCGUGGUACUUGUACGACAGGAGGAGGAUUAGGCAUUAAGUAGCGAUAGUGGUACAGGACAAGAGCGUGGUGUCACUCGGCAGUGGAGGAGACGCUUCCUUCUUCUUGAUGGAUGCUGCUCAUCUUACUUAACGUUGAUGCUCCGUAUCAUGCUGCUAGAUUAAUUAGUAGUAUUACGAAUCAUUGCUCAUCAGUAUGGCGUCGAAAUGGCCUGCUACCCGCGGUUGUCGUCUUGCUGUUGCCGAUCGAGCUGCCGACCGCCGGCGGCCGGUCCUGCGGAAUAAGCUUCUGCUGCAAACGAACAGGAUGGAUCAACCGCUCCAGAUUCUCUCUAGCUUUUCUGCCUUAUUAUCAUUAGAGUUAUAUUAGAGUUAUGUUAUAUAAUGUACUAGUAUAGCAAAGAGUCUUUACCACCCAAAAAAUUAGCUAAUAAAAUGAGGGUUCCCCCACUUAUAUAUUUGAUAUAUUGCCCUUUAACAACUAAUAUCGGACUAUACAAUAUAUACAUCCGGAACACAUAUGACCGUGCCGAAUCAGCCAAUCAUGGAGCUCAUUGUCAUUCACCUAGGCUUAGCUAAAAAAAACAAGUUUAUAUGUAGGUCGAAUAGACAGGAUCGUAUGUAUAGUCAUUAUGUUCUCGUUAACUCAUCCCAUAAUAUUUUUAUUGUUAGUUUGUCACGUUUGUUCUAAUAAAUUUAUUAUUUUUAAUUAUUGAAUCGAAGUUUAUGGAAGUAGCAUAUAAUAUGUUGGGAUUUAAUAAAGCGAAGAUAUUCUUUUUUUAUUUUGAAAAAUAAACUUAUUUAAGAAUAGAUAGAACCGAGGGAAUAGAAGGCUGCUGCUUGCCAGCUUGCUGCUUUCCAGAGCACAGGAUUGUUGUGUUGGGCUGGUUUUUUCGGUUGGGCUGGUUUUGGUUCGUUUGCGGCUUUACGCCACGAGAACGAGAGGCACACGGAGCGCAGGGGUCGAGCAAUGCGACAACAACAAGAAGCUGAGUGUGUUGGUUAGCUUCGCGGAUGAGACGACAAGAGAGACGAAACGAGGGCGAAGGGAAUCCCCCGUCAUCCGGUGUGGGCGUGAGUGACAACUAGGAAGAACAGGGACCUGCUGGCUACCUGGAGGCUGGAGCUUAGUAGAUGCGGAUAAGAUCACAACACAAAGCACGCUGGUUAAAAAAAAACAUAAUAUGAAAUAGUUAGAGGAGCAAGAUUUUAAACCCAGAUCAGAUAGCCCACCAUCUUAUAAAACACGCUGGUUGCUUGCUCCUCCUCUGUCUGCCGUGUGCCUGUGUUGCCAUUAUCCUUUUUUUAUAUAUAUUUGUCUUACAAAAUAAUAUAAUAAACUAAAAAAAUAAAUAUAAUAUUUUUAGUUUAUUAUAUUAUUUUGUAAGACAAAUAUAUAUACAUACAAUUCUAUUGUAUUUAAAGUAAAGUAUCAAUAAAUUUAUUAGUACUAAAAUUUUUAAAAUUGGACUUCAACAUUGUAAAAAUGGUAAGUAAGUAGUACUAACAAUCGUUAAGUUGUUUCAUCUGGAAGACGUAAGCAUCGGCAGGUGGUCGUGCCGGAGUGGUUAUCGGGCAUGACUAGAAAUCAUGUGGGCUCUGCCCGCGCAGGUUCGAAUCCUGCCGACCACGGUUUUUUUAUCUUCUCCAGUAGUCCUGUUAUAUGCAGCGUUUCCGCCUAAUUGUCUUUUGGGAUUUGGGGCUUUCAACACCUUACUAGUCACUGGGCUCAAACUUUAUCAGGCCUUUCCUUUCGGCCUUCCAAGGGUUAAUAGGCUCAAACCAAAACUGUUGGGCCGUGUAAACUAAUAACAACACCCCCCCCCAAUCCCCCCUAUACAAAGCUCUCUUCCUCCUCUCCUUCUCUUUCUACUACACUAUAAAUUUUUUAAAAAUAAAAAACACAAAGUUGAAAAAUUUUAUGUAUAGAAAUACUAUAUAUAAAAAAUUUGAAACGGGUAUGUAAACUUUUGACUUACAAUCUUUGGGUCUAUAAACUAAUAUUUGAAUUCAAAUUCAAAUUUAAAUCAGGUAUGUAAACUUUUGACUUAUAAACUUUGGGUCUAUAAACUUUAGAUGUAUAGAAAUACUAUAUAUAAAAAAAUAUUUGAAUUCAAAUUCAAAUUUAAAUCGGAUAUAUAAACUUUUGAUUUAUAAACUUUAGAUCUCUAAACUUUAGAUGUGUAAUCUCGAGGUGUAUAAACUUUAGGUGAACAAAUUUACUAAAAUAAAAAAAUAAUACGGUAAAAAAAAAAAGAAACCCAUGGAGAAGAGGGGGCGCGCUAGGGGUGUUCGAUCGCCCGUUAAUUAGCAACCUCGAUCUGGACUUGGCCUAUUCUCCUAUACGAACGCAUUUUCUCUCUGUACCAUCAGAAAUGUCAAUCACAUUGCAAUUUGCAUGUCAUGUCACACACUCACGCUCACGGGUUCAACCUCUUAGCACAUGGCCCCCACGUACCCCGACCGAAACACCCAUCCCCUCCUCCUUCCAUGCCUCCACCUCGCCGCACGUACGUCCGCGCGCGAAUCCCCCCCAGGAUUCCUUGGAACAAAUCCACGGGCAGAUCGCGCGGCGACGACGACGACGGAGGACGGAGAAAUCGCGAGAUGGAACGACCAGCGAACACGUUCUUUCUGCAUGCAUGCGGCCAAAGACGAACACAGUAAGCUAAGAAACUAGUUCCUCCGAUCCUCCGUUUUAUAAUAUACUCCAUCCGUUUCGAAAUAUUUAACACCGUUAACGUUUUAGUGCGUAUUUAACCAUUCGUCUUAUUAAAAAAAUUGUGAAAUAUGUGAAAUUAUAUGUGUACAUGAAAGUAUAUUUAACAACAAAUCAAAUGAUAUGAAAAGAAUAAAUAAUUACUUAAAUUUUUUUAAUAAGACGAACGGUCAAACAUAUACUAGAAAGUCAACGGUGUCAAACAUUUUAAAACCGAGGGAGUAGCAAUCUAUAAUCGGAUAGAACACAUUCUAACACUAUAAAAUUUAAAUAGACUUAUAUUCAGAUUCGUAGAAUUAUAAUGUAUCGCAUCUAAUCUUGGUUUACUAUAUUAUGAUACCAAGGGGGUAAAAAUCAACAGCUAGCCUAUUCAAUUUCCACGAGCUGUUAACCUGAUAGCAUGAAAAAACUUUUUCUUUUUCCGAUUAGAAGGCAUAUACAUACGGUGAGUUAUUUUUCAUGGAAUAUAAACAAUGACAUAAGCAACAGAAAAUAAUUGUAGGGUACGGCUUUUAUGCUGUUAUCCUUGGCUUUUAUACUUCUAUCAUCCUUGGCGGUUUAAAAACUACUUCAUCUGUUUAAAAAAUAUAAAAGUUUGUUUGUAUUCCUAGAAAUGUAUGUGAAUGGAGGGAAUGGAUGUACAGAUAUAUUCAGAAAACGGGUAUAAAUACUUGUAUUUUUUAACGUAGAGGAUGAACGUAAAGAAAAUAUCAUUAAAAAACACCUAAACUAAUUUGAAGUUAAGUUAUUGUCUUAAAUGAAUUAUAUGACCAACUCUUACAUAAGUAUGUUUUCUCAAAAUAAGUCUUCUACUGUAUUACUCCCUCCGUCUCAUAAUAUAAGAGAUUUUGAGUUUUUGCUUACAACGUUUGACAUCUCGUCUUAUUCAAAAAAUUUUAAAAUUAUUAAUUAUUUUAUUUGUAACUUACUUUAUUAUCCACAAUAUUUUAAGCAUAACUUUCUAUUUUUUAUAUUUGCAAAAAAAAUUGAAUAAGACGAGUGACAAACGUUGCAAGUAAAAACUCAAAAUCCUUUAUAUUGUGGGACGGAGGGAGUACUUAGGUUGUGUCCUUAGGUGAGGGUUGGGAACCCUCGCCUCCGAUACGGAAAACGGAGCAAUGGAUUAGUGUAUGAUUAAUUAAUUAUUAGCUUAAAAAAACUUCAAAAAUGAAUUAAUGUGAAUUUUUAAAGCAGCUUUUCUAUAGAAAAUAACCACGCAUCGUUUAGCAGAUAGGGAAGCGUGCACGACUGCACGUGGUAAGCGGGAGAGCGAGGUUGGGAAAUUGAAAUGAAGAACGCAGCCUUGGACCACUUAAUUGAUGUUCUAUUUGUCAACUUUAUUCCAAAUUUAUCUAUAAAUAUAUAAUUAAAUACAUAUAUAAUCCAUUCAACAACAUAAAUCAAACGAGACCGACGUGGACGAACAUUCACAAUUCACAAGGUCACUCUAGAAUUAUCUGGACACUGCCCCGAUGGCCCCAAAUAAAAUUAAGUAGCAGUCAAUAUGGGCUUGUUCACUUUAUUGUUAUUUUCAACCUUACCCUAAAAUUUGGCAUAGUUUUGAUAGGAUUUCUUAUAUAGUUAUCAAAAUUUAGCAGCAAACUAAAUAUAGCCACUUUUUUAAUAACUUUACUAAUAUUUUGUAAGGUUGAAAAUGACAUUAAAAUAAACUGUCCUACGUACAUGCAUGCUAGCUUGGCUAGCUGUAGUCACUGCGCAGUAUUCUUUCUUCAGAAGAACAAACCUAACAAAAUUCUGUCAAGUUUUGGCAGCUAAUAACUGAAGAUCAAGCGCAGAAGCUAAGCUAGCAGAGUGUGGAAAUUCAACAGCACUACCCGACUGUCUACAUGCAUGUAUGCGAGAAUAUUCUCAGACCAAAAUUAGGAGUAAACAACCGUCGCUUCAGUCAUCCCAUUUCCAUGCCCUCUGGAUUGGGUAACCUUAAUUUAACUCUCGUUUUCCUUAUCUGCUUUCACGCAUGCUUUAAAUAUUGCCCUGUUGGUCAAUGGUCACCGAGAAAAAAUUCAGAGAAAUUUGGCGAGUAAGCAAUACACUGAAAGUACUAGCUACUCCGAGCACUUCAGUGCCAAAGCUCUACAAUUAACUAAGGUUAAUUGCAGUUUUUGCAGGUGUGUUACUAACCACUGCAAACUGUUUAUUUACAGCUGUAUGCGUGUGUGCCCUUGACUUAAGCUGCGUGUCCAAAACGAACUCGUAUACUACAUACUUUCAAAGUUUUAGUGUUACCAAAGUUAAGUAGGUAAUUAUACUAGUCCUAGUAAGGUAGCCAUAUGAGAUUAAAGGAAAUAGGCUAUAUCGCACAUGCAUUAUUUCACUCCGUUUGAUUCGUUAGAUAGCUAGAUCUGGUCGUUUCUCUGACUGAUGCUAAUUUACCAAGCUGAUGCAAUGAUACUACUAGUAGAAGAUCGACGAGGAGGAAAGCUGGUAAAUUCCCAAUAAUCUGCAUGGAUGUAUCAGUCAGAUUAUUAUUCCAGGCUCGUCACUGUCACACACACGAACCUUCAGACUUGUUGGAUUAAUUGAUCGAUCUUGGCGUCCAGCUUGGUGACUGCGAGUAGUAGUAGCUAAUUAAUCCGUGGACGACUGGAUGCAAUCGUUCGAUGUGACGUUCACGGCCAUCUUGGUCAAGCUGGAUAUCUGGAUUCAGGAGUAGUGGGGAGAAGAACUGAAAGUUACAGACGAAACUACGGAAGUGUAUGUGUGUUUGAGUGUUUCAGACAUUCAGUCCACCACACAGAGAUCACAGAUGCAUGCAUGGAUGGAUCUCCCGCGGAUUGCGACGAGCUCACUGCGACGACGACUGAAUCGGAGAAGAAGCUUCUCAUCACUGCGUUGGUUUCCACUGGCUGGUUGCGUGCAGCUACUAGCUACUUCCUCCGUUUCACAAUGUAAGUUAUUAUAGCAUAUUUUAUAUUUAUAUUGAUGUUAAUGAAUAUAGACAUAUAUAUCUAUUUAGAUUCAUUAACAUUAAUAUUAAUGUAAGAAAUGUUAUAAUAACUUAUAUUGUGAAACGGAGGGAGCAGUAGUAAAAAGUAGCAAGGAGAAGACCAACUCGUGACAGCGAGGAAGAGGGCCUGCAGCUAGCUAGGUUGGCCUGCAGAUUUAUUUCUGUCUGGAUUAAUUAGGCUCCUUCUUCUUGGCUUAAUUUUUGUCUUGUUUCCUAUCUUUCCACUAUUUUUGUUAGCAGAAAUUAAAUCUCCGGUCGGACUUUCGGCUAGCUCCACAAGGUGGUGGGCCAAACGAUUCGGAUUCAAACCCUCAUCCCUUCUAAUUAUAUGAUAUUAGGUCAUUUCAUAAUAUUCAUGUUUUUUUAAUCUCCGGUCUGAAAUUUCUGAUAAAAAUUCAAGUCCCACUUAACAUAUAGCGCCAUAUUUCAUAUCCACGAUGGAUCUAAAGUUUGAACAGUGAUCUAAAAUUUUAUAUUUUCUUUAAAAUGGUUUUAGAAAUAUAGUCAUCUUUGAAGAUUCCAUGUAUUUCUGAAGUUAACAAUACCUACAUUUUUUUUCUAAAAAAUGGUGUGCAAAAUAAAACCUUAUUGGAAAACUUUUUAUGUAGUUUAAACCGAAUCCGAACGUUAGCAGGAUAGCAAGGAGAUCUAGGGGCUGUUUAGAUGCUAUACUAAGUUUGCCACCAUUCACCAUACUUUUUGUGCUAUACUUGUCUAAGUUGUGGCUUACAAAAAGUGAGCCACACCUUAGCUAGCAAAAUUGGAUUGUGCCACACUUUGUUGAGUUGAUGACAUGUGGGGUCCAAAUAGAUGAGAAGGAAUCGUGCCACAAGUAUGGCUAUGAACCAAACAAUAUGCUAACUUAGUCAAACUUGCCUAACAUGAUGUGUGGUAACCUUUGGCAAACUUUGGGAGCAAAACAAACAACCCCGUAAGCUCCCUAAAAAAAAAAAGAAAGAAAAUCGAAGCUGCAUGGAUGGAAGUACAGGAGCAGCCAGCGUGGACGAGUUGACGGUUGACCGGACCGCCGCCCGCACGUGUUUGACUAAUAAACGCCGGGACUAGGCUCUCUCCCUCGCCGCCUCAACCAGACGUGGGGCCCACUCCUCCUGCCAUGUCAGCACGUAAAUUAGUCUGUACGAGCAAGUAAUUAAUUACUGUAGCUAGUUUUUGUAGUCGUGUGAUCCGUCUUUUGGUCUUCGUCUCGUCGUCGACUAGUCCACCGUGCACGUAAACGGCCACCGCAUCGUACCUAUCCUAAUCCCACCCAUGUAGCCGGAGAGUUAUGCUUGAUAAUUUCAUGCAUGCAUCCAACAUUUCACUUGGGAAUUUACUGGAAUUUGAAGGCUAAUUAUUAAUCACAGGCUGAUUAUUUUCAUAUUUUUUUUAAAUGCAUCAAAAUGGCCGGAAGCUAAUUAAUUGAUAGACUAAGGCCCUCUUUAUUUAGGCUUAGGUUUAUUGGCCUAGACUUUUAAGUCAACUUAUUGGCUUAUAUGAUUUAUAAGCCAGUGGAUUUAAUGUCCUAAGUUUAGUGGUGGAGUCAUACAUCUAUCUCAUAUAAGCCAAAAAAGAUUAUCCAACCUAGUUUUUGGCUUAAUAGUGUUAGAGUGGCUUAUGGCUUCAAAAAAGCCAAAUAAAAAAGCUGCUUGUUUGUUUUGGCUUAGACUUUUCGACUUAUAAGUUGGCUUAUAAGCCUAAACAAAGAAGGCCUAAGCCUAAAUUUAAAACAUUAUUGAACACUAUAUCCUGAUUCAGUUUGGUUUCACUUACAUAAUUAUUCCGGCAAAUGUUGAUUACAUUUCGUCCUCAUUCAUAUCUAGAGUCUCCUCUUCCAAUUUAAGUAUUUGCAUGUGCUAGCUUCUUAAUUUUUCGUUCAAUCGCAACAACAUGCGAUAACAUCAAUGCUACUAUCUCUCUCUCUAUAUAUAUAUCUGGGAGACUCUGAAUAGAUCUCCAUGAAUACACUAAUCUUCUAGCUGAAUUACAAAUUGCAACGAAUUAUCGUACGUUUUGCUUAAACUGCCACCUUGGCACGUGUAGAGCGAGCUAAUUAAAAUCAAUCACUAAAUAUACACAGUUAAUCCUCUCUCUCUCUAGCCUAACUCCGAUCAAAGCCAUGCAAAUCGAUCAACUCUAAAAUUUUACCGUGUAAAUUGAUCGAUCGAUCUCAGCUAAAUCGAGCAAAGUUCAUCGGCGUUCUAACGAUGGAUCAGUUCUUGGUCGGCGAGAGCUCGAGGAUCCGGCCGGAGAGCGCCGUGACGAGCGCCGCCUUGAACCCGGGGUCCCUCGUCAGCGUCGCCGCCAUCUGCUCGGCCAGGUUCUUCCUCGCCGCCACCUCCGUCGACGGCCCGGCCGCCGCCGCCUGCUCUUGCUGCUGCCGGACGACGGCGGCGGCGGCGCUCGGUGGCGGCUGGUGCUGUGAGUGCUUGGCGGCGGCGGCGGUCUUGCUGCCGGCGUCGUGGUGCGGCGGCUGGGCGUGGUUGUGCUCGCCCUCGUACGUGGCGACGAGGACGGUGUUGUCGUCGGCGCUGCGCUGCACCUUCUUCUUCACCGGGCACGCCGGCGCGAACGAGCACCUGAAGUAGGCUCGCGGGCACGGGUUGUCCUUCGUCACCUUCUGCCCGUACUUCCGCCAUUGAUACCCAUCCUUCACCACCUGAAGGUUUUACAAAACCAAUUGUUGGUUAAUUACGAGGAGACCUCAUCAAUGGAUUAAUCUAAUUGUUUCGUUGCUUACGAGGCUGAGGUCGGAGGGGUCGGCGUGGACGAAGCGCUUGGAGACCUUGGGCUUGCAGUCCUCGCGGACGACGCGCUUCGCGGCGGCGGCGGCGGCCGCCGACGUGCACUCCAUCUGGUCGGGGGAGGCGUAGGCCGCGGCUGCGGCGGCGGCGACGAACGGAGGGGAUGGCUUGCGGUGGUGGGCGGCGUCGUCGAGGCUGUCGACGCUACGGAUCCGCUUCCUCGAUGGCGACACCGAGCCGCCCUCCGACGUCGACGACUGGUGGUUCCCGGCGUUGACCGCCGCCGCCGCCGCCGCCGACAUCAUGUCGUUGACCUGUCCCUGCAGCUCGGUGUACUUGGCCACCACCGCCCGAAGCAUCUCGGUCAGCUUCUUGUUCUCCUCGCUCGCUCGCCGGAGCUCCGCCUCCAGCGCCUCAACCUGGAUCGAUGGACACAAGAUCGAACAACUAAUUAAUCAAACUUUUUUUCAAUAUUCCCAAUCAAAUUCUCAUCGAUGUCGUCGCAGCUGUCAAUCUCUCCACGCACCUCGUGAUCCUUCUUGAAGGACAAGAAGUUCUCCUCCACGAGAACCUUAAUCGGCGCCGCCGGAGCCGAUGAUCUCCUCGCCGUCGACGGCAGGCCGACGUUGAGGUCCAAGCUCAGGGAAGUCUGCUCAAUCCACGAAUCCAUGAAUUGAAUAUACUGAAAAUCAAGAACAGGAGGAGGAGGAGAAGAAGGCGAAGAAGGCGAGAGCCGAAAUGCGCAUGAGCUAGUGAAGGUGCCAUGGCGACGACGAGGAGGAAUAUAUAGCCAAGAAGGUGGGCGAGAGGGGACUGACUGGCUCGGAGGAGGAAGCAUCUUAGCCAUUGUCGCCGUCUUGGUCUUGACAGUAGAAUACUACUACUAGUAGUACUACUACCAUUUCUGCUCCGGAAAAGGCAUCAAUUGUUUAUUUUUUUAAUGUCAGUGUGGUUUUCAUUUCAGCAUGUGGAGGAUAAUUAGGGUCUAAAGACUAAAGGUAGCAUCAAUCAUGUCAUUUGUGAUGAUAAUUAGUAGUAGUACUACUAUUUUCAUUUUAGAAAAUAAGGAGGAUUAAACUGUGUUUUUUAUUAGAUCUGGGAUUAUUCUGUCAAAUUAAGAGGAUAGAAGAGUCUUCUGGCUGGCUGGUUGCAUCUGCAAGCAGGGUCAAGGAAAAACACCACAUGCCAACAACCAGGAGGGUUACAAUUUGGCCCUCCUUGAAAGAAUUUAGGCUAGCUAAUUUGGAUUCAUUUGUUGACUCCUUCACUACUACCUUUUGGGAUGAACCAGCUGGUAAUUAUUACUCCGGCCCUAUUAUUUUACUUUCACUCUGCUCUCGAUCCUUAGCUUAAAAAAAGAUACUCUCCCGUUCUAUAUUACAAGUCAUUUAUUUGCCAUUAUUUUUAAGAUUUAAUUAAGUUUACAGAGAAAAUUAGCAACAUCUACAAAAUAAAAUUAGUUUCAUUAAAUAUUAAAUAUAUUUUGAUAGCAUAUUUGUUUUAUAUUGAAAACAUUGCUAUAUUUUUCUUCAAAAUUCAUCAAACUUAAAAAAGUUUAAUUAGAAAAAACUAAAACGACUUAAAAUAUGAAAAAAAUGAAGUAUGUCUUCAGGAACAGAGAGAAUAGUUAAUUGUGGUAAUAUGUGUUUUUCUCUUUUUAGUUGUGUUUUCUCUUUUUCCCAUGUAACUUUUUUUUGUCUUAUUGAUGCUGUCUCUGAGAAAAAGUUCUUCUCUUUUUUUUUAUAGAAAUGUUAGUACAGUGUAAUAAGUUUUUAUAUUAAGAAAACACUGUAUUCUAGGACCAGUUUAGCACUAAUGAACAGAACUUACAUGUUCAAAAUCAUUUUGAGCAAACUUUCAAACUGUGUCAAGAAUAUCUGGGCUGCAUGCGAUUCGCAAAUCCGAUUACAGAUUUCCCACGGAAGGAAAGAAUCGGUUAGAACCUCGCAUUUGGAUUUUGCCUAGCCCCAAUUUCUCCAAAUGUUCAUUGGAUCUGGACCCAGCACGCACCGAGACUUUCAAUUGACAACAAGAACAGCAAAAGAAAGAAAGACUUGGACCUCUUGUGCAGGCUGCCGGUUGCCAAGAACAAAUUUGGCUUGAUCUCUUCUCGAUCGCAUGUUCGAUGGAAGCUAGGCAACUUGGCAGCGAUGGUGAGUAUAGAGAAAUCACGGAGACCAGGUCAGUUUUGUUGAUCUUUUCUUAAAAUUUUUGCUCAUUUCUUUGUGGAAAGAUGGGUGCAAAUGCGUAUGUUUGUGCGUUUGUACUACUACUAGUCAAUGGCUGCCAUGGACUUUAUCCGUAAACCAUUUUUAAACUGUUUUAGUUACUUGUUUGGUAUGGCUGUAGGUUGAAAGUUUGUUGAAACUACUAAAAUAAAAAAGGUAAGGUAUGGAUCAGGAGCAGAGGAGGAAACUGGUACUAGGAUUGUUUCAACAGGUUUCUUCUCUUGAAUUCGACUGGACGAAACCAAAAGUGGCAAAAUUGGUCUGCACUACUACUUCAGAAUUCUGAAUCUAGAAGAAAGUCGUAGAUUUUAAAUUCAAGGCUCAUUUGCGCAUUAAAUCUCCCCGGGGAAGAUGCAUUGUACUACUAACUCUGUAACUCCUCUUGUCUUGACCAAAUACUGAUUGCAAUUUGUAAAAAACCAUUAAUUAGUCAACACAGGACCCUAAUUAGGGAUGGAAGAUGCUGUCCAGAUUUGCAUUGUGAGCCACAUUUUUCGUCACAUGUGAACUGGCCUCGCCGAAACUGUGUGCUGGCCAGCGACGGCCGCCAUGCAUACAGAUUCUGGUGGUGUCCUUGUUGCGAGGGAACCUUUUUGGUUAGUAGUAGUAGCAAGCAAGAUGCCAGUAGUCCUAGUAGUUAGUGUGUGAUCCAUGGAUGAGAUGCAUGGUCGAAUUAAUCUAUCAACAGCAUUAUCUUCACAUUUCUCACGUUUAGCAUAUGCAGUUAGUUGGAGGAAUCCAUGCAAAUGGACUGGUAAAGUACUACAGUAGGACUAUGUUGGUGGCACUGGGGUGAUAAGCUUACGGAAAUUCCUAAUCAUCGGACGCUCGUUUUUCAUUUUUACCGGCCGAGAAUAGUUACCGAUGAAAACCAAAAUAAAAAUGGUAAAACAUAUGAACAUGGAAACGGAAAUGUUUUUUUUAUACCGAACAUCUUCGAAUUUUACCAUAUUCUUACUGUAAUUACCUUUUUCUAAAGCUGAACGAAAGAGCAGAAGUUUUCAUCAGCUUUCAGUAAUUCGAAGGAAUAAAAUGAUUUUUUUUUACAGAAUGAAGGGCUAUCAAUGAAAACCAAACGGCGAUGAUAUUUCUAGAAAAAAAGACACUUAUUCGAUGAUAUUUUUAGGAAGAUAGAGCAUCCCAUCCUACUCUCCAACCAAAAUAAUAAUUAUUAUAGACAAAAAAAAUCCUCCAAAGGCCUUUCCAUCCCACUCUUUAUCUAAACUCCUUCCCUCACUUGUCAAACUUGGUUAGCCUACUUCACUUGCCAUGCAGAUCCCAUUGCCUUCUUCUCUUUCUUCCCACUAGUGAUGCACAGCGAGCGGAACUCCGCCGUUGCGUGGCCUCCUGCUCGCCUCGUCAUUAUCGUAUUCCGCUGCUGCCGUCGUCGUCUAACACCGCCUCCGUGCGCCUCCUGCUCUGCUCCGUUGUCGCCGCCUCCAGCCCCGCAAGCUCGAGUGUCGCCGCUAUCAUAAACUCAAAGUAUAUAAGGUAGAUGGGGAGACCAUUGAAAUGAACAAUGAAUUUGGUUUGCCAAAUUAAUUGAAGACUACUUUAUCCAUGAAAAAGUAUCAACCUAGGAUCGAAUGUAGAUAUAUCAUAAUAUAUACCAUAAAUCCCCAUAACUAUAGUAUUAAAAUAUAUCAAUAUCAGAUAUAAGGUUGUUUUUUUUAUAGAACGAAGAAAAUAUAUAUAACUAUAUGAGAGUAUUGGAGAUACUCUUAUGGAUUGCGUAAUUUGGAGUUUCCUGAAUGAGCACCCAGCCCACAAAAGCAGAGCAGGUAGCGGUUGGCUCGUGGAACACGUGCGCGCUCCACGUGGCAGGAGGAGGGGAAGAGUCGAAGAGAGAGCUACCAGGACGAAGGACGGACGCAGUCGCCGCGAGACCGGAUCGAAAGGUGGGUGGUGGGGCCCUGCUCGCAGCGUCAGCGGCUGGGGGCGCGCGGUCACGUCGCAGCGGAAAAAAAAAAAAGGCGAUGCCGAUUGCCGCCAGCCGCGACGCGAGUCGGGGGACUUGGGCCGUUGGUUUCCCGGAAUGGCCGGCCACCACACCACCGAGGCGAGGCGACUACUACUACUUGUCGGUCCUGGACCUUGACUCGCUCUCUCCUC